rnacentral:lncRNA from 1 species
AGCAUAAACUACUAAGAGGAAAACUAUACAGCUUCUUCCAUCCUUGCUCCGCCGGUUACUAUCCCUCCUCCAUCUCAGCCUGGCUAAGCAUCGCCAGAAGGCUCUUCAUCGCCUAAUAGCGUUAAGCGCCCAAACAACAAAUAACAAACAGAAAGGGUUAACUCCAUGCAACUACCACAUAUAAAGGAGAAAAACAUGCUAAUCAAAUUUAAGCGGAUAUCAUGGCACAUAAACUAGCAACUUAAUUCAAGAUGGAUGCCAACAUAUAUCCAACAACAUGAAAUCAACAAUACGAACUUAAAUCAGUUAUCCACGAAAACACCAAUAUCAAUCGACCAAGUAACGUCUCGCAAGACGGGACAAUCUCGUGGGACAAUAUCCACCACACUGCCACUUAAUAACAUCUCGAAAGACGGGACAAUCACGUGGGACAAUAUCCACCACAUCGUCACUUCAAAAACUCCAAAACAUUCCGAUAAAUAAGCUAAUAAUAUAUUUCAAGACAUAUAUCAACAAAAUCAACAACAUAUAAUUGAAUCAGAUAAUAACAUAAUUAACCACAUAGAAUUAAGACAGAAAUAAACAUAAUUAAUUGUUAGUGUCCUAUAAUGCGACUAUAUGCUUCUACCAAUAUGGAUCGAUCAGCCACGUCUCUCAAGACGGGACGAUCACGUGGGACAAUAUCCACCACACCGCCACUUAACGCCACUAUGGACGGGACAAUCACGUGGGACCUUUGCCACUACAUUGCCACUUUAGGACAUCUCGAAAGAUGGGACGAUCACGUGGGAUAAUAUCCACCACAUCGCCACUUUAUAACGCCUUAAAAGACGGGACAAUCACGUGGGACAAUCACCACCACAUUGCCACUUCAAGUUCAAGCCCUAAAUGUCAAGUUAGUCAACAACAAUCCUCAACCUCAGUAAUCACUCAAUCAACAAUUUCAAGUAUCAACAAUAACCAUGUCUGAUCUACUAGAAAGCAGUAAUGACAGAAACCAGUAAACGGCUGAAGCCUCUCAGAAAACGGAGACACACGUCUCAAUAAGUUCACUCGGCCGAAGCCUCCAAAAAACAUAUGGCACAAGCCUCAGAAAACAUUCAAAAUAAGCAAGCAUACAGCAUUGCAAAACAUGUCAAUAUUUCAAUCAAUUGUCAAUCAAAUUAAACACCUUCAUCUCAAACGCAUGCAGUGCGAUAAAAGCAUGCAAGACUCAAAGACGCGCUAAAACUGAGUUACCCUUACCUUCGUGAGUAGAAGUUGUGCAUGGAAGUUGCGAACCUAGAACAAGGAAACACAAUCAUCAACACAAGACCUACUAGAAGUAAUCAAUCUAAUAAUACUAAUCGAAAUCGUAAAGAAAACUUUUAAAGCUUCAGAGUUCACAUUUGGGCACGAAUGGACAACGGACUUCGUUCGUUAAAACGAGCAUAACUCGAGUUACAGAACUCGCAAUAACACGAAACCAAAGCCAAAAUUUUGACAAUCGAAAGAGCUACGCUAUAGCUCAGGUCAUAGAGACCCAAAAAUUACUUUUGGACACGGUACCCUAACAAACAGGUUUCGGCCACUUUAGAAAAUAGGGUUUCCGAACUUUUUCUUCGAUCUAAAUCAAUUCCUAGGUAUUCUUAGGCGAUAUCUAGGUCAGGGAAACUCUCAGAAAAAUUAUCGGAUCGAAAACUAGAACAGGGGUAUUUUGGUCAAGAUUUUUAGCUCGGAAACUCAAAAUCGGAAUUUCGAAAAAUAAAUUGGAUGAGGUCGAUACCCACGACGUUUAUGACAACUAAUCCUACUGACGCUAAGCUCAGUCGAGAGCUUUUGAUUCAAAAAGCGGAACCUCAGCAUAAAAAUGGGUUGUUGAGCAGAAUUGAAGUUCUGCGGCGAUUCGACGAGAUUCGGCGAAAUGUAAUCCGCUAAACAUGCUCUUGAGCAUGCAGGGAAUAAGUUUAGAUAGAGAAUGUAACACCCCGAUUUCCAGGUGUCACUUUAGUAACCAAAGAUAAACCUUCGCGGAAAAACAGGUAAUAAAUUUUUUUUUGAUUGAUUCCUUUGUAAAUAAAGCGAUAAGGAGAUAAAGACAUAACCCAACCACUAAACUAACCAAUAUACAUCAAAUAUAAACAUGUACAGCCUCAGCUGCACUUCCACGUCACACACACUCGCAGUGACUCCAAAGUAGUGUGCCCGUAGGCAAAUAUUUACAGAUCCAGAAGUGUGAGUGAGAAAAAGUAUAAUUACAAACCACUAGGAGAAAGUCGGCCUCAAAAUGGCCUAAGCAAAGACCCCUAUGGUCCGACUGACUCACUGUGAUCCCUCCGUAAGAGAACCACACAAAAAGCCAUGCAUCGGGAACCUACCCUGUCCCAAAAGCAAAACGAAUCAGAGCUAUUACAGUAACAACCAACUCCAAAAGACUCUAACCACCCAUAACCCACACUACUAUCAUCGACCCGAUCAGGCAUGAAGUCCGGGUCCUCGUCGAAAGCUUCAGUAAUAGUCGUUCCGCUCCGGGUCUUUCCCGCACAACGAAUCAUCACGAACCGGCUGACAGACGCCUGGCAGCAGGCCGACCGCCCAAACACAAACAUACAAACAAAGCCAAGGCGCUAGGGUCAACUUACAGAAUACAAUAGAUAUACAAUCAACUUGUGAUAAAGGGGAUAUAUACAUAUGUUGUAUAUAUAUACAUAUAAGUUAUGUAUUGCCUACUCUAAGGUAUAUACAUAGCAUGUUCUCGAAUCUCCUACACAGUUCAAUCAUUAAUACCUAACGAUGUUCAUCAACAUCAAAUCAUCAUAAUCUCAACAUAUGAAGUUAGGUGAUAAGGUUAGUCAAACAAUGUAUCGUCCUCCCAACACACACGUAUCCAACUAAACCAAUGUUCCCUGUCGUUGCCCUAGGGUAAACGACGAUGAAAUCUCACGCUUCCAUGAAGUCUCACGCUUCAAUGGGGUCUUACGCUUUCACGAAGUCUCACGCUUCAGUGAAAUCUCACACAUUCACGAAGUCUCACGCUUCAGUGAAUUUUCACGCAUUCACGAAGUCUCACGCUUCAGUGAAGUUGCACGCAUUCACGAAGUCUCACGCUUCAGUGAAGUUGCACGCCUCCGCAAAGUCUCCCGCUUCAGCAAAGGUGUACGCCUCCGCAAAGUCUCCCGUUUCAACGAAGGUUCCCGUCUCCACGAGGUCUCCCGCCUCAGUGAAGUUUCUGCUUUCACGAAGUCUCACGCCUCAGUGAAGCUUACUCACUUUCACGAAGUCUCACGCUUCAGUGAAGUUCCAUGCUUUCACGAAGUCUCACGCCUCAGUGAAGCUUCCCGGCUCAUCCUUUGGAUGGCUAAAUAAACUGCUCAACGAGCGAAGGAGUACCAAUGUACUUGGAAACUUAUAGUUCCCCCGGCUUAUCCUUUAGAUAGCCAAACAACAAACUGCUCCGACCCAAACUCAAAACAACCCAAGAGUUAGUGUCGGUCAAUACAACACAACUCCACCAACAAGAUUACACGAGGGUCUAGUGUCGGUCAAUACAACACAGCCCAAACAACAAGAGCACUAGGUGUCUGUAAGACCCGGAUUUUCGGAACAAGUUAAUUUCCGACUCACGCGUGGAAUCAGUGUAAGCGUGACAGGAGUUUGAUAUUUGAGAAAGAUUAAUGAAGAAGAAAGUUCAGGAAUUGCUUGAGGAAUGUUGCGUAGUCGUUUUAGGAAUUAGUGCGAGUCGUCUGCACACCUGCCUUAUGGCGAGCGUGUCCAGAAUAGGCUAAUUUCGCUUUUAGAGCAACGUAUUAGGUGAGAUUUCGAAUCCUUGGAAAAUUUAAAGAUUCUCUUUAUUUGUCCUUCGACCAGCGUUUCAUUUCGGAACCCUGGACUAUACGCAUGAUAGUAUUCACUUUUCGGAAGUCCGACGACGCUAAUUUCUUUGCUUCGAAACCCUAGAUUCAAGCGCGGGAUGAAGUCUUUUUCUAUUCGGGACUUCUAACGAAGUUUCCGUCCGUGUUGCCAGAUUUUUUUCGACGUUUCCAAUCGUUCUUCCGAACAAAGUUUUGUCGUCUGACCAUCACAGCAAAAAGUAGUUUUUCGGGACAGAUUAACUUACCCCGCUUUUGGGAUUUUAGAUAUCAUUUUACCCAAAUGUCAGAGAUUUGUUUUGAGUUCUGGAGUUCUGUCGCCAGAAUCUCUCUUNNNNNNNNNNNNNNNNNNNNNNNNNNNNNNNNNNNNNNNNNNNNNNNNNNNNNNNNNNNNNNNNNNNNNNNNNNNNNNNNNNNNNNNNNNNNNNNNNNNNGCGACGAUCACACAAGAAUCGGUGAAAAGCUCUCCUCCCUUUCUCUCCUUGAAGCUCACGGGUUUGGGGUGUUGAUGGUGGUGAUGAAGUUUUGAUUUUUUUCAAGCUAUUUAUAGUUGAUGGAAAAUGCGGGAAAAUGAAAAUUUCGCGAUUCUAAUUUUUCCUGUGCAUUCCUCUAUGAAUUCUAAGAUAGGUUCUGGCGACAGAAUUCUAGAACUCAAAACAGGUUUCUCAGAAUUAAAGCAAACGAUCCAAAGUCGGUGUAAAUCUAUUUUACCCGAAAAACUACUUUUUGCGGUUGAUGUCGGAUGAGAAAACUUCUUUCUGAAGAAAGAUUAGAAACUUCGAAAGAAAUAGGUGAGCGCGUGCGGAAUCUUCGUUUGAAGCUCCGAAUAGAAAUAGUCUUCAUCGACAGUUUACUUUAAGGUUCUUGAGCUAUCAGGGAUUCAGUUUCGGCAAACCUCCGAGAAUCGGAAACGAUAAUUCGUACAUUCCAGGGUUUCGUGUCGAAACACUUGUCGUGGAAAGGAAUAAGAGAAAUUCUUAUAUUCCUCUGAAUAUUUUUGAAUAUCGUUUCUACAGUGCUUUAAGAGCAAAUUAGCCAUUUACUAACAUUUUCGCCCUAAGGCGAAAGUGAAUAAAACUCAUACUAUAAACUAUAUCGACUAUAGUACUAUUCUUAGUCAUUUCCUGAACUUUCUUCUUCAUAAUAUUAAUCCAACCAUCGAACGAAAGUCAAGUUCCUCUCACGCUUACACAGAAUCCUAUGCGUGAGCUGGAAAUUAUUUAUUUAUUUAAUUAUAAAAUCCUGGGUCUUACAAUACUAGCCCCUAAAAAGAAAGUUUCGUCCUCGAAACUUAAGGCUCAGUGAAGAGUUCCGGAUACUGUUCCUUCAUCUUCUCUUCUAGUUCCCAAGUAGCAUCGCCCGUGACUUGGUUCCAAAUCACUUUUACCAGAGGAACCUGCUUGUUCCUCAACUGCUUGAUCCUACGUUCUUUAAUCCUCAUCGGUGCCACUUCAAAAGACAGGUUGUCUCUAAGCUGGAUGUCAUCUUCCUUGAUGAUGUGAGAGGGAUCACGAAUAUACUUCCUCAAUUGUGACACGUGUAGCACAUCAUGAAUCUUGGACAGAAAUGGUGGCAACGCAAUCCGAUAAGCUACUUUACCGACUCGCUCGAUAAUCUGAUACGGUCCAAUGAACUUCGGUGUCAGCUUCCUCGACUUUAUCGCUCUUCCCACCCCGGUAGUUUGUGUCACGCGAAGAAACACAUGGUCUCCCGCCUCAAACUCUAACUCUCUCCGUCGUGUGUCAGCAUAACUCUUUUGUCGACUCUGUGACGUCCUCAUCUUCUCUUGUAUUUGUUUCACCUUCUCAGUUGUUUGUUGUACUAAUUCCGGUCCAACGAGAAGAUGUUCGUCAUCUUGAAACCAACAUAGAGGAGUCCUACAUCUCCUUCCAUACAAAGCCUCAUAAGGUGUCAUUCCAAUACUGGCAUGAAAACUGUUGUUGUAAGUAAACUCGAUCAACGGUAACAGCUCAUCCCAGCUCUCUUGACUAUCUAAGACACAUGCUCGCAGCAAGUCUUCCAAUGACUGUAUUGUUCUCUCGGUCUAUCCAUCUGUCUGAGGGUGAUAGGCAGAACUCAACCUCAACUUCGUGCCAAGCGCAUCGUGCAAGGCCUUCCAGAAACGCGAAGUAAACUUUGGGUCUCUGUCAGAAACAAUACUCGAAGGUACUCCAUGAAGUCGUACAAUCUCUGCAACAUACACAUUUGCAAGUGCCUCCACAUUAUACGUUGUCUUCACUUGUAUGAAAUGCGCUGAUUUCGUCAAACGGUCCACAAUGGCCCAUAUGGAAUCAAAUCUCUUCCUUGUAGCUGGUAAAGCUACCACGAAAUCCAUAGAGAUAUUGUCCCACUUCCACUCCGGCACAUCAAGUGACUGUAACAUACCUGCAGGCUUUUGAUGUUCUAUCUUCGCCUUCUGACAUGUCAGACAUGCUGCCACAAACUCUGCUACAUUCUUCUUCAUUCCUGACCACCAUAAAUUCAACUUUAGAUCUUGGUACAUCUUUGUCGAUCCCGGAUGAAUACUCAAUCUGCUCUUGUGACCUUCGUCAAAAAUCAUCCUUCUCAACUCCAUGUCACAUGGCACGCAGACACGUCCUUUGCAACGUAGAAUGCCAUCGGUUCCUACUUCGAAAUUCGGCGCCUUUCCCAAAAUGAUCAAGUUUCGUUUCUCGAUCAGCUCCUCAUCUAACAGUUGCUUCACCUUGAUCUCGUUCAGCAAAUCACUGGUGAUCGUCACCAUCCCAAAGCUCAAUAUUCCAGGCGUCACUUGCAUACCCAAACUGAGGUCGCGAAAAGUCUCGAUGAGUUCCAAUUCCUUAAUCAUCAGUGAUGAAACAUGAAUUGUCUGGCGACUCAGUGCGUCUGCUACAACAUUUGCUUUUCCUGGGUGGCACAACAAAGUGAAAUCAUAAUCCUUGAUGAAUUCCAUCCAACGCCUUUGUCUCAUAUUCAGAUCCUUCUGAUCGAACAGGUACUUCAGACUCUUGUGAUCACUAAAAACAGUGAAAGUGCUCCCAUAAAGAUAGUGCCUCCAAAUCUUAAACGCAAAUACCACAGACGCCAACUCCAAGUCAUGCGUAGGAUAGUUCUUUUCAUGUAUCUUCAACUUCCUUCAAGAAUAAGCCACAGCCUUUCGGUGUUGCAUCAACACACAGCCCAACCUAUGGUACGAAGCAUCGCAGUAAACCUCGUAAGGUUCCUCCUCUUGUGGUAAAGUCAGAACUGGCGCGGUCGUCAAACGCUCCUUCAUAUCCUGAAAACUCUGUUCACAAUCUUCUGUCCAUGCGAAAGGUUGGUUCUUUCGGGUGAGUUUCGUCAAUGGUCCUGCAAUCUUAGCGAACCCUUCGAUGAAUCGUCGGUAAUAUCCAGCUAAACCGAUGAAACUCCUUAUAUCUGUCACAGUCUUAGGACGCUCCCAUGCAAGUACCGCUUCCACUUUACUAGGAUCCACAACAAUGCCCUCCUUUGAGAUGACAUGUCCUAGAAACUUUACUUCUUCGAGUCAAAAUUCACACUUUGCCGCAUUAGCAUACAACACUUUCACCCGAAGAACUUGCAAUACUUGACGUAGAUGUUCCUCGAGUAGAUCAAGAUGUCGUCGAUGAACACCACAACGAAGCGGUCCAAGAAUGGAUGAAAGAUCUUAUUCAUGUAGUCCAUGAAUACAGCUGGUGCAUUCGUAACUCCAAACGACAUCACCAAGUACUCGUAGUGCCCAUAGCGUGUCCUAAACGCAGUCUUUUGGAUAUCCUCGUCUUUGACUCUAAUCUUGUGAUAUCCCGAUCUCAGGUCAAUCUUCGAGAAAACAGCAGCACCCUUCAAUUGAUCCAUCAAAUCGUCAAUCCUCGGCAACGGACAACGGUUCUUUAUCGUGACUUUGUUCAACUGUCGAUAGUCCACGCAAAGUCGCGAUCUUCCGCCUUUCUUCUUCACAAGCAGCACUGGCGCUCCCCACGGAGAAACGCUAGGUCGAAUAAACCCCUUCUUGGUUAAAUCCUCAAGUUGACUCUUCAGCUCAGUCAGUUCUGCCGGUGCCAUACGAUACGGUGCGAUUGAUAUAGGUCCAGUGCCUGGGACCAUAUCGAUUGUGAACUCCAUAUCUCUGACUGGAGGUAUUCCAGGUACGUCUUCGGGGAAUACAUCCUCGAACUCAUGCACAACAGCUAUUCCUUGUACUCCAUUCUCCUUAGCUUCCAUCACGGUUGUAGACAAAAGGGAACUCAAAGCUCCUUUCCUCAAAGAAAGCUUUGAAAAGUACGAGUUCAAGAACUCGGCGAGUCCAGCAUCGGGAAAGAUAACAACCUUAUUGGCGCAAUCAAGAAGAACAUGAUGGUGGGACAACCAAUCCAUGCUUAUGAUCACAUCCAAUCCCUUGAGAGGUAAACAGAUUAAGUUUGCUACAAACUUCUUAUCUAGGUACAUCCAAGGACAUUCCAAACAUGCAGUGUUAGUUACUAGACUCUUAGAUGUAGGGGUAGACACUGUCAAGUCAAACGGUAACUUUGACACUUCUAGCUUUAACCUCGUCGCACAAGCUAAGUCUAUGAAUGAAUGCGUAGCACCAGAAUCAAAUAGCGCGAUAAGGGAAUUACCCACAAUCUCGCAGGUACUGCGGAUUAGACCAUCGUCCUCCUCAGCUUCAGUUCCACUGAUCGAGUAGACUCUUCCACCAGCAGUAGGCCUCCUAGCCCCAGUAGUAUUCACAGCAGCCUCAACUUUGGGAGCCCUACACUCUACAGCAGUGUGACCAGGCUUCUUGCAGUUCCAACAGAUCCUUAUGUUCUCAGGACAAUGAUUUGCAAAAUGCCCCGCUUUGUUGCACUUGAAGCAAGUCACACCCUCUAAACUCACUGCUAGAGGUCUCGGUGCUAUAGCAUUCCCACCCGUAGGAUAAAAGGACCCAGAAGUUGUCCCCCUACCCUGAGGACGAACAUACAGCUUCUUCUGGAAAUGCUUACCCUUGUCACCUCUUCCUUGGUUAGUCCUAGCCGGACCUCCACUUCCUUGGUGAGGCUUGUUUAGACCUUGGAACUUGCCCCUUGCAAUAUCAAUAGCCUCAAUCCCCUUGGUCUUCUCCACCAGCACUUGAUAGCGAUUCAGUCCUAGAGGUUGCACCGCCCUCUACAGCUCAUAACUCAGCCCAUCAAUGAAGCGCUCACACAUAUAGCCUUCAUCUAUCUGUCCUCUAAAGUAGCGGAAGUGUUUAGCCAACGACUCCAACUUUGCAGCAUACUCAGCAACGGUGUAACACCCCGAUUUCGGUGGCGUCACUUUAGUAACCAAAAGUAAACUUAAUGCGGAAAAACGUGAAUAUUUUUUUUUCGAUAAUAACUAAGACAAGACUGAAUUAAAUAAAACCCAACAGUAACGAUAAACAGAACUAAUAUACAAUAUAUAUAACAGCCUCCGCUGUAAGUAGCUAGCCACGUCACGAGUAAACCUCCAGUGACGGGUAAUAAGAAAAGUAGCGCCCGUAGGCAAAAUGUACAAACCAAAUCUAAAGGUAAGUGUCCGCAACACUAUCCCUCAAAACUGAGAAUAAGCUGGCCCAUCGGCCUGAAACAAGACCUCCUAAGUCCAACCAACUCUCUGUGAUUCCCGUAAAGAAACCACACAAAAAGCUAUAGGUGGGACUCUACCCUGUCCCGAAUGAAACAAAUAAUGUUCAGAGCUAAGACUCUACUCCUACACUAAUCCCAUCUCGAGGAGCUCACACUAACACUCAAUCCUACAUGCUGGCAUGAUCGUCGUCCGAAUUCGAAAUCCAGAACGACCUAGUCUAUGUACACCAUCCGUCCUCCGCUCGCUAUCGCGAUGCGCUCCUGUUCCAUCAUCCCAACUCUAGUUUCCCCCGAAGGGUGAACCGUCGUGAACCAGUCCGCCAAAGACAUCUGACAAAGGGCGUUUGUCCGCCAAAGCCACACAGAAGACGCGAGGGUCAACUCCAAAGAAUACAUAAAUAAUAGCACCAAUAGAUAUAGAUAAGAGAAUAGCCACUUAGGCUUAUAGCUAGGGAUAACAUCCUAGGGUUGCAUAUUUCCACAAAGAAUAUAACGACUGUAAAUCACAGUUAACAUGCAUCAAGUAGAACUAACAAGUAUCAAAAACACUCAUCAUGUAGUCAGAUCAGCAUAAAACCCGAAUAUCGUCACUCUGCUUGGCGACGGAACAAACCGACAACGUCACUCUGCUUGGCGACGGAACAAAACAACAACGUCACUCUGCUUGGCGACGGAACAAAACAACAACGUCACUCUGCUUGGCGACGGAACAAAACAACAACGUCACUCUGCUUGGCGACGGAACAAAACAACAACGUCACCCUGCUUGGCGACGGAACAAAACAACAACGUCACUCUGCUUGGCGACGGGACAAACCAAAGGUAUUGCCACUUAUAGGCUGGGCACCUCGAGACGGUCGUAACACUAGCCUCGUGUUUAACCAUUUCUGCUCGGGCGUCGCUUAUCACCUUUGGCUAUAGUCAAGACGGUACAAACUCUACAUGGUUUGACCAUUUCUGCUUGCUAUGCCGAACAUCAACAGGCACGAUACAACUCUACAUGGAUGACCGUUACCUCCUGUUGUGUCAGGUAUAGUCAGGACCGAUCCAACUCUGCAUGGCUGAUCGUUACUUCCUGCUUUACCGAAGUACUCUGCUUGGCACUUCAUCACGCAUAUGCACGGGUGCAACCACUCACGAUGACUCUUCGGGUCACCAAUGCUCUCACGAAGUCUCACGCUUCAGUGAAGUUUCAUGCUCUCACAAGGUCUCACGCCUCAGUGAAGCUUCUCGGCUCAUCCCUUGGAUGGCUAUCAAACUGCUCAACGAGCGAAGGAGUACCAACAUACUCAGAACUUACCAAACUCCUCAACACUUGGAUCCGACGACACUCCUCGCUUUUCCAAAACUAUGAUUUGACUUCCAAUGCCUUCCUUCGAGGUUGUUAUCAUUACUUAAAGAUUUUGAGGUUAUUUAAGGUCUUAUGAAUUUUCUUUAUAAAAUAGAUUCCCUUUUGUCUUAUCGCAAGUCUUAUACAUUUGCAGGAUCUCCCAAUCCCAAGUCGCUUCCAGAGGAGGUCUCGAUCCACUAAACAAAAUUAAGGCCCGAACCUCGUUCGUCCUAUCAAACUUUCUCAAAACUCUCAAAAUAAAAUCGGCAUGACCUGCCCGCUUUUCUCACCGUUCAGAAACUCAGAUUCCAAUACAGAGCAUAUUUAAAUCAUCACAAUCAACAACAUGUCAUAUCUCAAUAAAUCGCAAUAUUAACACUUAACACUUAGCAUAUAAAGCAUGCACCACACAUCCUAGAUUACCCACAUAGCACAUAGCAUGUAAAUCAAUCUUCAAAAACAUUCAGUAGAUGAAUCAUCUACAUUGUCAGCCGAAGCCUCAGAAAACAUUUUCAAUCACACACAAUCUCAGUGCAUAAACAGUAAACAAUGUUGAAACAUCGACCCUAAGCAUUAACUAGAGAUUCAGUGAGAAGCCCUCACCUGAAAGUUCUCCCGAGUUAUCUCCUAAAGCUCCUUCACAAUCAAAGCCUUGCUCCGCUGGAAAUUCCUCAAAAUCACCUUUAGAGCAAAACCACAGAAAUACUAUCAGAAUCUAUCGAAAACUAAGCUAUCGAUACUUACUAAGGUUACUCGAAGUAAUCUAUACUCUAGGUACGAUAAUCUAGCGCGAAAGACAAGUUUUCGGAAAAGGAAAUUUUCCUCCUCCCCCUCUAAUAGGCUCGGCCACUUUUCACAAUUAAGGGGCUCGAUUUUUCUUCGAACAAACUUGGUUCCUAUGCUUUCAUAAGCCGUAACUAAGGGUAUUCUGAACUCGGAAAAAUUAUCGGAUCAAAAACUGUCGCAGGGGUAUUUUGGUCAUGAUUUUUAACUUAGGAUUUUCAAAACUGAAAUCCCAAAAAUAAAAUUUUGCAGGGACGUCACCAACGACGUUUAUGACAACUAAUCCUACUAGCACUAAGCUAAGGCGAUAGUUUUCAGCCUAAAGGUUAAAGCUUUACUCCAAAAACUCCAAAAUGGGUAUUUUAGGCUAAAAUUGAUUCCGACGGAAUUCCGGCGACAUAACGGAAAAUCUAAUCCGGCAGAAGUGAUCUUGGGCACAUAUAGAAGAGGUUUAGAAUCAGAAAUGAAAGAUUCAGGAUAGUUUUGCAAAAACCCAUAAACUAUCCACUCAUAAAACUCUACAGAAAAGCUAUGGAAAAAGCGAUCAGAGGUAAGGAUUAGCGACUAUCCUCGAACCUUGAGCAGCACUGUUAAUCACGUCAACAGGAUGACAAAUUCUCUCUCUUCUACAACUCGGGCUCCUGGAGAAAGGGGAGUUGAUCUCUNNNNNNNNNNNNNNNNNNNNNNNNNNNNNNNNNNNNNNNNNNNNNNNNNNNNNNNNNNNNNNNNNNNNNNNNNNNNNNNNNNNNNNNNNNNNNNNNNNNNCAAAAAAGAGGGAAUGGUUUGAUGGGAGUGCUCUUCUGAAGCAUCUCCUUGGUAUUAUAGGGGGAAUAGGAAUGAAAUGCCCAGUUACAUGGGCUUGAUAUACUGUCGGUGACAGCAUCCCUCGGGAUAACUCGGCCAUUCGUGGGAGGGAAAAGUCGACCCGCAGGGUUAGGACUGAUCCGACUAAGUCCAAGGUUGUAAGUGACACCCGAGGGGUUAUGGUCGGCACAAUGUUAGUGCUAGGACCGACUCGAUCGUGCCCAGCCUAUUUCUUCCGGAACCUUCUUAAUUGACGUUGCAUUGACAUAUCAUGCACUCUAACUAUAUCUGUUGAGAUAUUGAUGAUUUGAUGUUGAUAAACAUCGUUAUGUGUUUUGAUGAUUGAAUUGUAUUAGGGAGUUGAUACAAUACAUAACUUAUAUGUAUAUAUACAACAUAUAUAUAUACCCCCUUUAUCGCAUGUUGAUUGUAUAUCUAUUGUAUUCUGUAAGUUGACCCUAGCACCUUGGCUUUGUUUGUAUGUUUGUGUUUGGGCGGUCGGCCUGCUGCCAGGCGUCUGUCAGCCGGUUCGUGAUGAUUCGUUGUGCGGGAAAGACCCGGAGCGAAAUGUCUAUUACUGAAGCUUUCGACGAGGACCCGGACUUCAUGGCUGAUCGAGGGAGAGUCGAUGAUAGUAGUGUGGGAUAUGGGUGGUUAGAGUCUUUUGAGUUGGUUGUCACUGUCAUAGCUCUGAUUCGUCUUACUUUUGGGACCGGGUAGGUUCCCGAUAUAUGGCUUUUGUGUGGUUCUCUUGCUGAGGAUCACAGAGAGUCUGUCGGACUAUAGGGGUCUUGGGUUGAGGCCAUUUUGAGGCCGACUUUCUCUUGGAUAGUGGUAUAUUUGAUGCUUUUGCGUACAGUUUUGGUUUGUAUAUAUUCGCCUACGAGCAUGUUACCUUGGAGUCACUGCGUGUGCGCGUGACGGGAUAGUGCAGCAGAGGCUGUACCUUUGUAUAUGUUGUUUAUCGGUUAGUUUAGUUGUUGGGCUUUGUCUUUAUUUCUUUAUUGCUUUUAUUAAAAGGAAACAAUCAAAAAAAAAAAUUACCUGUUUUCCGCGUAAAGUUUAUUUUUGGUUAUUAAAGUGACACCUGGAAAUCGGGGUGUUACAGUGUCGGUCAAUACAACACGGCUCCACAACACUUCCCCAAGAGUACUAACGUACUCGGUGACUUUCAAUCAUCACCAUAGCUCACCUUAGUGGCUUUCCCAAUUCCGAUAACUCUCCAAACCCACAACAAAGGUCGACUUUUCCCCCGCCUUUCGUAAAUAUUUUUCCCCUUCAGUUCUCCUAUGCUUAAACGUUAAUAAAAAUGAUUUCAAUUCAAAUUAGUCAAAUUAUGAGUUUAUUUCUCAAAGUCUAAGUUUCCCAAGUCUUUAUUUUUCGAAAGCUCUAUCAUUCUAAGUUUCCAAAAAUCAACCACCCAAAAUACAUUUCUCGGGGAAAGUCUAGGAAUUCCAACGAAUCCCAACAAAUGGCUAAGUCUCAAACCCCACAUUUGGACUUGCCUAGGUUUGUUCAUCCAACCCGAAAUGUCAAAGAUCACCGGAUCAAUGAACCUCCACUCCGAAGUCGCGUCAAAACGCACAAUCCAACAAAGCACAACAUCACAACAUCAGUUCAUCAACAUAAUCAACAUCAAAGUAAAGCAUAAGUCGAAUUGAUCGACGCCUAUCAUGCAUUCAUAGCUAAUAUAUAGUAAGUUGCCCUAACCUCGAGCUGUUCCAGCUUCGCAAACAAAGUUCUCCUCAAACAAUUGCUCUGAGUCUUCCAAAGUUCCCUCAACUGAACCUCGGAGAAAAACAAAGCAGAAUCCAAACAAAAUCGAUUAGUUCGAUCGCAAAACAAUACAUAAACGAUAGACAAAGCAUUAAAGCUUCAGAAUAGGACAAUCAGGUACGAAAAGACAAGUUUUCGAAAACGAAAAACUCCCCCCCCUUAGGAAAUAGCCCACGGCCAUAAGGAGAAAAGAGCUUCGGCUCUUUUUCUUCGAUCAAAUCAAUUCACAAGGUAGUUUUAGGGUAAAACUAAGGCAAAGAAACUGUCGGAACAAUUUUCGGACAAUCGGGCCGAAAUACGACUACGCAGGGGCAUUUUGGUCCAAAAUAAAGGCUCAAAACUUCAAAGUUAUCAGUUCUGAAAACAGAUUUGACAGCAACGAUCCUCAUGACAUCCGUGACAAUAAAUCCUAAAGGCACGAAGUCAGAUUAUAGCUUUACGACAAUAAAGUUUCGAAAUGUGAGACAAAAAGAGUUUUGAGUCAAUUUUUCAGAUCCUGGACAACUGAAUCGCAAUCAGAGUUUACUGACAGAGGUUUUAGGCUCAUGGGAACCUUGAGAACAUAACCCAAGCAAGAAAUCGAAGAAAACUGACAUUUUAGAAAAGCUCAAACUGGGACCCAGAACCACUCUAGACCCGCCCAAAACACCUUCGGGGUGAGAUGGUGUGGUACCUUCAUCCUAAAGAGGACAACUGCCGAAAUGGCAAGUUUCGCAAUAUUCCUCCUCUUGUUUCCGAAUUCACCCCUGGAGAAAGAAGAUUUGUUUGGUAUAUUGAGCAAAUCGGANNNNNNNNNNNNNNNNNNNNNNNNNNNNNNNNNNNNNNNNNNNNNNNNNNNNNNNNNNNNNNNNNNNNNNNNNNNNNNNNNNNNNNNNNNNNNNNNNNNNUGGUUCUCCGUAGUCGGGAACCCAUGGAGUAGUCGGUUGUAGAGGUCUAGUGGAGGCCAUCUAGGGCUGACUAUUCCCUUCUGUGACUUGUAUAAUAUUUCGAACUAAUUAUGCUUUCUGAAAACUUGUAAACCUUGCCGUCACUGGAGGAUACUCGUGACGAUGCUUUUAGUUACAGCAGGACUGUAAUAGUAUUGUACAUUAGUUUAUGUUUAUCGCAUUUUGGGGUUGAGUCUUUAGUUUAAAAUGUUCUUUAUUCUAAAAGGAAACGAAAAAAAAUACCUGCUUUUCCGCUUUAUUUUGUUUUCAAGUUACUAAGUGACCGCCACCGAAAUCUGGGUGUUACAUUGUGGUAUUAGAGCUUGUCGAGUCUUUGGGAGUCUUUGGGGAAUAAGUCUUCUGUGCUAGGUUGUGUGACUCUGCAAAGAGUGAAGAUUGAUUGUCUGCCGAGCGAUUUUUCGCUUGAAAUUGAUUGAAGUUGCUACCUAAUCAUAUUGUAUAGCUAUCCAUAAUACUAUCUUAUGAUUGGUACUGACUGUUUGCUAAACGAAUACAGAACAUGGUGAACGCGAACCAACUUGCUGAGAUGGUGGCCACUUUGGUCCAAGCGAUGACUGUACAAACGAAUGACAAUGCACAGAGGCGUGCUACUGAGGAUGCACGCGAGCUACACCAGCUUCAGAGAGAAUCAGCCCUGGACCAGAACAGGGGAUUGAAUGAUUUUAGAAGACAGAAUCCACCCAAGUUCACGGGUGGGACUGACCCAGACGAGGCGGAUCUCUGGAUCCAAGAGAUAGAGAAGAUUUUCGAAGUACUACAGACUAGUGAAGGGGCCAAGGUGGGCCUGGCAACUUAUCUACUACUGGGCGAUGCUGAGUACUGGUGGAGGGGCGCCAGAGGGAUGAUGGAGGCAAACCAUGUUGAGGUGAACUGGAAUUCUUUUCGUGCCGCUUUUCUGGAGAAGUAUUUUUCUGAUAGUGCUCGUGACGAGCGUGAGUCGCAGUUUCUGACUCUUCGUCAAGGGAGCAUGACUAUUCCGGAAUAUGCUGCUAAUUUGGAAUCUUUGGCCAAACAUUUCCGAUUUUUCCGUGAUCAGGUUGAUGAAUCCUAUAUGUGCAAGUGCUUUGUUAGGGGACUAAGAGCUGACAUUGAGGACUCAGUGAGACCGUUGGGGAUUAUGAGGUUUCAAGCUUUGGUUGAGAAGGCCACCGAGGUGGAGCUGAUGAAGAAUAGGAGGAUGGAUCGGGCUGGAACUAGGGGACCAAUGAGGUCAAGUUCCCGGAGCUAUCAAGGAAAAGGAAAGUUUCAGAUGAAGAAGCCUUAUCAGCGUCCUAUAGGGGAAGGUUUUACCCCGGGACAGUACAAACCGAUGACCAUUGCUACUGGAGGUGCAGGGAAUCAAACCGACAACAAGGGUGUGACAUGUUUCAGGUGUGGGAAGACUGGACAUUUUGCUGACAAGUGUUCAGCGACUGGACCAAGAUGCUUUAAUUGCAACCGAGUGGGGCAUCUAGCCGUGGACUGUAAGGCGCCCAAGAGGGAGCCAUCCGUUAACACUGCAAGGGUAAAGCGCCCUGCUGCUAGAGGAAGGGUUUAUAUCAUGGACGGUGAGGGAGCUGAUGGGUUAACCGGAGGAGAGCGUAAGAACGAUGGUAACCUUCUACCCAUUCUUUCGCAUUCCAGUAUAAUACGCUUCAUUACUCUCGUAGCGUGUGCAACACGCCUAACUUAGUUAUACUGUUUGAGCUUUGACCUUACAGUUAUUACACCUAUUAAGAAUUUAUUUGACUGCUACUCGUGUUUUAACUAUAGAAGUUACACGAGGUUUAGAAUAACACACUAAGUCUAGAAAGUAGUCUUCCACCAAUGCGAUUAUAAGGAAGCUAGUAGCUGGAGAACGAAUCUUAGAGAGAUUCCUUAUGGGUAGUAUACGUGUUAUGUUGAGGGUGCGUAGUUCCGUAGCGGGACCGUUAAGGAUUGGAUGUUGGGAUAAUUGUGACUACUGAAUGAUAGGAACUCAUUGACUGUUCCAGUGGGUUUUUCUAAAUUUCCACCUUCGAUGUAUUAGGCCUGAUCAACCUAAUAUUGAGGGGGUGAUAUUCGGAAUCACAGCUGGUUAUGGACUUUGAUAGAAGGACGGGUAAGAUGAAUUUGAAUUGAUUGAGGAUUAGUCGGAUUUGGGAGGAAAGUUCGUGUUAAGCAUUUGAUUGUAAAAGAUUAAGAUUUGAAUCUGUGGAAGUCGAUGAGUGUCGUAUAGACAUUGAUUGGUUAGUUCGUGUGAUUACUCCAAGUAGAGGUAGACCAAGUCAAGAGAUUUAGUGCUGGAAAAGUAUUAAGUAGUUUCUCGGAAGUUAUGAAGUCAUAGGUUAUGUGAUUGCUGAGGGGAGUUGUUAGAGACUAAAUAAGUUGGAUUUAAUCAGGUUUUAGAUGAUAGCUUGAUGGUAGCGAGAUUGAGAAGAAUUAGCUCUGAACUAGAUUGUUAUAGUCGAGUUCGAGGAAUAAGUUUUGCUAAGCGUUUGAUUAAUAUGUGGAGACAUUAUAGUCUUAAGAGAUGAAGUUUCGCUUGAAAAGUGUUGAAUUAAUGAUUAAGUUGGAGAAAGAAAGUUUUAGCAUAAGUUGAAUACUUGAGGUUGUUGAUAUGGAUUCCAAAGAUAUAUGCUGAGAUUACUAAGUGAGAUUUACUAAGUUGGAUUGAAAUCUUAGGGUUAAGAUUGAAUCUUGAGAGCCUAGAAUCACGUACGAGUAGGAGAUCUUAUGGUUGUAGGUGUGACAAUAGGAGUUGAAUCUUAGAAGAUUGAAGACCUGAAGGUGAGUUUCGGGUUAAGACCAUUGAGGUGUAGUAUAAGAGAGAUCUUGAAGUAAGGGAAUUCUGGGUUGUGUGGAGUGUUAAGGUCGGUGAUCGAUUGAUGUUGAUUAUGAGGUUGCGGACAUAAUGACCAUGUGAUAAGACUUGAAUGAUGUUAGCAUAAUAAGUUGUGAAUGUGAAAGCAUGACGACACUGGUCAGGUCGUUUGGGUAGUGAAGGAGCUAUAGUUUUUAAGAAACGGAUAUUCAUUUAAGAAGUAUUGAAGGAUUAAAGGUCAUUAGAGGACCAAACUUGGUGAAGGUUUAGGUUUUAAAUCUAUGAAUGUCUGUCUAAGGUGUGUAGGACUUGAAGUUUGUCAGAAUUUGAUUGAGAAAUUAAGAAGUUGAUUGACGAGAUGGUGAUUGAGUCACAAAAAGGAAGGUGUUAGUAUUAAGACGAAUAUCUGAGGUUGUUAUAUUUUGACGAGUUUCGUAGAGUUUAAGAGUCAAUGGCUAGUUAAGUCCCUUGAGGUAUAGUUAUGAUGUAAUCUUCUAGAGGAUAAGUCUCGAUUUGUGCGAAGGGUUAGGGAUUUCAGUGAGUGUAAAUAGGUUUGAGUGAGGGAAGUUUCGAGGAAGAAGACGGUAAAAACGGAUUGUUAGAUAUUAAGAGGAGGAUUAUCUUAUAAGUUGUUGAUAAAUUGAUGUUGAAGGGGGAUAAGAUUAGUGAAGGACAAGGAAUAAGGACAUAAGUCGAGUUUUAAUUCGAAUAGUGACUAAGUAGAAGUUUGAUUACUUGGUGUGUGUAAAGAUAGUUACGAAGUUGGAGGUGUUUUAAUGGACUAUUAGAUUCCAACGCAAGAUUUCAUCUAGGAGUUAUCGAACGGACAAGUGGAGUUUUGGACUGUAGAUGAAGAUCACGAGGACAAGCUGGGUAUCUAUUUUGAGAUGACAGAGAGGCACUGAGUUUAAGAAGAAUUUCGGACGACCGAAAGUAAAGAAGUAAGUGGCUAAGAUUGUGCGACUUCACGGAAUGCCAACCGGUAUCAUUUCAAGAAGAGAUCCGACGCAAGUGAUCGAGCCAGACGACAUGAAGUUGAAUGAUGGUUUGUUUUUUGAGACACCGACAGUUAGCAGUGGGGAUAGAAGAGUGAAACAGUUAAGGGGAAAACAACUUGCUUAAGUAAAGGUUAUGAGGAACAAUGACACGGGCAAUGCUACAGGGGAAUUGGAAGACCAGAUCAAGGAACUGUAUUCCGGACUUUUCUCAGAACUCUGAGUUUCGAGGACGAAACUUUCUUUUUGGAGGGGAGUAUUGUAAGACCCGGAUUUUCGGAACAAGUUAAUUUCCGACUCACGCGUGGAAUCAGUGUAAGCGUGACAGGAGUUUGAUAUUUGAGAAAGAUUAAUGAAGAAGAAAGUUCAGGAAUUGCUCGAGGAAUGUGGCGUUGUUUCUUUCGGAGCUAGUGCGAGUCGUCUGCACACCUGCCUUAUGGCGAGCAUGUCCAGAAUAGGCUAUUUCGCUCUUAAAGCAACGUUUUAAGUGAGAUUUCGAACUCUUGGAAAAUUUAAAGUUUCUCUUUAUUUUUCCAUCGACCAGCGUUUCAUUUCGGAACUCUGGACUGUACGCACGAUAGGUUUAACUUUUCGGAUGUCCGCCGACGCUAAUUUCUUUGCUUCGAAACCUUAGUUUUGAGCGAAGGAUGAAGACUUUUUCUAUUCGGAACAUCUAACGAAGAUUCCGUCCGCGUUGCCAGACUUGUUUCGACAUUUCCAAUCUUUCUUCUGUUGGAAGUUUUGUCGUCUGAGCAUCACAGCAAAAAGUAGUUUUUCGGGACAGACUAACUUACACCGCUUUUGAGAUUUUAGAUAUCGUUUUUCCCAAAUCAUAGAUAUUUGUUUUGAGUUCUGGAAUUCUGACGCCAGAAUCUCUCUUAGAAUUCAUUGGUGAACGUGCUGCAAAAAUCGGAAUCGCGAAAUUUUCAUUUUCCCGCGAUUUCACCUGCCUAUAAAUAGCUCAAAAAAGCAAAAUAUCUUCAUUUCUUCCAUCUUGGGGCCGCGAGUUUGAGGGAUCUUGGGGGAGAAGAGAUUUUCGCGAAAACUUGACUGAUCUUCGUGCAGUUCGUCCCUACUUCGAGGUACCGAGGUAACUAACACGAUUCUUACCUCUGAUUACUGUUUCUAUUGCGUUUCUGAAGUCGUUUCUGUGCUCACAGUUUUGAGCUUUUUGUAAAACUGUCCGUUUUCUCUGAUUUCUUUCUUGGGUUAUCUUCCCUACGUUCCCAAGAGUCUAAAACAUCUGUCAGUAAUCGCCGAUUGCGAUCAAGCUGUCCAGGAUUUGAAAAACUGUUUCAAAACCCCUUUUGGCGCACAUUUCAAAACUUUAUUGUCGAAAAGUCGUAAUCUGACUUCGUGCCUUUAGGAUUUGUUGUCACGGAUGUCGUUAGGAUCAUUGCUGUCAAAUUUGUUUUCCGAACUGAUAACUUUGAGGUUUUGAGCUUUUAUUUUGGACCAAAACGCCCCUGAACGGCCGUAUUUUGAUCCGAUUGUCCGAAAAUUGUUCCGACAGUUUCUGUGCCUUAGUUUUACCCUAAAACUACCUUGUGAACAGAUUUGAUCGAAGAAAAAGAGCCGGAGCUCUUUUUCCUUAAUGGCCGAGAGCUAUUCCUUUAGGGGGGAGUUUUCGUUUUCGAAAACUUGUCUUUUCGUACCCGAUUGUCGUAUUCUGAAGCUUUAAUGCUUGUCUAUCGUUUAUGUGUUGUAUGCAAUCGAACUAAUCGAUUUGUUNNNNNNNNNNNNNNNNNNNNNNNNNNNNNNNNNNNNNNNNNNNNNNNNNNNNNNNNNNNNNNNNNNNNNNNNNNNNNNNNNNNNNNNNNNNNNNNNNNNNAAAAGGGAACCACCAAGUAAGGUGUUCUUGUAGAAUAGAGAUGGAGGUUUCAUGCCAAUGAGAAAGGAUUCAUUGCCACAUUUGAAGACGACUGUGUCCUUGUGCGGUACCAACAAUAAACCACUCCUCAGGCUUCUGUGAUUGUGCAGAGGUUGCAUAAAUGUGGCGAUCAAUGUCUGGUGUUCGUUCGAGGUUUUCUUUCUUAUCGCAAAAUCUCCAACAAUGGCUCCUUGGAAAUUUGAGAGCUAGUUGUGAUUGGGACGGAGCAUCCUGGAGAAGACUAUUCGUGAACGCAACUUGGAGCUUGUGGAAGAUGCGGAAUGCUGUGAUUUUCGAAUAGGUGUAGUGGAGUGACGCAACAGUGGACAACAAAUUCAGUUUGGUACAAUGACUUAUAUGCAAACAUGGAGCUCCUAGAAUCUGGCCCAAGUAAUAGUUCCAGUUUAUGUUGGUUGUUUCCUUGUGUGGGGUAGCUGAAAUUAAAUGUUGAUGGCUAGGUGUGCCACAAUAGGUAAGGCUAGUUGUGGUGAAGUUUUCUAAGAUGGCGAUGGGAAUUGGACCAGAGGUUUAUGCAGAAGAAUAUGCACCUCAAAUCGUUUAGGACUCCCUUUACAAUGUGAUUACUGAGAGUGACUCUGUCGAGGCUAUUGAGGCUUUACUGUCGCAUGCAACCUAUGCGUCCCGAUAUUUGGAGAUGGUUAAUUAGAUUCGUUGGAGUAUUUUGUCUCACCUUGAGGUGAAGUUUCAAUUUACCAAUCGAGAAGGCAACUCGGCGGCUGAUUGUCUUACUCGGUGAACCAUGGGUAAUUUUUUUUCUCGAAAUGAAACAUGCAUAAAUAGGUCGGAAUGCAAUUAGCUAUAUACCCAUGAUCAACUGAGUCAAAUGUAACCAUGAAACAUAUAUAACAAAAACUCUUGGUGAAAAUAGUUUUUUCAAGAUAACAGUGAAUAGUCAAUUAUGCAAAUAACACCCUUUUUACUUCCUGAAGAUAUUUUCUUUCCACAAUACAUACGUUACCCGCAAACCUCCUUUUAUAAGAUUAAAUAACAGAAUAACAAUACAAAGCAUUCAUAAACACCCUGAUCAUUUCACAUCGUCGACAUCUCAAGUAGAUUCUCCUCUUCAUUAGGAUCCUCAUCUACAACACUUGGAGUUGACUCCAGAGAGCACAUCGCAAAUUAGUAGGUUACCCGCCAUCGUCUGGUGGAGACGCCCAAAGUACACCCACAAGAAGAAAAUAGUGCAAUAGUCAACUUCUUUCUAUAGAGUUAAGUAGUUAACAUAGAACGUGCCCAUACAACAUACAAUGCUCACACAAGGUAACAAACAUACAAUAUCCUAAACACACAUUGUUGUUCUAUUAGUGCAUGGAUUUUCUCCCCUCUUUAACUUCCUUUGUUAGUUCUGGUGCCCACUAGGGUGAGCAAGAUUCAAAUUGGUCCAUGGGUGGACCAGGGUUAUACACCAUAAAUAUAUUAAUAUUUAAAGUGUGUGGUCAGGAUGAUGAACCUACAACUUGGCAAUCAGGUGAAGAAGACAUUAUUCAUGGAAUUUUGAAAAUUUGCUAAGGUACCCCUGUACCUUUGUAUCACCACUUGAUGUCAUAUUGGUUGUGGUCCCUUCCUUCACUGUUCACUAUAUUGUCUUUUGUGAAUGUCCCGUUCGUCCCUUUCGUAAUAAAAAACCGCCAUUGUUGUAGUGUAAAGCUGUGACUGAGUUUUUUCGAAAUGAAAUCAUCUCCAUUUGUUUGAUAAAAAAACGUUGAAGCGGUGGUGUAGAGAGAUGAAGCACACGAAUAUUUGGUUGUGGAAGACAGAGAAAUAAGGGGACACCCACGCGUUCGUAGCGUUUACGAUUUGUUGUUAUUUGACGCAGAGGGUUGUGGAGGAUUCUGAACUGGCGUUGCGUGAGUUGGCGACAAUCGCAUGUCACCUGUUCGAGGAAAUUCCCCACAGGCAAAGAACUGGUGCUGGUGAGUUGGGUACAACAGCAUGCCAAUUGUUCGAUGAAAUGCCCCACAGAAACUGGGUUCAACGUACAUUGCCAGUUUGUUGGGAAGUGCAGCUCACAGUUGUUGUAAUGAAUUCAGGAACCAUGAUUCACUCAUUGUGACCCCAUGAUACAGUAACUGAAUGAAUAAUUUUGGUGACCUUAUUUAGCCAUGAUGCCAUUAAGAUUGACCUGUGUCCCCAUGAGUUUGCACCAUUGUUUAUAGGUUUGAAUUUGUGUGAAUCACAUUGCCUUCCCUGAGGUUCAAUGAGUCAGGUAUUGGCCAUCUUAGCACAUGUUGGUUAUUGUAAAGAUUAAAACGUUAUACAUUUGGUGCAGUUAGUGAUUGAUAAAGAAAGUAAAGCAAACCUACAUGUAUUCAGCAAGCUGUGAAACUAUUUUGAUGAUAAAGUUAUGGGCUUAUGUUAUCAUUAAUAGCAUGAUUCAAUCGAAUAAACUUGGUGUAUUAUCACAACUAUUUUGUGUCAUCGAUAUCUUUUAUCUACUGUUUGCAUACCUCAGGUCUGGUGAUUUUGGAGAAUGAAUCAACCUUUCAGACCAGGCAUUUGUAAAAUAUUAGUUAGAGUCUAGCACAGAUUUGAAAAGGAUGUGAUGUGGUAUGCGGAGGUGUUUCUACACAACAACUUUUUGGCCAGAAUUAUGUGAAGAUCAGACGAUCAGUUGAUACUUUAGAUGGAUAAGUAAUCCUCAUAAACAUGAUUUAUCUAUCAUUCAUCCAUGAAUCUUAACAAAGUGUGGUAAACUGAUUAAGAUUNNNNNNNNNNNNNNNNNNNNNNNNNNNNNNNNNNNNNNNNNNNNNNNNNNNNNNNNNNNNNNNNNNNNNNNNNNNNNNNNNNNNNNNNNNNNNNNNNNNNUCCCGGUAGGUUCCAUUGUAAAUCUUGAGUUGUGAACCUAUAGGGAGAAUCGGUUAUCCCCCAAGUCACCUAUUUGUCGCAAUCAUCUGUUUUAUCUACAACUGCACUGGUAUAUUGAUUCAUUUUCUGAAUUUCUCGAGUAUUUCUUAAUGACAAACUGGCAAACUAAUGUCAAUUAUUUUACGUUCAGUAUCAUUGAAAGGAGUGAUAAAAUGGGAAAUAUGAACAUUUAGAAGAAAAAUGUAAAACUAAAACAUCAAAUUUCAGGUCAACUUUCUAUUUAUAACUUUUGGCAUGUGUAGUUUUGUGAGCCAAACAUAUCGUGGCAUGUUGCCUGCGUAUUUAGAAGACUUAAAAUAAAAGAAUUUACAAUGAUUCUUGAAGGUACUUGCCACAACAUCUGUACCAGUGCUUAUCCACACAAAAUCUACACAAUGUGAAAAAGAAAAACAAUAAAUGAAGUAAGAAGUAUCAUGGACCCCAAGUCUUUCAGUCCUUUGGAUAUAACUUCACUUGUAACGAUCCAAAUUUUUCUUCUCGAACUUGACUAUUCUGCUGUUGAAUAUACUUUCCUUGAAGAUGGGCCUAUCCUGGGGUGUAAUUUUAGUGCAUUGUAGGGCUAUCUCAAGUACUUGGAAUGUAGCAAGGUUUUUGCCAGGUAAAAGAGGUUUCAGCACAGAGUCUAUCAAUUCCUCACGGGAAGAGCCAUGCAUACCAAUAUGCAUCUCCACCCAUCUCACUAUGUUCAUGUCUGGUCCAAAACUUGUUGGCAUUCUACCGCUAAAAGUUCCAUAAGAACGACUCCCAUGCUGUAAACAUCACUUUUUUCUGUUGCCUGCAGGGAGAAUGCAUGCUCUGAAAACAAGCCAAAUUUAACCAACUUUGAUUAGUGAUUGAAGUUAGACAGAAAAUAGUUUAAGAUCAAUUCAAAUCAGCAGUUUGAUCAAUAGUUCAAUACCUGGAGCCAUGUAGCCGUAAGACCCAGCAAACCAAGAAUUUGACUCAGUAUUGGAGUCAUCAUAAUUCUCAAUCAGAGCUUUUGCCAGUCCAAAAUCUCCCAAGUGUGCCUCCAUUUUAGAAUCUAGCAAUACAUUGCUAGAUUUGAUGUCCCUGGGAAUGAUAUUUGGCACACAAUCAUGAUGGAGGUACUCCACUCCUUGAGCCAGUCCCACAACAAUUUUCAACCUUGUCUCACAAUCAAGGCUCUUCUUUACUUUACUCUCCUUGGCUGGUUUACCCUGAAGCCAAUCCCACACACUCCCAUUCUUCAUGUACUCAUAUAUCAGCAGAUUCCAACCUGCUCCUUUGCCUUUACUGCUACAAUAUCCUAUUAGCUUCACCAGAUACCUCUCUCAUGAAGCUUUUAUCGAAAAGGAAAUCAUCUUUUGAUGAAAUCUUCUUGACAGCAACUGUAUCUUCAGUAACCAAUUCAGCUUUGUAGAUUUUCCUUGAACCAAUCAUGAAGUCAUCACUUAGUUUGUUUGUGGCAUCCAUGAUGUCUUCCCACCUGAAAUCUCUCUUUCCAGGAGCAUGCAUGUAGUUUAAAAAGUGGCCGCCUUUGUGAUGAAGAGUAAACAUAAGUCACUUCACUGUUUUUCCUAAAGAAUUCUUGCUUGUUUCUGCAGAAGAUCUGAGUGAAAGCACCAAGAGUGCAAUUGCAGCUGAUGUUGAAAUAGCAUAAAUUAUCAUUACUGAUGACUCAUUUCGGGCUGAGUUCUCAUUGUUGGGAGUAUCAUCGCAGCGGUCAGAGGGCUUCCACAAAGAUGUAAGUUCCGCUUCAUCCUCACCAAUUGACUCCGACAGGGUGGGUGUGGGUGAUGACAGAAUUCCAGCAACAUUUUUCCCUUCACCAAUUGAUGAAAAAUCUAUAGCAAAGGGACAACAGUAACUCAGAACCAACGUACUCGAUAUCAUUUUCCACAUACUCGAUUAAGAGGUAAAUAAUCCUCAAUAUUUGUUACAAGAUUACGACCCAGAUACUAUGUACGAAGCUCAACAAUGUAAUUUAUGAAUACAUCUGUUCCUCAUAUCAGUUUUACACACCCAACCCAACCCAAAUUAUGAAUUCGAUAGAAAAAACAAAAUUCCGAACAAUGGACCUAUUAAUCAAAAAAAUCAUUCAGAUCUGAUCGAUACUUUAUUUGUACUAACAUGUUUCGUCACAAAGUAGCAGAUAGCCAUUGAUACGAAGGGAUGAGAAGAUGAUGGAAACCAUAGGACACACCUUAGGAUUGCAUUGGGGUGUUUACAAUUUACGUUAUUUUACAAGCCCUUAUUUGAAAUUAAGCAAAAUACUGCCACAAACCCAGUAACCUGAAAAAACCAGUCAAAAAGCAAAAUACUGCCACAAACCCAGUAACCUGAAAAAACCAGUCAAAAACCCUGGUCCACCGAUGGGCCAAUUUGAUACUUGCCCACCGUUAGUUCUUUGACGAAGGAGAAAAUUAUAGUGCAUUCAUUAAAAGAGAAGUGAUGCCCUUUAGUUUCUUUUAUAUAUAAUGGUCAAAUUGGUCCCUAUGUUUGCAGUGACUUUUGAUUUUAGUCCCUCCUCAGAAAAAACAAGCUAAUAUCGCCCUGCAGUUGCAGACAUUUUGGUUUUAGUCCUCACCGGAGGGGGAGCUCCGGUAAGGCCCCACCUGGCACGCUGACGUGUUAAAACAAUCCUAAGUGGAUUUUAAAAAAAAAAAAUUAAAACCCAAAAUACCCAAAAUACCCUUCCUUCUAUUUUACACCUCCAAUUCCCCCAAAUCUCUCCUAAAUUCCCAAAUCAACUUGGAAUGCAAAGAGGAAUUAAACCCAAAAAUCAACAUAUUCACCUUCACUAAAAAAUUUUAACAAUUACCCAGAAAAAUCACCCAAAACCCUGCAACAAUCACCCCAACCCUUCUCCAUCCCUCCCUCUCACGCUCCCCAACCCCAAACCCAUCACCAAUCUCUGAAAACCCAUCAAAAAGUCUAUAACAGCAGCUAUUUGUUUCAACAAAUCCACUAGAGGUUCAAAUAGAAAAUACCUAGAAAACAACCAAAGGUUGAAGCUUUGUCGCCCCAAGGUUGAAGUUUUGUUCAAAGGGGUUUUGUUCCUGGGUUUUGUGCCAGACGGAAACAUGCAAGUACCAGAUCGAAGCUUUCUCUUCCUGGGUUUUGUUCAAAGCUUUGUGUCUGUCUAAAGCCCCCUUUAUUCUCCCUCGGUGCCUCUCAUCCUCAACACCUGCGUCCAGAUCGACGAGAAAUAAAAGCUAGAUAAUAUUCACCCCUGCAUCCAAAAUUACCGAUCCAAAACGCACACCCUUCAUUGUUUUUCCUUUCUUCCAUUUUUUAAUAAAUAUCUGGGAACUAGGAAGGGCAGCAUACAAAUAUGUUAAUAAUGUGUUACGUUUUAAAAAAAACAAUGUUUACAAUUAACAUUUUAUUAAGAAUAAGUGUGAGCAUAACAAGUAUAUAGAAGAUAAGAGGCAGAGAGAAGCAAGAGUUUAGAGAGAAGAGAGCAAAAGAAGAGAGAAUAGUAUGAAUGAGGAGUGCUCAUCUUGAUGCAUCUCCUUUGUAUUUAUAGGGGUGAAUAUGGAUGAAAAUGCCAAGUUACAUGGGCUUGGGCAUGGCCCAUGAUGGUCAUCCAAAUGAUUCAUAACACCCCCCCCCUUGGAUGACCAUCCCUCAAGAAUGUGCUCAUUAAAACCUUACUAGGAAAACCCAGUGGGAUAAAAACCUAGUGAAGGAAAAAGAGUACAUCAUUCUAUAGCACGACUUUGUACAUUGCCUCAUUAAAAACCUUACCAUGAAAAACCCAAUGGGAAGAAAACAUGGUUAAGGAAAAAAGAGUACAAUGCAUUUUAAUUGAGAUCUUUAAGCCGACGAACUCUGAUAUUUCGCACAAGCUUUUCAAAUGUUGUUGUUGGAAGAGCUUUCAUAAAUAAGUCUGCCAAAUUAUCACUUGAACGAAUUUGUUGGAUGUCUAUGUCACCAUUCUUUUAUAGAUCAUGAGUGAAGAAGAGUUUCGGUAGUAUGUGCUUUGUUCUAUCUCCCUUGAUGUAUCAUUCUUUAGCCUUGUGUUGUCUGCAAGAUGAUGGAUGAAUCUCUGAUAUAGAAUUUCUCAUAUUCAGAUUUGAACAAAAAAAUCAGAACUGGUUAAAAGUGUAACGCCCCGAAUUUCAGGGGUUACGGUAAUAACCUGAUAAAGUAAAUAUGCAAUGUUUUCCAAAAGGAUUUAUAACCAUGCGUAUAUUUUUUUCUUUUCGAAGUAUUCCCAAAACAUGACAUGCAUACUCCCAACUGUAAAUAAAUUUACAUCAAACCUUGAACAAGGCGAGUACCCGAAACCCCAAAUAUAAAUUUCUAAAAUCAUUAUGCAAGCUUAAACCAAUAACGGUAAGCUCUCUAACCCAAGGCUCUAGCCCUACACCCGACUCUAUUCUUCGAGUCAUCUACAGUUCUUCAAGUCCUCAUCUCCACUCGCACAAAGGUUAAGCUCCAUCAAAGAUUCUUCAUCGCCUAAUAGCGUUAAGCGCCCAAACAACAAGUAGCAAACAGAAAGGGUUAACUCCAUGCAAUUACCACGUAUAAAAGGGAAAAGCAUGCUAUCAAAGUUUAAGUGCGUAACAUGGCACAUAAGCUAGCAACUUAAUCUCAAUAUAGAUAACGACAUAUAUCCAACAACCUAAAUUUAAUUCAGAUAUCAACAACAUAGAUUUAAAUCAGAUAUCAGCAAAAUCAACAACAUAGAAUCAAACCAAAUAUCCACAACCUCAACAAUAUAAAAUCAAAUCAGAUAUCAACAACCUUAAAAAUAUAACAUCAAAUCAGAUAUCAACAACUUCAACAAUAUAACAUCAAAUCAGAUAUCGACAACCUCAACAAUAUAAUCAAUCCAUAUAACCCAAUAUAUAAGUGCUCUGUAGUAAAACUAUGUGCUACUACUAAGACAAGUCAAAUAAAAAAAAUGUCUCGCAAGACGAGACAGUCACCUGGAACGAAAACCAUUGAUCUGCCACUUAAUAACGCCACGAAGGCCACAUAGUAGUACACCACGAAGGCCACACAAUCGGUCAAAUCAAAAGCGUCUCGCAAGACGGGACAAUCAUGUGGAACGAAAACCACUGAUCAGCCACUUAAUAACGCCACGAAGGCCACACAGUACGCCACGAAGGCCACACAAUCGGUCAAAUCAAAAGCGUCUCGCAAGACGGGACAAUCACGUGGAACGAAAAGCACUGAUCUGCCACUUAAUAACGCCACGAAGGCCACACAGUCCGCCACGAAGGCCACACAGUACAAUCCAACAACGCAUAUGCACAAAUAUCAACAAUUUCAAAUCCAAUAAUCAAGAUAGAGUAACCCUAUGUUACUCUUAAUAUCAACAAGCAUUCGUCAAUUCAGUUCCAUAUCCGCACAAACACAUCAAGCUCUAUUGAGCGAUGAAUCAAUAAUUCAGUGCUGGAAAACAUAACCCUGUCAUAUCAACUAGAAAGCAGUAAUAACAGAAACCAGUAAACGGCCGAAGCCUCUCAGAAAAUGGAGACACACGUCUCAAUAAGUUCACUCGGCCAAAGCCUCCAGAAAACAUUUUCCCAGUUCAACACAACAGUCAUAAUCAAAUGUCAAUCAAUUUAAACACAUUCAUCUCAAACGCAUGCAGUGCGCUAAAAGCAUGCAAGACUCAAAGACGUGCUAAAACUGAGUUACCCUUACCUUAGUCAAUUUCUUUCCUAAACUGCAACUACAAUCCAAUCACAUCCCUGCUUUCCCGUGUCGGCUCGCUUCUUUUUGUCCUUUGGCUUCGUCGCCAAGCGCUUCCGUUAUUCAUACCCUUCAUAAGUACACAAAGCGUAAUUACUAAUUGAGCUACCUACUUUCCAAGUCUAAUUCCUCACUCGGGAAUCCAAACCUAACUGCUCUAUCUCUAACCAAAUAUGUUAUCCUUAAAACAUUCAUUAACAAAAGAGAUAAUAUCCAAACUCUUAUUCCCUAACACUUCCAAAAACUUGUUCGACUUUCAAAACAUUUCGCAAUCGCUCUCUAACGAAUAAAUGAGCGUAAAACUCAAACGUCAUCUAUUUUCAUAAACGGAUAAACAACAUACGUAAGUAAAGUCCAAAAGGGGUUUUCCUACUCCAAAGCAUUGUAACAUAUUUUUAAAAUAAAAGGUUUACUCAUCUAUUUUCCAAAGCAACUCUUUGCACUUGAAAUAACUAAUUUUGUCAAACAAUUAUAAACUGUACAGCGACUUUUGCUAAUUUUUAAAUAUGUCAAAUGCACUCCGAAAACUCUAAUAUUUUUAUUAUGGGUUCUUUAACAUGUUUUCUAAAUCCCUGUAAAUUUUCAAGUCGAAAUUCGAAGUAUAAAAUUCGGAAAAAAAAAAUACUAACAACAGUUUGCGAGAAACGGGACAGCUUAACCCGUGCUCACUAAAAUGCGCAUAACUUGAGCUACACAAGUCGGAACGACAUGAAACCAGCGGCAAACGUUUUCUAACGAAAAGAUCUACAAUUCUUACGAAGACAACUUCUUCAAAUUCAUUAGUUUACACAGCUUAAGAACGAGUUCAAGAGUUCAAAAUCCUGCCCAGUUUGUUUCAUUCAAAAUCCGGAGAUCGGAGAAUGAAGGUGGAUGAAGUUAGGGUUUCAUGGUGGCUCUAUUUCUCUGGUUUCGUUGCUUCACGUCGCUCCUGAAGGUGGUGGUGCUCGCGGCUGAGCCAGCAAGAGGAACGGUGGUGUUGUGCGUGAGGGAGAGAGCUCAGUGUGGUGGCGGCCUGUUCUUGAGAGAGGAACUAGAACAAGAACGGUGGUGGUACUGGUUCAGUCAAGGAGAGAAGAUGUUGCACGGUGGUGGUGGUGUUUGGCCUUGGGUGGCGGCUACCAAGAGGCGGAGAAGAAGAUGUUGUGGUGUGGCACUUGCAGAAGAGAAAGAAAAAGAAGAAGAAAAUGGUCUGGUGUAGAAAAGAGAAGGAACACGUGAAGAAGAAGAAAAUGUUGUGGGGGAAGAGAGAGAGCGUCGAGUGUUAGUGAGUGAGGGAAGAAAAUAAUAUCUGAUUGAGUGUAGGUGGGUCCCACAUGGAGAGAGAAAGUGAUAGGAAAAGAUAUUUUGAAUGAGUGAUUGUAGGGAAAAAGGAAUAAAGAAUAUUCCUUUAAAUAAAGAAUAUUCCUUUGAGGUAGGCUAUCACAGGUAACUAAGAAAGGUAACAUGUUAGUACAGAUCAUCCCUUAAUAUUAGAAAGUGAUAACUAAAGUAUGUGAGCUAACUUAGGAAUAUGAAUUCCUAAAAUUAAUCAUAAAUAGUAAAGUAAAAUUUAAUUAAAAUAUUAUUCUUAUUUCCAAAGAACCCUACAAAAUAAACAUAUAAAUAAUAUAAUAGAAACACUUAAUUGGUUAAUAAAACGAAAUAAAUAAAUAAUCUAGUUAUUUAUUUCAUAGUCUUACAAAAAGCAUGUUCCAUUUUGUCAAUCAAUGACCAAUUCAGAACCAAACAACUAUGCAAUAUCCUUUUACGCCUUUGGGGUAUAGACUUCAAGUCCAAAGACUCUUAUAUUUUUUGGCAAAUGAAUUGCUUCUUUAUAUGUUCGCCAACCACACCCUUUUAUAUGGGUUCGAUAUUCUCGCACUUAUAAUAUUAAGCGCUACUUCAUCUGUCGACAACUUUUCAAGUUCUUGGUUCCUUGUUUCAACUUGUAGAGAUAUCAUUGAUUGAGAUCUCUUUGUAUCAAUAAGCACAGGUACCUGAACCUGUUUAAGAGGAGGUUUAAACAGUUUUCGUAAUCUCUACACUUUUCAUGAUAAUUUUUCUCAUAACAAGACCAUCUUCCUUCUCUAAGAGUUAUCUUUAGAACCAAGCUUAGGCAUGUCUUAGCCUAAUAAAAUUUUAAUAGAGAGUGUUAUCACCCAGCUUUUCAGUCUUCACUGCACCAAUUUGUCGGUUCUGAACAGAUCGAUGUUGGUUGAUCUUCUCGGCUCUUCUCUUCAGAAUCUCCAUUUCAGCCUUUGAGAAGGGUGCCUUUCCACCUUUCUUGGAAGGAGCCUUAGAGGCGGUUGCAAGAACUCCGGCCAUUUGAUGCAAAUAAGUAACACAAGAAAGGGGGGUUUGAAUUGUGUACUUGAAAUUUACGUUUUAAAAACUUUGUUUUAUGAAAAGAAUAUUGGUUCUUUUUUAGAAAACGUUUAAGUAUGACUUUUCGUAAACUGUUCGGAGCAGUGGAAGUUAAACAGUAAGUAAGACAGAACGAUCAGCACACAGGGAUUUAUAUUGGUUAACCCUAAACGAUUGGGCUACGUCCAGUACUUGGCCACCACCAAGAUUUUCACUAGCAAGUUUCACGGACUUAUCCAAUACAAGUAUUCUCAGGGACUUUUCCCACAACAAGUAUUUUCAGGGACUUCUCCCACAACAAGUAUUCUCAGGGACUUCUCCCACCAUGUAUUCUAAGGACAUCUCCUCCAACGUAUUAUCAGGACGCCUCCUUACAAGUAUUAUCAGGACUUCUCCUAAAACAAUCUUUUGCAAGAUGUUUUUCUUCUACAUGAUCUAUUCUUACAAGAGUGAGGUAGACAGUUCGGCUCAAAUGAACUACAAAGUGUUUUGGACAGAUUUGACUCUUAGAAAACUUUGUGUUCUAGAUCUAGAGAGGCUUGAGAGAGUAUUUGACUCUUUUGGAUCUGUGCUCUCUUUCUAAGAUAUGACUCUUAAGCUCAAUACUUUGAGUACUAUGUACUUGGAGAGGAUUCAAAGUUUGGUUCUCUAGUACAUGGUUGAGAAGAAUAAGUGUUUGACUCUUAGCUUUUCUUCAAAGGAUGAAAAUCACUUGAAAUGAAGGAUGGCUGGAAUGCUAAGUGAUUUCUCCAUUCUUUUCUUCUCUUCAUCUACAUUGUGCUGCACUCUCUCUCUCUCUUACAAGUCUUCAAGUCUUCCUUUUAUAUCUUCAAGGCUUCUAGUGGAUAGUGAUGUGUUGGCACGUUGAGAGCCUUUCAAUUUUCUAACCGUUGCUCCAACAGCUCUUUUCUUGAGCAUUAAAUAUCUUGUACCUGCUCCCCAUGACUUUUUGCUCAAAGUGGUACUUUCUCUCUCUUCCUUUUUGUACUUUUAUGACAACAUUGUAAUUCGUGCAUUGGAGAGUGUGUAGAGAUAGAAAUCACGUGAGCUUCUUUGCUUCUUUUCUAAGCUGAUUUGACAAGUCCCCUUUUUUAUCAGAAGAUAUUUUCAAUUUGAAUUUUCAAUUUGAGUUUCCCGGUUCGUUGUCUUGAACGGUAGGAUGAUGAUAGUACCCAUCGGACGGUAGUCAUCGAACGAAUGAAACUUUGCAUAGUCUGAACAGUCUAGCUCUUUCUUCGGACAGUUUGUGAUGAUGUCAUGAAAUAUAUUUCACGCCUUUGCUUUGACUGUCUGGCUUAAGCUUUGACUUUCCUUCUCCUUGUCUGAACAGUUUAAUGAUGAGGCCGUGAAAAUCCUUUCACGCUUUAACUUGAACUGUUUGGCGAGACUUGUCUUUGGCUUCAUUUCUACUAGCUUGAUCAAUUAACGAUGAUGAUCCCAUGGAAGUGCUUCCAUGCUUAUGACUUGAACUGUCUAGCUCAAGCUUUAUCACUCUUUCUUCUUCUUCCUCAUUUCACAAUGGCUUCAGAUGAUGCACUGAAAUUUCUUCCAUGCUUUAGCUUGUACUGUUUGGCUUGAUCCUUGAACUCUUCUUCACCAAGUGGUCUAAGAUAUUUCCAAAUAUGAAGAUGACGCUUAAUCUGUUGACUUCGCAGCUUGGUCCGUUGGAUAAACUUUCUUUGAUCCUUUAGAAGGUCCUCUUGCUUUAGAUUGUCUUCUUUCCUUAGAUGGUCUUCUUUCCUCAGACGGUCUUGUGACUGGACAAUUGACUUUGGCCAACUCUUCAGGGUUUGAACUGUCUUGCAGAUUUUGCAUUUUUGCUUGGACAGUACACAUAACAGCUAUGAAUGAUAAGACAUGAUAUUUUCUGAAAUACACAAUAUAUGAAAUUUUUAGUAUUUCAUUUAUACCCUUGAAAUUGUUAUCAUUCAAAACAUGAUAAACGAUGUAGAUAUGCGUUUGAAUCUUACAAUCUCCCCCCUUUUGAAGAUGACAAUUUUAAGAUAAAACAGGAGAUUUCAUAUAAGAAAACUAUAGAAUGCGGGACCCCCCUGAGUUUUAUAAGAAAAGCCUUAGAUUUUCAAGAGAGUAAAAAUUUCAUAUGGUUCACUCUCUUCCUAAGCUUUCUUUUCUAAACUAGGUCAUUUUUCUCUUUUUAUUCUUCUCUCACUUUUUCUCUUUUCUCUCCCCCUUUGGCAUUUUCAAAAAGAAUGAACUAAUAUGCACAAGCAGUAAGCAUAUAUGCACCAUGCAUCAAAUUAUAAUCAUGCUAGGAUAAUGCAUAUGCUUGCUAUUAAAAGUAAAGCAUUAAAUAGUGAGAGUUUAGGAGAGUGGCUUAGCCAAGUUUCUUCAAGAUCAGCUCCAGGGAGCUUGCAAUUGAGUCAAAACACCGAUUGACAUAUGCUAUGUUAUCCUCAAGGGCUUGAGCGAGCGAAAUAGGAUCAGCAGCAACAAGCAUGUUCUCCUCAUACUUUUCUUCUUCAACCAAGAGCUUAGUUUGAAUCAAGUUCUUCUUGAUGUUGAAUAACUUCCAGAUCCAUGAUGAUAGAUAAUGAAGUCCUUGGUAGCAUAGAACCAAGGUAAUUGUGUGGACUUAGGCGGCAUGUGGUGUGCUUCACUUUUAUCCUCAUAAAAUGUUAUUUUAAGCGCUUGAGGUAGUGAUCGUUUAGGCACAAUGUAUUCAUUUUCCUUGCCUUUCCUGGUAUCGUCUUCCUCUCAGACUUAGACUGAAAAUCUUCAGGAGCUUGAGAAUCAUCAACUUCAAAAAUAUUCUCUAAACAUCAAGAAGGUUGAUGGGUUCCAAGGUAGGGAAUGGAAUAAAUGCUUUAAAAACCCAAGUAUCAUUAAUGCUAGGUAUGAUAACUAUUAUGCAUAAAAUGCGCCAAGGCCAUUCCUCUUCUUAUCACAUGAACUGAUAAACGAUGAUAAUACCAGGGUUUGAGCUUAUCCAGAGGUUGACAAUCAGUAGAUAUGGACGAUAUCGUGCAGACAGUGUAAGCUUGAUCUGGACAAUACUUCAUGAUCUGGUGACGACAUAUUCCGCUUCAGCAAUGAGAUUGAGCCUUGUCACUUACUGGUCUAGAAUAUCAGACUUGACCAAGGUAGUGGUUGUCUCCACUAGUGCUCUUUCUUCCAAUAAUGCCUCAAGAAGAAUGUCUGAUGGGUGUUGGUCUUAUUAGCCUUGUGAAUGGGAAAUAAAGAACCAAGAACAUCGAUGGGUGUGCACCGAAGAAGACUUCUUAGCUUGGUAGGAGCAGCUGACUUGUUGGUCACAGGAGACCCAUUGUUGGCCCUUGUUCUGGAAGCAAAUGGUUGAGAGAGAGAGGUGGAAGGGGGUGCUCCACUCUUAAUAAUUCUGAUAGACCGUUCUUUGGUGGGACCUUGGAAAAGUUUCCAGACAGUUCUACAACAUCGUCACUGGACGAUGAUAUCUUCAGUCCUCUGGGAGAGACUUUUCAAGACGGUCUCUUCUCUGCCUUGCUAGAAUCAACUUUCUGCUUUUUCUUCUUGUCCUCACCAGACGGUUCAGACAUUUCAUCUUUCCUUCAGUACCCUUCUUCUUCUUUGGCAAAAACUCCUCAGGAACUUCAGAUGCAUCAUUGUCAAUUUUGAGUAAUGGUGAUAUGCGUCGAUUAACGAUUUGAGGUGACGGUUUUGGAAAACUAUGCAUUGGCGGUUUCUUUGUAGAGAGAGAAAACAAUAAGCCAUGGGCAGUGGCUCCACACGCCAUUCAAGCUGCAGGAAUAAUUGUUCCUCAUUGAAUGUGAUAUGUCUUUUCAUAAUUUAACUGUUGAAGCACGUGCCAUAGAUAUGAUGACGUUGAACUUUGCAAUAGCUCUGCCAACUGUGAAUGAACGAUAGGGAAUUCCAUAGUACUACUUCAUAAGAUGGUGUGGUGCUGAACGAUUCUCAAAUAUUCCAGACGAUAGAAGUGUUGAACGAUGCAUAAUUUCUUUAAUAUGCAGAUUGCAUAUUAAUUCUUGCUCUCAGAUCAGCAAAUCUGCUUUCUUAUAAUGACUUCAUGAGAAUGUCAGCAAGUUGAUCUUCAGUGUAUACAUGAGAUAUAUCAAUAUGUCCUUUUGCCACAAGAUCUCUAAUGAAGUGAUGCUUGAUUUCAAUAUGCUUUGUCCUGGAAUGCUGAACAGGAUUAUUAGCUAUGUUGAUGGCGCUUGUGUUGUCACAAAGCAGAGGUAUACUGCUCUCAUGGAUAUUAUAAUCUUCAAGUUGAUGUUUUAUCCAUAGAAGUUAUGUACAACAUGAGCUAGCUGCAACGUAUUCAACUUUAGCAGUGGAUAGAGAUAUUGUACUUUAUCUUUUACUUGUCCAAGAGACUAGACAGUUUCCUAGAAAGUGACAUCCUCCACUGGUGCUCUUUCGUUCAACUCUAUCUCCAACAUAGUCAGCGUCACAAAAUCCCUUUAGCCUGAAAUCACUACCUUUCUCGUACAAGAGACCAAGAUUAGCAGUACCUAUUAAAUAUCUAAAUAUUCGUUUAACAGCACUAAGGUGUGAUUGUUGAGGAUUUACAUGGAAUCUUGCACAUAAGCAAACACUGAACAUUAUGUCUGGUCUGCUGGACGUUAGAUACAGAAGUAAUCCUAUCAUUCCUCUGUACGGUGUUGGAUCAACUGGUGAACCUUCAUCAUUCUUGUCCAGGACUGUAUUUGGAUACAUGAGAGUGCUCAUUUCAUUUGAUUUGUGCAUGUUGUAUUUCUUGAGCAUAUCUUUGAUGUACUUCGUAUGAUGAAUAUAGAUCUUGUCUUUCUCUUGCUUGAUUUGUAGACCCAGAAAGAAUUUCAGUACUCCCAUCAUACUCAUUUUAGUUUCACUUUGCAUGAGAGUGGAAAAUUCUUUACACAGUUUAUCACUUGUUGCUCCAAAUAUAAUGUCAUAAACGUACAUUUGCACAAGGAUGUAGUCAUUGUUCAUCUGUUUCUGAACAGUGUGUUAUCUAUCUUUCCUCUUGAGAAUCUGUUCUUCAUAAGAAAACUGCUUAGACGAUCAUACCAUGCUCUUGGGGCUUGCUUUAAACCGUAUAGAGCUUUUCUGAGUUCAACCACAUGAUCUGAAGCACGAUUCUUCAAAUCCUGGAGGUUGCUUCACAUAGACUUCUUCUUCAAUUACACCGUUCAGGAAAGCACUUUUGACAUCCAUUUAAUAUAGUUUGAUAGAGUGUUGAAAUGCAAAAGCUAGAAGAAUUUGUAUAGCUUCAACUCUGGCUACAGGAGCAGAUGUUUCUAUGUAAUCUAUUUCUUCUUGUUGAUUGUGUCCUUGAGCUACCAGCCUUGCUUUAUUCCAUGUCACUUUUCCAUUUUCAUCCAUAUUGUUUCUGAAUACCCACUUAGUACCAAUGAUAGAUUUUCCUUUGGGUUUUAGUACAAGUGUCCAGACUUGACUUCUUUCAAACUGGUUCAAUUAUUCUUGCAUGGCGAGAAUUCACCCUUCGUCUUGUAGAGCUUCAUCCACUGAUUUUGGUUCAAUUUCUGAAAUGAAUGCAUUGUUGGAUUCUUCUCUGAAUGCUGAUCUGGUUCUAAAUAUUUUUGAAAUACUACCAAUGAUUUGCUCUUGUGGAUGAUCUUACUUGUAUCUCCAUUAUUUAGGAAGAGAGAUUCCACUUGAUGUCAUUACUUGAUCGGAUUGUUCUUGAGUAGACGUUUGGGGUGAAGUGGACGGUUCUUCAUGCGAGGUUUAUGAUGGUUGAACCUCCAUUGAAAUCUCUUCUUCAUCUCGAUCAGAUAGAUCAUGGUUUAGAAAGUCUCUUUUAAAUGAUCAGCAGCUUCAGUUGAUUGGUCAUCAAAUUUGGCAUUGAUAGAUUCUUCAACCACUUGUGUUCUAGAGCUGAAAAUUAUAUAAGCUUUGGAGUGAGAGGAAUAUCCAAGAAGAAUUCUUUUUAGACUUGGUUGCAAACUUCCACAUGGCCUUGUUUUGAGUUGAACAUUACACUAGGGGGGGAGUNNNNNNNNNNNNNNNNNNNNNNNNNNNNNNNNNNNNNNNNNNNNNNNNNNNNNNNNNNNNNNNNNNNNNNNNNNNNNNNNNNNNNNNNNNNNNNNNNNNNUUGAGAGCUCUAUACACUUCAAAUUGAAUGGAAUAACCAAGAGAUAUUCCCUUAUCUGAUUUGGAUUCAGACUUUCCAAGAACAUCCUUAGUGUGGAGAAUAUUGCAGUGACAAUCGAAAGGAUGAGAAUAGGAAAUGCUUGGUCAUGUUCCUCUCCAUAGCUCAUAUGAUGUCUUCAUUAAGAUUGACCGCAUAAGGAUUAUGUUCUGAAUAUAAUUGGCGAUGUGUAUGGCUUCAACCCAGAAGUACUUUGGGAGAGAAUUUUCACUUAGCAUCGUUCUAGCAAUCUUUUGGAGAGAUUUGUUCUUCUGUUCAGCAACACGGUUCUGUUGAAGUGUUCUAAGAACAAUGUGUUGAUGAGUUAUGCCUUCUUCACAGAAGCUAUCAAGCUCUUCAUUUACAAAUUCUUCUCCUUUGUCAAGAGCACCCACUAUCCGGGUACUAUUGUUGGUGUUUCUUUUGACCAAUUAAACAGAUCUGCAACAUGCAAAAUUUUGCGCUUGGGUACCCAGACUUUCUUGGGUCCUGAAGGGUUAGUGGUACCGUUAGAAGGUAUCUUCUUUUCAUAAGAAGCCUUCUUUCCUACUUGUUCAAAAUCUGGCUUCUGCAACACCUGUCUCAAAUGAAGGUCAGUUCUUAUUUUUACCUGAAAGCUUUGAAAGUAGAGUCUUAAGCGUUGGGCGGUAACGAGGACGGCGAGCGCCGCCUUCUCUCUUCUGAUACCUAAUUUCCGCCCCUUGGAGUGUAUGGCUUACGAAGUAAAUUAUUUUUUGUUCCCCGUUUACCUCCUGAAGAAUUACAGAGCUGAUUGCAUGAUCACUGACAGAAAAAUAUAAGUGCAAAGGGAGGCCUUGGGUAGGUUUCGACAGCACGGGUGGCGCGGACAACAUUUCUUUUAGGCGCUUAAAGGCUUCUUCACAUUCUGAAUUCCACUCAAACUCCGCAUUCUUCUUUAGGCACUUGAAGAAUGGGGCUGACUUAUCGCCCGAAUGAGGGAGAAACCUGGACAGGGCUGCAAUCCGUCCUUGUCAGGUGCUGCACUUCUUUUACACUGCUGGGGCUUUUCAUUUAUUGGAUUGCUUUACACUUAUCUGGAUUGAUCUCAAUCCCUCCGGACGUAAUCAUGAAGCCUAAAAACUUCCCGCCCUGUAUACCAAAAGAACACUUCUCCGGAUUGAGCCUCAUAUUAUGCUUUCGGAGCCUACCAAAGGCUUCCGUAAAAUCCUCAUGAUGGCUUAAUCCUAAAACUGAUUUCACGAUCAUAUCAUCAACAUAUACUUCCAUGUUCCUCCCCACUUGGCCUUCAAAUACCCUAUCCAUCAACCGCUGAUACGUCGCCCCCGCAUUCUUCAGCCCAAAGGGCAUAGUUUGAUAACAGUAGUUUACCCUAGCGGUCAUGAAGGCCGUUUUGUCUUCAUCCGACGGGUGCAUCUUGAUUUGGUGAUAUCCUGAAAAGGCAUCCAUCAGACUCAGCAGCUCAUUUUCCGACGCUCUAUCUACUAGCUUGUCUAUGCUCGGUAAUGGGUAAGAAUCUUUCGGACACGCCUUAUUAAGGUCUGUGUAGUCGACACACAUCCGCCAUUUUUCGUUCGCCUUCUUUACCAUUACUACAUUCGCCAGCCAAGUAGGAUACUUAAUUUCUCGGAUGAAAUCUGCCGCCAGUAAUUUGUUCACCUCUUGUUGGAUUGCCUUCUCCUUUUCAUCGCUCAUUCGUCGGCGCGUCCAAGUUCUCGCCCAACAGCUUUGAUAAUCUUUGUUCUUGAGCCUCAGUCAGUCGGGUCUCUAUCUUGAGUGUCUUCUCGCCAAAUUUCAGCUCCUUGGUCUCCUCGAUCGGCGUGGGCCUGUUGACUCGCCCCUUGGGUCUAGGUUCUCUUCCGGCGCUUCGACCUCGUUACAUCGGUGUCCCACCGAGGCGUUCCUUUUCCCGUACCAGUCUACCGCGUUGCAGUAGCACUCCCUCGCCGUUUUUUGGUCCACAACCACUCUCCCAAUUUGCCCAUUCGACAAAGGAUAUUUAACCGCCAAGUGUGUCGUCGAAAUCACAGUGCACAGCCGGUUCAAGAUGUUCCUGCCAAUUAUCAUGUUGUACGAUCCCUCCGCUCCUAGGAUCAAGUAUUUCACUCUUAGCGUACUAGCGUUCUCUCGCUCGCCGAAUGUGGUGUCAAGGUCAAGGACGCCUCUCACCCACACUUGCUCGCCCGCAAACCCCACCAGAGUCCCUGCAUAAGGAGUGAGAUCUGCCUCAUUCAGACCGAGCUGAUCAAAUACCCCGCCGUAAAUGAUGUCCGCCGAACUCCCUUGAUCCAAAAGCACUCGUUGUACAUUAAGUUGGUUGACGCGAAGGAGGAUUACGAUCGGAUCGUCCAGAUGUGGCUUUAUUCCAAUGAAGUCACCGAGAAGGUAAUGUCUGGAUGUGAAAAACCGAAAGGAACUUCUGUUACCGUGUUCACCGCCCUAGCAUACCGCUUUCUAGCUGCACUGGUGAUUCCUCCUCCUCCAAACCCUCCAGCGAUUGUGUGCACUCCUUUGGGUAUUGGAGCUCUACCGCCCUGCACUCUAGUAGGCCUUCCUGCCGCUAUCAGUUUCCUGACCUCACGCUGCAGCGUGCGGCACUCCUCUGUGACGUGGCCCAUGGCUUGGUGAUAAACGCACCACUUACCCCUCGACUCGCCGCAUAUUCGCGUUGUUAACGGCUCUCGGAGGAUUUCUGAUGUAGAUGGUUUGUCCAGGCAUGUCAGCUUUCCUUUUAGAGAUGAGUUUGUCCACUCCUUCGGGGAUUUCCAAUAGCUUUCCCUUCGCAACAUCCGAAGCUUCGCCGUUGUAUUUGCUUCCCGAGCCUCCGCGUCCUGCUGCUCCAGACCACGGCUUAUGUCGCGAAUCAGCCACCUCCAAUCUCUGAGAGUGUCCAACGACCAAGGUGAUGGCGGUUUUCCUUCUGAGGAUUUCAGCAAGGAGACUGAAGAUUCCGCCUCCUCCUCACGUCGCCCUCUAUAUGCUUGACACGGAUUGCGCGUGUGUCUCAUCCUUCGUUCGCCUUGUCAACGUUGCACUUCCAUCCAGUGUCACCAGAAAAUUAAGAAUUUGACUCAGAAAUCGAAAACCGAAGAGAAUCGCACGAAAAAACGAACUUCACUCGGCUAAACUAUGCUCCACGUAGUCCGGGAAUCGAAAUCUACCGAUCCCCACAGACGGCGCCAAAUGUUCCAUCAUGAACAUUGAGAUGAGGUAUAGUACCUAAGAUGCAAGGAACGUGAUGCGAGAUUUCUAGAGAGAAGUGAGAGUGUAACCGCUUAGAGAGAGAAAGUAACUGAAUUCCAAGCUUGUUAUUGCACAAAUGAGCAAAGAGUCCCUUACAAUUGGUAUCUCUCCCCUAUUUAUAGUUGGGGAAGUUGGGCCUUGCGCCUCUAAGUCAUCCUAAUGGGCCAGUUGGGCCUUCGGGACAAAGGCCCAAGUCCCUAAUGUAAUUCCCGCCUUAAGCCAGCGCCCCUGGGCGAGGGACCCGGGGGUCUCGCCCAGUCCAUUAAUGAAUUUCAUUAAUGGGUCAGGACUAAUUGGGAUGAGCAGAUAUGGCGGGAUUUGAACAUCAUACUCUCUUGCUCUGGAAUCAGGAUGAUCGUCAUUUCCAAUUUUAAGAUUCCAAUAUGCAAACUCUUUGAUUUCUUUUGUCUGAAAUCACCUCCAAGUAUUACAAAUUUUCCUCUAAAAGGUUUAUGUACGUUAUCUUCAUUUUUCAACCUCAUUAAAUUUUGAGUGUAAUGUCUAGAGUUUCGAAACAUAACCUUUCAACAUUGAAACUUCAUCUCAUAUAAUAAGGCUUGUUUCAAGUAGAAGCUUUGUUCGUAGACUUCCUUGCUUUAUAUUACAUGUUGACCUCUUUGUAGCAUCUAAUGGAGUGUAAAAUUUAGAAUGAGUUGUUCUGCAUCCAGGAAAGAGUAAUGAUACUAUGCCACUGGAAGCAACAUUAAGCACAAUUAGUCCCAUGUGCCUAAGUGACGCAGAUAAAGUGUUCCAAACUUAAAGUCUUUUCGGUUCCACCAUAGCCAUAUAAAAAGUAGAAGCCUCAUGAGUUUAACAACACAAAUGUGACAACCCUUUCAUAUACAAAUUUUUGCUUAGGUGUAAACAUACUAAACAACUCUUCAUAUUGUACCUUUAAUGCAUCUUUGUCAUAGUUGAGUUCAUCGACCAUAAAUCUAUUGUCAAAUUGCAGGACUUCAUCAUAUUCUGAUAAGAAUACUUAAAUGGUAUAGAAUAUAGAUGCUUGCAUGUUCUCCUAUGUUUGCUUAGUAAGAGACUUGUGACACUUCCAUGCCUUAUUUCUCAUAGAUUUACUUUUCGAGAAGAGUUGAGGGUCAUAAUUUUGGUCUCUAAGGCAUCAAUUUAGUAUAACAAAGGUUAGUUUCUUCACAUUAUUCUCAUGGCUUAUAAAUUUAAAGAUCAAUAUGUUUACUUUUGAGCGAUAUCCAAUGUUGUGCCACGAAGCAAUCAGAAAGUAUUGAUGUAGCUUAUCAAAAAAAAAUAUUGAUGUAAAUUAAAGUGGUAAAAUAAAAUUUUGUGUUUUGACAUUGACAUGUUUGCCUCCCUUUCUAGGUUAAUGAGAAUGUUUCAUACUGUGAGUGUGUUUGAUGGCCCUUCAGACUUUUUCAUAUAUGAUUGUCCUGAUCCAACUGAUCUAAACUUUAAUUCAUUAAGAAACAUCUAAAACAUGGAAAACCAAUUACUUUUACAUAAGGGGAAGCAGCUAUAAAACAUCUGUUGAUUGCAUGAUCCGCCCGGGCCUNNNNNNNNNNNNNNNNNNNNNNNNNNNNNNNNNNNNNNNNNNNNNNNNNNNNNNNNNNNNNNNNNNNNNNNNNNNNNNNNNNNNNNNNNNNNNNNNNNNNUUGCGAUCCGUUUUUGAGCGUUCCACCAGGAAUCUAAAGAGUAUUUGGCGUCAAAUCACAGACUCAAACCAAUAUUUUAUGAUAUGGGAAAACGAUAUCCGAAAUUCUCAAAACGGUGGUAAGUUAAUUCUGUCCCGAAAAACUACUUUUUGGCUGUGAUGGCUCAAACGCAAAACUUCAAACCAGAGAAAAGAUUGGAAAUGUCGAAACAAGUCUGGCAACACGGACGGAAUCUUCGUUAGAAGUCCCGAAUAGAAAAAGUCUUCAUCCAUUGCUCGAAAAUAGGGUUUCGAAGCAAAGAAAUUAGCGUCGGCGGACAUCCGAAAAGUGAAACCUAUCGUGCGUACAGUCCAGAGUUCCGAAAUGAAACGCUGGUCAAUGGAAAAAUAAAGAGAAUCUUUAAAUUUUCCGAGAGUUCGAAAUCUCACUCAAAACGUUGCUUUAAGAGCGAAAUAGCCUAUUCUGGACACGCUCGCCAUAAGGCAGGUGUGCAGACGACUCGCACUAGCUCCGAAAGAAACAACGCCACAUUCCUCAAGCAAUUCCUGAACUUUCUUCUUCAUUAAUCUUUCUCAAAUAUCAAACUCCUGUCACACUUACACUGAUUCCACGCGUGAGUCGGAAAUUUAACUUGUUCUGAAAAUCCAGGUCUUACAGAGAAAACAAGUUAUUUGGACAGUUUUACAAAAAGCUCAAAACUUUUAGCACAGAAAGACAUAGAGAAAAGUGAUAGAAUUUACGAUCAGAGGUAAGGAAAAUCAUCAGUACCUCGUGGCCUACGCGUAGCAACGAAUAGAGCGACGAUCAGACAAAAAUCGGCGAAAAGCUCUCCUCCCUUUCUCUCCUUGAAGCUCGGGGGUUUGGGGUGUUGAUGGUGGUGAUGAAGUUUUGAUUUUUUUCAAGCUAUUUAUUGUUGAUGGAAAAUGCGGGAAAAUGAAAAUUUCGCGAUUCCGAUUUUCUUGUGCAUUCCUCUAUGAAUUCUAAGAUAGGUCUGGCGACAGAAUUCCAUAACUCAAAACAGGUUUCUCAGAAUUAAAGCAAACGAUCCAAAGUCGGUGUAAAUCUAUUUUACCCGAAAAACUACUUUUUGCAGUUGAUGUCGGAUGAGAAAACUUCUUUCUGAAGAAAGAUUAGAAACUUCGAAAGAAAUAGGUGAACGCGUGUGGAAUCUUCGUUUGAAGCUCCGAGUAGAAAAAGUCUUCAUCAACAGUUUACUUUAAGGUUCUUGAGCUAUCAGGGAUUCAGUUUCGGCAAACUUCCAAGAAUCGGAAACGAUAAUUCGUACAUUCCAGGGUUUCGUUUCGAAACACUUGUCGUGGAAAGGAAUAAGAGAAAUUCGUAUAUUCCUCUGAAUAUUUUUGAAUAUCGUUGCUACAGUGCUUUAAGAGCAAAUUAGCCCUUUACUAACGUUUUCGCCCUAAGGCGGAAGUGAAUAAAACUCGUGCUAUAAACUAUAUCGACUAUAGUACUAUUCUUAGUCAUUUCCUGAACUUUCUUCUUCAUAAUAUUAAUCCAACCAUCAAACGAAAGUCAAGUUCCUCUCACGCUUACACAGAAUCCUAUGUGUGAGCUGGAAAUUAUUUAUUUAUUUAAUUAUAAAAUCUUGGGUUUGACAAUANNNNNNNNNNNNNNNNNNNNNNNNNNNNNNNNNNNNNNNNNNNNNNNNNNNNNNNNNNNNNNNNNNNNNNNNNNNNNNNNNNNNNNNNNNNNNNNNNNNNGUGGAUUAGGUGAGGCGCUAAGAUAUGCGUUGCAGAGCAGCGAAUGACGAAAUAGGAGAAGAAAGUAAGGAAAUGAAGGAGGUAGUGAGGUUCUGAAACCACCCGAUUCAACCACUGCAGCACUGGAAGAACGCUGCUAUUCUCCUUUCCCAUCUCGCUCAGAUCUUAAUUUUUGACAACACAACACUCUCACCACAAUUCUACCCUUCCCUUCCCUUCCCUUCCCUUCCCUUCCCUCUUUUCCUGCUGCUCCAGGAAGUAAAUUGUGGGCUAAUUGCGAUGUUAUUUUCAUGUUGGGUAACCCAAUGGCUGAUUCCAUUUUAAGGCCCAUAAAAUUCCGCGACCUCUCUCCUUACCAGAUUGAGUGAAUAAUAAUAAGAGAAUGGUCAUCAAUUUAGUUUGUGUUUGUAAGUUUUUUCGAUCUAUCACCUUUGGAAAAUAAUUUGGUCUCGGUCUCCACAAUUGUGGAAUCUAUGGUUUGGAAAUUGUUAUUAGAAUCCCCCCCCCCCCAUUUAUUCAUAAACACACCCCUACCCCUCUACACUACAAAAAGUCUAAAAUACUUUUCUCUCAUUUUUGUUUUUUGUUUUGUGGCUUAUGUCAAGAAUUUCAAUCUUGGUACAAAUAUGGCAAGAACAAAGAAUCCAGACUGCCCAAGUCAACCCCGCGCGAGCAGAGUUCUUCUUACGGCGUCCAACCUCCUUUCAAAGACCUAGGAGUCUUCGCCUACCAAUACUUUGAAGAAGAAGAUUUAGCCAUUGGUUGGUUUGGCUACCACUCUAGUGGAGCACCGUGAUAAGGCGCCUAUUUAUUACUGGAUUUUUUUUAUGAUCUCAAGACGACUUAAGAAGCUCGUGCAGUACAAGACCUGAACCCGAAGAGGCCAUUGUAAUAAACCUCAGAAGGAGACCAAUAUGGUGAUGCUAUAGUUGUGAGGAGCAGGAGGAGGACUAUCCUUCCAGGGGCUUUUGGAUGACAUAUUCAAGAACUUCNNNNNNNNNNNNNNNNNNNNNNNNNNNNNNNNNNNNNNNNNNNNNNNNNNNNNNNNNNNNNNNNNNNNNNNNNNNNNNNNNNNNNNNNNNNNNNNNNNNNAAAAGAAAAUUGUUAGAUUUAAAAAAUAUUCAUCCAAAGGAAAAAGCAAAUGCAAAACUUCCCUUGGGUUGGACUACAUUCAUCAAAGAUUGAACCAUAUAGGGUGCAUUAGUAAGGUCGAAGAGCAAAGACAAGGAAUUCAUAAUGUCCCUCAUGUGUCUGAAAUGCAGUUUUUUAAUAUCUUUUUCCUUCAUUCAAAUCUACUCACCAGAUUUCAGGUCCAAUUUAGAAAAGUUAGCAGCCACGAAUAGCUCAUCGAAUAACUCAUCAAUGAUGGGAAUAGAGAACUUAUUUGGUACUGUAAUCUUGACCAAGAAAGAGAUGGGCCUAGAAUAUGGAUUAACACUAAGUUUUAUAUUUACAAAUUACAACCUUUCCACAUAACCUCUCUAUGCCAGUCUAUUGGUAAUAUGGGUAUCUGUAGCUUUCCACCAUGGCCGAUUUCCCGCCAUAUGUCCGCCAUUUCAGCCAUAUUCCGCCAUUAUUUGUCAUUAAUGGCAGGAUUUUGGCUUUCCGCCAUGGCCCUACAUCCACCACAUUUAACAACACUAGGCCCUCAAAAUAGGCAUUGAAUCUUCCUCCUUCAAGGUGAUUGCAUGGUCUUACAACCUUGCAAGUUGCAAGGGUAGUUCCCAUGGUUCGUGAAAGAAAUCUUCUGUUCAUCAAUCUACAGCAACGUGAGUCCAACAUCAAUCCCAAUCGUUGCUGGCUAGGACUACUGACCUGACCACCAGGUUAUCACGGAUUGGGGCUAGGGUUGUCUCUCAUUACACGUUAGGCUCUUGUACCAUGUUAAAUGAAAAGAAACUGAGAGGUACUAGACUGAUGAUAGGGUCAAGAGGAUGCAGAAACCUCCUAUCAGUAAAGUCUAUGUCAGACGCAAGAAGGGGAAUUAGCUUAGUGCUUAAUAAACCUUGUGGUUAGGGAAACUAUAAAUAAGAACCUAUGGUUCAUAGUUAGUUAGCUUUUGCAUAUUGUUGGGCUGUGAUAACUGAAUCAGGGGAUUCAGUUAGGUAGUUACAGACUUUCAACUGAAUUGGGAUUCAGUGGAAUUGGGAUUCAGUUGAGCUUCUCUGUUUCUGUUAUCUUCUUCUUUCUCAGUGUUCAUCUUCUAUCAAGCUUUCAUAUUCAGAUAUUGAUUCAGUUCUGCAUUCUCUGUUGAGUUUUCUGCUACAAUUGUUAGUNNNNNNNNNNNNNNNNNNNNNNNNNNNNNNNNNNNNNNNNNNNNNNNNNNNNNNNNNNNNNNNNNNNNNNNNNNNNNNNNNNNNNNNNNNNNNNNNNNNNAAAAAUUUUUGAAGAGGAGAAAAAUGUGGGUUAAAGUUUAAAGGGGGGUGGGGGGUAAAAGGUCUCUUAUACCCCCCCUAUACCGCUUUUAAUUUUACCAAAAGGAAUUCCAAAUCCAAAAAAAAAAAUUUUAUUUCACCCUGUUUUUUCCCGCGAAAGGGUUUAUUCUUUUUGGUUACUAAAGUGACACCUGGAAAUCGGGGUGUUACAUUGUGGUAUCAGAGCUUAGUCGAGUCUUUUGGGAGUCUUUGGGGAAUAGGUCUUCUGUGCUAGGUUGUGUGACUCUGCAAAGAGUGAAAAUUGAUUGUCUGCAGAGCGAUUUUCGCUCUAAUUGUUUGCGUUACUACUUAAUCGGAUUGAGUGGUUUGUCUAGUGCUACCGUAUGGCUAGUACUAAUCGGACGUUUGAUGAGAUAUAGGAUGGUGGACCUUAACCGGAUGGCGGGGGCAAUAGCUACACUGAUCGAGGCAAUGAUGAACCAGGCUGCGGAAGACGCUUAUAUGCGCGCUGAAGAGGCUGCACGUGAGCAUCACCAACGAUUGAUGGCGACGGCGAUGUAUCAACAAAGAGGAAUGAACCGAACAGGAGCUGGGGGACCAAUAAGGUCAGGAUCUCAAGGCUACAACAGAAGGGAGAGCUACCAUCAGUGGGGACCGUAUCAGCGUUUCAAGGGAAGAGAUCUUAUCUCAAGAGUCUACAAACCAACGACUGCUGAUACUGGAGGGGAGCCAGUUGGUGACAAAGGUGUGACAUGUACUCGUUGUGGAAAGUUUGGGCAUUUUGCUAACAAGUGCUCAGUGACUGGAUGGAGAUGCUUCAAGUGUAACCGAGAGGGGCAUCUAGCUGUGAACUGCAAGACACCCCAGGAGGAAACGUCUGAUAGUAAGAUGAAAGGGAAUGAUGCUACCGAAGGGACAUGAAACAAGACUUCGGGAAGAGCAGUGACGUGUUACAGGUGCAGGGAAGUAGGGCACUAUGCUAGUAAGUGCAAGAUCAAGGGAAAACUAUGCUUUAAUUGCAACCAACCGGGACAUUUCUCCAGAGAUUGUAAGGCACUCAAGGGCGAAUCAUCAGGGAAUGUUGGGAAAGGAAAACAACUUGCUACAGAGGAAAGGAUUCAUACCAAGGAGGGAGCAAGAGUUGAGGAGUCGAACGAGGAAGAACGUGGGAACGAUGGUAAUAUUUUAACUGUUCUCUUAUUCUAGAAUAACUUACUCUUUUAUCUUCGAAGCGAGUGUGACGCGCCUAACUUGUAUUUACUACUUAGACUAUGAUCUUAUGAUUAUUAUUCCUAGUAGGACCUUAUUCGAGGUUGCUCGUGAUUUAACUAUAGAAGUUACACGGGGCCUAGGAUAGCACGCUGAGCUAGGGAGUUGUUUUACCGAGGCGUCGAUAAGGAAGCUAGGACCUCAGGGGAAUUCCUUAUGGGUACGAUACGUAGGAUUUUAGGGCGUUUAGUUUGAAGCGGAGUCGUNNNNNNNNNNNNNNNNNNNNNNNNNNNNNNNNNNNNNNNNNNNNNNNNNNNNNNNNNNNNNNNNNNNNNNNNNNNNNNNNNNNNNNNNNNNNNNNNNNNNUCGAUCUGUUGUUUGGUAUAUGUUUCUCAAAACAUGAUUGAAGUACCAACUUUCAAUAAUAAUUUGUGGUUUGGGAUUCCUGAACUUUUAGUGUCGUUAAAAAAUUCUGUGGUAAACCACUCACCUCAAAUUUCAGAAUCUUCAUCAGAUCGCAAGGCAUAGUCGGAGCUCAGAUAUUCAUAUUCUGGUGCAGCUAUAAUGCUAGACAUGUAAGUGUUUAUCAUUUCAACAACCUCCAGUGUAGGGGCCAAAAUUGUUCUAUCUUGAAAGAAUUGCGAGUCUUUCAUUUUGUGCGUAAGGCCAGGAUAUGUAUAUUUAAUGAAUUUCAUUAAUGAGUCAGGACUAAUUGGGAUGAGCAGAUCUGGCAGGAUUUGAACAUCAUACUCUCAUGCUUUGGAAUCAGGAUGAUCGUCAUUUCCAAUUUUAAGAUUCCAAUAUGCUUACUCUUUGAUUUAUUUUGUCUGAAAUCACCUCCAAGUAGUACAAAUUUUCCUCUAAAAGGUUUAUGUACGUUAUCUUCAUUUUUCAAUCUCAUUAAAUUUUGAGUGUAACGUCUAGAGUUUCGAAACAAAACUUUUUAACAUUGAAACUCCAUCCCAUAUAAUAAGGCUUGUUUCAAGUAGAAGCUUUGUUCGUAGACUUCAUUGCUUUAUAUUACAUGUUGACCUCUUUGUAGCAUCUAAUAGAGUGUAAAAUUUAGAAUGAGUUGUUCUGCCUCCAGGAAAGAGUAAUGAUACUAUGCCACUGGAAGCAACAUUAAGCACAAUUAGUCCUAUGUACCUAAGUAACACAGAUAAAGUGUUCCAAACUUAAAGUCUUUAUGGUUCCACCAUUGUUUAAUAAUCAACCGCGCUUGCUGAAUACUUCUCCAUAUGUAGUUAGAUAGAUUUCAUAGUCCAGCAUGAAUAAAAUGAGUUCUUGAAAAGUACCUAAUUUUUAGACAUUUAGUCAUAAGUGCAUCCGAGCAAUUAGAGAGUCUCCAACAUUGCUUAGCAAAAAGAGCAUCAUUGAAAGCCUUAAAACUUCUAAACCCCACACCUCUCUCCGCGGUAGGAGAACAAAAUGCAUUCUAUUUCAAACCCAAUGAAUCUCUAUCCACCUUACGACAUACUUUCUCUAUAAAGAUUUCAUAAUUUUAUAUAGUUUUAGUCCUAAAAUAUAUUUUUAGUCCUAAAAUUAUAUAGAAAUUAUGAAAAAUACUAAAACUUGCUAAAAUUUAUUUUUUUAUAAAUUUAACAUGAAAAUAUUUUAUUGUAAAAUGUUAACAUGUAAUUCAAACAUUAAUAAUAUUGUUUAUAUUGAAGUUAUUUCAAAAUAAUUUAAUAAUACUUAAAAAGAAAUAUUAUCGCAAAAAUAAUAAAAUUAUACGUAUUCUUUCUUCUAUUAAUGACAAAACUAAUAUAAUCAAAUGUAAAAUUCUCAUUCUCGUGAGAUGUCUUUAUUUAAUAGUAUUUAUAUUAGUGUGAACAUGCGCAGUGUUAUAUAUUUUUGUUUUUAAUUGUUAUUCACACAUGACAUAAUUUUUUUCAACCUAAACUAUUCAUCCUCAGUAACCAAUUUCUUCAUUACAUGUGCUUGAAGUAAACAGUAAAUAACUAACUAUGAAAUGUGCUCCGCCACAUAAAAUUAGAAAUGAGUUACUUUAGGCAUUUACUUUCUAAGAUUCAUUUGAUUCAUUGUAUCUUUUAAUUACGAAUUUCAGUUCAAUUGGUCAAAGUCCUAAUAAAGAUGACUCGUUCACAAAUUAUAAUAGUGAGAGAGGCUUUUAUCCAUUAUAUCUCAUUUUUUAUUAGUUUGUACUAAAGAGUAAAUAACUAACUAUGAAAUGUGCCGCGUCACAUGAAAUAACAAAUGACUUAGUUUAGGCAUUUAUUUUCUAAGAGUCGUCUGGUUCAUUCCAUCGUUUAUUUACCAGUUUAAAUUUAAUUGAUCUAAGUUCAGAAAAAAUCACAGUGAGAGACCUUGCUCCCUUGUAUAUUCCUCUACUUACAAUUUCCUUCUCUUACUGGAUCAAGGGCCUUACUCACAAUUUCCUUGUCUAGCACAAAUGAGUCUCAAUGUUGUACUUAACAUAGCAUAUGUUUCAAAUAUUAAUAUACUGAGCAAUGAUUCCUUCAUGUGAAAUUGUAUUAGAGCCUGUUUGAUCUCACAUCAGCUAAUUGUGUGAUCCCUACUUAAGCAUUAAAGGAAGAAUUUAAACUUUAAAAUGGAAAUGUGCCCCGUAUCAGAUAUAUACUUCAUUUAAUUGUAGGAAAAAUGUAACACCUCUUUGCCUAAUAUAUAUCAAACAGACAAAAAUGACAUGCUAAACUCUAAUCAACUGAAUAAUAUCUCUUUGGUUUAUGCAGAAACCAGAGGUUACUAACAUUUUUAUCUUCUUCAAUAAACAUGGGAAGAAGAUGUCAAGUGUAAGACCCGGAUUUGCAGAACUGGAUUUAAAGUGUAAUUUCCGACUCACGCGUGGAAUCAGUGUAAGCGUGACAAGAGUUUGCUGUUUGGGAAAGUUUAAUGAAGAAGAAAGUUCAGGAAUUGCUUGAGGAUAGUACCAUAGUUGUUUUAGGAGUUAGUGCGAGUCGUCUGCACACCCGCCUUAUGGCGAGAGUGUCCAGAAUAGGCUAAUUCCGCUCUUAAAACAAUGUUUAAGCGAAAUUUCAAAUCCUUAGAAAAAUAAGAAGUUCUCUUUAUUUUUCCUUCGACCAGUGUUUCAUUUCGGGACCCUGGACUGUACGCACGAUAGGAUUCACUUCUCGGAAGUCCGACGACGCUAAUUUCUUUGCUUUAAAAACCCUAAAUUCAAUCAUUGAAUGAAGACUUUUUCUUUUCGGAGCUUUUAACGAAGUUUCCAUCCGCGUUGCCAGAUUUCUUUCGACGUUUCCAAUCUUUCUUAAGAACGAAGUUUUGUCAUCUGACCUUCACAGCAAAAAGUAGUUUUUCAGGGCAAAUUAACUUACACCGCUUUUGGAUCGUUUUUCUCAAAUUCAAGAAACCUGUUUUGAGUUCUGGAAUUCUGUCGCCAGAAUAUCGCUUAGAAUUCACCGAUGAACGUGCUGCUAAAAUCGGAAUCGCGAAAUAUUCAUUUUACCGCGAUUUCACUCUCCUAUAAAUAGUGGAAAAAUCAAAAUAUCUCACCAUUCCACCACAUAGAGGCCGCGGGUUUGAAGGAGAGGAGAGGAGAGGGGAGAAGAACUUCGUCGUUUCUCGACCGAUCUUCGAGCAGUUUGUCUCUAUUUCACGGCAUCGAGAUAACUUGCUUGAUUCUUACCUUUGAUCAUUCUUUUUGUCGCGUUUCUUUAGCUAUUUCAGUGCUCAAAGUUUCGAGCUUUUCGUAAAACUGUCCGAUUUUCCCGAUUUUUCUUUUGAAAUACCUUCCAUGCUUGCCCAACAACCUAGAACACUCGCCGUUGUGCGCCGAUUUCGAUCGAGUCGCCGAGGAUCUGAAAAACUGUAUAAAAACCCGUUUUGCGCACAUAUUGAAACUUUAAUGUCGAAAAGUCACAAUCCGACUCAGUGCCUUUAGGAUUAGUUGCUACAAAUGUCGUUGUGAACGUUCCCACCAAAUUUGUUUUCCGAAGUUUUAACUUUGAGUUUUUGAGCUUUAAUUUUGGACCAAAAUGCCCCUAACUAGUCGUAUUUCGACCUGGUCGUUCUAAAAUUUUUCCGACAGUUUCUUUACUCUAGUUUUACCCUAAAACUACCUAGGAAUUAAUUUAGAUCGAAGAAAAAGCGCCGGAACCCUUUUCUCUUUAGGGCCGAGAGCAUGUUUAGGGGGGGAGGUUUUCGUUUUUGCGAUAACUCGUCCUCUCGUGCUCGAUUGUUGUACUCUGAAGCUUUAAAUACUUUGUCUAUCGUUAAUUAGUUGUGUGUGAUCGAGCUAAUCGAUUUUGUAUGGAUUUCUGCUUUGUUUUCUCCGAGGUUCCGUUGAAGGAACUUUGGGUUCUACGGAGCAACUUUGUGAGGAGAACCUAUACCGUGAGGCUGGAACAACUCGAGGUUAGGGCAACUUACCUAUUAGCUAAGAUUGCAUGAUAGGCGUCGAUAAAUUCGACUUGUAUAUUAUUUUGAUAUUGGUUAUGAUGAUGAAUUAUUGUUAUGUUGCUACCAUGACUUAUGAUAUUGAUGUUUUAUUAAAUUGUGCGCAUUGACGCGUUUUCGGAGCGAAGAAUCACUGAAUUGAUUUCUUUUGAUCUUUCGGGUUGGAGGAACAACCCUAGGCAAGUCCAAACAUGGGGUUUGAGACCUAGCCAUUCGUUUGUAUUCUUAGACUUUCCCCGGUGUUUACAUUUGGUGAGGUUUUUGGCAAACUUAGAAAGAAUAGAAUUUUGGAAACUAGAGACUUUAGGAAACUUAGACUUCAAGAAUUAAACUCAUAACUUGACUAAUUCAAUUCGAAACGUUUUCAUUAACGAAUAAACCAUAGGGAAUCUAAAAGGGAAAAUGAUUGCGAAAGACGGGGAAAAGUCGACUUUGUCGUGGGUUCUAGAGAAUUGGUGGACAUCACGGGGGUGAGCCACGGUGACUAGAGGAAGUCACCGAGUACUUGGGUACUCUUGUUGUUGGAGUUAUGUCGUAGGGUCGGCAUUAAACUCUUGAGUUUUGAAUUUGAGAAUUAAGCUAAACACUUGCGUUGUGAGGACGAUUCGAUGUUUGGCUAACCAUAUUGCAUCAUGCAUACAUUCGAGGUUUGUACGAUUGAAAGAUUGGGCCUCGGUGAAGUUGGGACGGCUUCACGAAGGUUGUGACGGCCUUCAUCGAAGAACACUUGGAUGUAUCUUCGGCAUAGCGGGCAGAGUGGUACGACCUAGGGUGGUUGGGACUGAUCUGACUAUGCAUGGGUUUGUAAGUGACACCCGAGCGGAAAUGGUUAAACACUAGGCCGGUGUUAGGACUGACUCGAUGGUGCCCAUCCCAAUUGAACUAUCCGGAUCAUAUUGAAUUGCAUUUCACGCAUACAUUCACCCUGACUUGAAUUGUAUGUUAUCUGAAUUAUCGAAGCAUUGUUAGAGCCGAUAACAUGCUAGGAUUAUUUAUAUAUAUAUAUAAACAUAUAUAUCUAUACCCCAAUCACCUGUUGUAUGUAUAAAUUACUUUAUUCUGUGAGUUGACCCUAGCGCCUUGGCUUUGGUUUCAUGUUUGUGUUUGGGCGGUCGGCCUGCUGCCAGAUGUCGAUGGCGGACUGGUUUUCGAUGGUCUCUCCCUCGGGGGGGAUCAGGUUUGAGUUGGUUGACCGGCAUGCCCCCACCGCUUGGGUGAUCGAUCCUGUGGAUCAUCGGGCGACGUACCGGGGAAGGGUCAUGGAGGACCGUACUGACGAGCGUGGACGUCUGACGAGGGAAGUUCUACGACGCAUGGAGCUGAGCUUCAACUUGCCGCCUUCAGUUCGCUGUGGACCGGGUACUGGUCGAGGACCACCUGCACCACCUUCAUCUUCAUCUGAUGACCAGGACCCAUCCGAGAUCGAGGCUGAUGUUGAUGCACCUGUCGCGCCACUUCCUGCUACUGAUGUCGAUCCUACCGACGUUGCGUCGUCCUCGAGGCUCGUGGAGCCGAAGAGGGAGCAUGUUGUUCCAUCUGCCUCUCGCUGUUUUCCGUUUACUCCAUCACGCGGCUACCGUGUGGAACCCCUGGUUCGUGUGGUGGAGGAGGAUAUCCUUUCUAAGGAGGUAGAUGUUGGGAUGGGCUCGACUAGGGUUGUUCGCAGGACAGUUAGGAAGGAGGUCGUGGACUUGGAUACCGAGAUGAGCACGGUGGACUCUGACUCCGACACCGACGUCGACAGCUACUCGCCGAGCGACGAGGAGGAGGAGGAGGAGCUUUGAGUGGUAUUGGGAGGGUAGGUUUAGACAACGUCAUAUUUUGUGUAGAGCUCUGAUUCGUUUUGCUUUUUGGGACAGGGUAGGUUCCCGACGCAUGGCUUUUUGUGUGGUUCUCUUACUGAGGGAUCACAGUGAGUCAGUCGGACCAUAGGGGUCUUUGCUGAGGCCAUUUUGAGGCCGACUUACUCUUGGAGGAUUGUAAUUAUGACUUUUACUCACACUUCUGGAUCUGUACAUAUUUGCCUACGGGCACACUACUUUGGAGUCACUGUGAGUGCGCGUGACGUGAGAGUGCAGCUGAGGCUGUACAUGUUUAUAUAUGUUGUACAUCGGUUAGUUUAGUUUGCUGGGUCAUGCCUUUAUUUUUCUAUCGCUUUAUUAAAAAGAAAAAAAAUAUACCUGUUUUUCGCGUAAAGUUUAUUUUUGAGUUACUAAAGUGACACCUGGAAAUCGGGGUGUUCCAUCAAAUCUCUCCAUCCCACUCAAAGACCUGGAAACAUCUGAUUCAAGCAAUUCAUUGAAAACAAUUGACUUUGAGGAGGACAUGAAAAUAUGACAGUCUUCAAGAGAAAAAUUUAAAUUAUAUGUUGUCUUCAUUCCCUUAAAUUUUUUUACAUCAAAUGAUCAUAUAUUACAAUAUUGAAUUAGAUCAAUAGCUUUUUGACACAGAACCAAUGUUUUUCAUUAGAUUUAAAAAAAGCAAGUCCUGAAGAUUAGUUAAGAUAAACAUAAAAUCCCCUGAAAACUAAAUAGAAAUAGAAGAUUUUAGUGUUAAGUUAAACAGAUACCUAUGCUUAUUAUAUAGAAUUUAAGUAGGAAACCAAAUAAGUUCACUCAAACAUCAAAUCUUCAACAAUCCUACCCUUCUAGCCAUUACACAUAAUGGUACCUUGCAGAAGUAUGAUCUUCUUACAAUAUUCACCGGCCAUGGAGCCACAAUGCUUGAUAUUUGCUGCUAUGGUUUAACCUGUAUGUAUAACAAAGAUAUUUUCUUAGAUGAUAUUUUAUUAGGGAACACAAUUAGAUUUAGAUUGUGAUUCAAUUAUCUAGUAUUUCCCUUUGUUUUUCAAACGGAAAGCCUAAGAAGAGACAAAAGAAAAAAAUACAAAAAAUAAAUUUGAUUAUAAUCUAAUGGGGAUCCAUAAUCCUCUUCCAUUCAUUUCAGAACAGUCAAUCAAAGAAGUAAAACGUUGUAUGAUAGUAUAAUUUUAUUAUGAAGGGAAAAAAUAGUUCAAUAGUGUAUGAUCUAUGUUGCACGGAUACGGGUACGGUACCGGUACCGGUACGGGUACGGGGUACGCCAUUUUUUGAAAAAACAGGGUACGGGUACGCCGGUUAUAUACAAUAUUAUUAAUUAAGAAUAUCAAAUCUCUUAAUGUACAAUACUCGUAUUUUUUGGCUAAUACUCAUAGCAAAGACCAACAUGAAAGUCAUCACAGAACGGUGGAUUCAAUGGUGGCAUGAUGGGGGGAAGAAGAACGUGAUCGACUCUCUCUCUUCAUUCUUCAUAGCAGUCGUAUGUUAGAAAGAAUGAAAGGUAAAUUAGGUUUUGGUCGUUUGAAUAAAUUGAGAAUAAAUUUUUUAAUUUUUAAAAUUACAUAAAAAACUACAAAACGACAUAGUUUUGAACAUUUUUCAUUUAAAAAAAAAAAACUUAUCCGGCGUACCCUCGAUGUACCCAGAACGUACUCACGGAGUACCCAAAACGUACCCACGCCGUACCCGGUUUUUUUUGUUUGGCGAUGCUUUUGGGUAUGUACCAGGUAUGUACCAGGUACGUACCCACGGCGUACCCACUGCGUACCCGUACCGGGUACGUACCCGGUACGGGUACUCUGCCAAUUUUGGCGUACCCGUGCAACAUAGUGUAUGAUAGACCAACAAUAUAACAAAUUUGAAUAGAUACAGAUCUAUCUAAAUGUUUUCUGGACUCAAAUUUAGCCUUCUCAUCCUUCAACUAUUCUUUGGCACAGUCUAGCCUCUGCAUAUACUAUUUUUUACAGCGGCCCAUUAUGCUUUCAAACAUGCUAUGCUAUGCGAUAUUACAUUAAUGCAAAAAUAAGUAUAUUAUAUAUGCAUCAACUCAAUUGAUAAGAAAAACUAUACCUUCCCAUAAUGAAUAAGUAAAACUUAAUUGAAACAUCAUGAAUUGGAAAACUUUAAUAAGACGAAUUUCAUUCAUAAAUCAAUACAAAUGCUCACAACAAAGGCAUUACAAUGCAGUUAGCGCCAUUGUUGUCAAAGAGGUAAAGAAAUUACAUUUGUUGCAAUUUGGAUACAAUAGAUUUAGGGGAAAACUUAGGUGCAGUUGUAUACCUGUUGUUGGUGUUGUUUGCUAAUAGGAAUAAAACACGUGGAUUAUAAUUAAACCUCACCAAAAUCUAAUUAUAUUAAAUUUCACACCGUUACCCUCCGUUAUCUCUUAAAAAUGGUUUCUUUCUCCCCCUUUUCACUCUGCCUCCCACCACAACAAUCACCUUCUGGCUUCUGUACACCGAUUACGGCAAACACGCUGGUCGUUGGGCAUGUCUUCAUUUGUGAUUCUGCAUUCACGCUGUGUAAUUCACUCCCCACGUUUUGCCCUUUUCCCUUUUACUAACCUGCUCCCCACGUUUUUCUUCAACGCUUAAUCUUCUCUGUUCUUCACGCUGUGGGAAUCAAAAGAAACGUUCUGUCUUCUGCAAUCACAAAGUUCUCUUUGCUUCACAGAGUUAACACUUAACAACAAUGAAUACAUGGGCUGUAGCUACAGAGAAAGGGGAUGAACCUGUUAUUUCUGAUUCCAAUGGUAUGUAUUCUUUUUUAAUACAAUUCUGGGGGUUUUCUUUUAAUUGGAAUUAUUUUCUUGCACCAAUUCCAAUUACAAAGUAUUCAUAUUUCAGGAGGUUUUUUCUUUUAGUCUUUGCAAAGCACAGAUAGCAUGAGCAUUCAUUCACUUUUAUGAAAAUCAAAUACUAUUACUCCAUGAAAAUCAAAUAGUAUUACAUGGAAAUGUAUGAAUUCAAUCCAUGUGCUUGAUCUAAAAACGGAAGCGGAAACCUUUUUUUUUUCAAACCAAAGCCUAUGUUUAUGCACUAUUAACUUUCAUUAGUACUACAUGUUAUUCCUUUGUUUAUAAAUUGUUGAGCCAAGAAUACAAUAAUUUUAUAUUUAAUAUAUUAUCUGUUUAUGUAGUUAAAUGGAAGGAUAAUAUUGAGGAUGAAGUGACUCAUGUUAACUCUAACAAAGCAUUUUGCUUGGCUUUGUCUCAUGUAAUUGGAAGUUAACAAAUAAAGGCUUACAAUGAACCACUUUGCUGGAUAUAAAUCAAUUUCCAUUCUCAUUCAUCAUAGAAAAUAAAAAUCAUUUCAUUACAUGCUAAUGAUAUAGCCAUAUCACUUGCCAUUUGGUACAAAAGAGCCUACAUUACAUAGAACAUACACUACCAUAGUUCAUUCUAACUAAUAAAAAGAGAAAAAAAUCUACAGCCAAUGAAAAAAACUACAGCCAAUUAAACCAGCAAAAAAUAGGAAGAGGUCCAUAAUUGUGAUAAUUGCAGCCGCACACUUAAAGAGGUUUCUAACACUACCAUACACUUUGCUAACCACUGCCACCUUCUUUGGGUGAUUUUCCUCUUCAAAGUGCCACAAGCUGCAUUUGGACACACCCUUCUGCUCAAUAAUAGACUUGCAACACAUUCAAGUGCCCUUGCCCAGCUCAGGUACCAUCACAGCGGCAAAGGUCCAAAUUCACUCUCAAAGCUUUUAAUAUCAAAAGCUUAUAGGCCUUCAACUACCACCUUCCUUGUGUGAUUUUCCUCUUCAGUACCCCAGCUGCAUUUGAAUUUUAGUUUCAAAUUUUACUCUGCUCUGUCACAGAUCUUCAAAUUGAAGGGGUUUUGACUUCUGACGCCAAACACCGGCAACAGAAAUCUAAAACCUUCCCUUUAAUCAUGGAUUCCAAUUCUUCCAUAAACCUUCCUUCCACCCACAGAUCUGCUCAAACAAUAACAUAAUGCUCAAGUACCCACGUUCCGUUUCCAAUUACAAACCCUUCCAGGCAAACAAAUUAUAACUUUUCCACAUAAAACAAUAAAUGGGUCUGCUGCAUAACCUCAAUAUGAAAUGGGUCUGCUGCAUAACGUGAAGUUAGAGAGAGAGAGAGAGUGAAUGGAAGGCUUGGAAGAAGGGGAAGGAAAGAAGCAGCGUGAAUGCAGAAUCACAAAUGAAGACAUGCCCAACGACCAGCGUGUUUGCCGUAAUCGGUGUACAGAAGCCAGAAGGUGAUUGUUGUGGUGGGAGGCAGAGUGAAAAGGGGGAGAAAGAAACCAUUUUUAAGAGAUAACGGAGGGUAACGGUGUGAAAUUUAAUAUAAUUAGAUUUUGGUGAGGUUUAAUUAUAAUCCACGUGUUUUAUUCCUAUUAGCAAACAGUACCAACAGCAGGUAUACAACUGCACCUAAGUUUCUCCCAUAGAUUUAAGAUAUUACCUUGUAGCUCAUUGACUUUGCGUCCUCCUUGUGAACUUUUGAGUCUCCUACCACAAAAUUUAAUAGAAGCAACACCGUAUUAAAAAUUGAGCAACACCGUAUUAAAAAACUCAGUUCAGAAAGAUGAGGUCAGAUAAGAACAAAUAGGGGAAGAAAACUGUGGAAAUUGAGAACAAAUUAAUCAGAAGAUAUGGGUCUACUUUGAAGUUGAUCCUAUUUGAAACUGUAACAGAUUCAAUUUUGCAGUCGAAUUUUUGAACUCAAAUUGGAAUUGCAGGUCAAGGAUAUCUUUGGUUGAUCCUGCAACAGAAAUAAAUUUUUGAAAAUAAAUAAAUUACCUAAUUUGAAGAUGUAACUGAAAUGGUUAUUAUGAAUAUGAGAAAUUUGAGGUACCUAGAGUGAUUGUGGAGAAAUUUAUGGGAUUCCUUCAAUUAGGGGAAAUAGAUGGGUUGGCGGCUCAAAAUUAGGGUUCCUUGCGACUGAUAUGGGGAAAAGCGAGACCUGCAGUGACUGCAGAGGUCGACCCUGCCAUUGAAUUGAAAUCAUCUAGACUCCUCUUUGAUCCACUAUUCUAGUGGCUUCCUCAAAGUUAUUGCCAAAUAAGAAAUGCAAACUGGGUUUUGGGACCAAAAGAUACGAACUUUAAACACCAUUGUUAAAAAAGAUGAGGAUGAAGUAGAUUGAAGCUUGAGAGAGACAGAGAAAGGAAACGCCGAUUGAAGAUGUAAAGAUGAGAGAGAGUAGAUUGAAGCUUGAGAGAGACAGAUACAGGAAACACCGAUUGAAGAUGUAAAGAUGAGAGAGAGGAUGAAGCAGAUUGAAGUUGAAAAGUUGAGGGAGGGAAAAGAGAAAAAUUUUAAAAACCCAAAAAGAUAAAAAGAUUGUUUCCAAAUAUUGACGGUGAGUAAAGGAAAAUUAAGAGCGAGAAGUUGUAAUAAAAUGAAUUUUUAUUAGUAUGAUUCAAAUUUUAAACAAUUGUGGACCUAUUUAAACAUGAUUCUAAUUUUAAAUUUCAAAAUGUAUUGAUUGAAUGAAUUAAAUUGUGAGAUAAUUGAUUUAUUCAUUUAUUGAGUCAUCAAUUUUGACCAAUGAAAAAUCAUCAAUUGUGGACCAAUAAGAAGAAGACAUUUGGAAAUUCAUUUUAACCACCAAUAGAAUUAAAACAUGUGUCAUUUAAGUUACUAUAUGGCCCACUUUGGUGGAUGAACUUUAUAUAUUAUUAAGAUAAGAUGCAUUAAACCAUAAAAGCUCACAUACCUUUAUAUUAAAUACAUUAAAAAAUAAAAAAUAAAUAUUAAAUAAAUUAAAAACUGAAAAAUAUUGUAUAAUAAAAAAUUAUUCAACUGCUUAUAUUAAAUAACAACAUUCAUAGACUUAAAAUUGACUUGAGCUUUGCAUUUGACAAAUAUUAAAAAUUAAAAUUAGUAAUAAAAUAAUAUUUAUUAAUAAAUAAUUUAGAUAAAAUACUUUUAAAAUAAAAAAAUUUCUAUAUAUCCAUAUCUAUCUAUAUACAUUUUUUUUAGAGCAAACUGAAUUAUUUUUUUCGAACAUAAACUGAAAUUUUAUGAAUAAAGAAAGACUUGAAAAAUAGCAUUAAACACAUAAAGAAAUAAUAAAUUUCUUUUGUAUUUAAAACAUUAAAUAAAAAAACUGAAAACUAAAAUAAAAACUCAUUAAACAUAAAUUAUUAAUUGUUAAACUUUUCUAUUUCUCAUAUUUAAAAUUAAAUAUUAAAAUUUAAAAUUUUCAAUUUCUCAUAUUUAAAAUUAAAUAAUAAAAUUAUUUAAGUUUUAAUUAUUCAUUACAACUUGAGGUGAAUUUUUAAAAACAAUAAUAAUUGAAAUUGACUACCUUUAAAUUAAUUUAUACUAUUUACUAAUUGUUCAUUUCUGUGGAUAUACAGUGUAAGAAAACAUGUCCUGAUAACUUAUUUAGUUAUGAUAUUAAAAACUUAUUACUUGGUUUAAUAUAUUUCAAAUUCACACAUUGAUUUUUUAUAUUUUUAAAUGAAUAAAAUAUUAAACUACUUCAAUGCUAAUUAUUUAAUAUUAAUUAUUAGAGAGAAAUGCAUACGUGUUUAAUAACAAAGUUCUUGCUGUUGAACAUAAAUGAGACUAUUGCUCGGUUCGUGUGUUUUGGUGGGUCAAGGGGAAGUGGAAUGAUUGUCCAUAUGAUUUAGAGCAGUUUGCUAGAGGCUUUGAGCGUAUUGAAUGGUCACUGAAACAAAAGAUGUCACGAACAGUGUAUUGGGAGACACUGCCAGCAACUGUUUUAAAGUUUAAUGUGGAUGGAGCGUCGAAAAGGAAUCCAGUGGUCAGUGAUUUUGGCAGGGUUUUGAGGGAUUAAGGAGGGGAGGUGUUAGGUUACUUUGCAAAAGGAACUAAAAUGUUGUGGCCUGUGGGCUUUUGACGAAUGUUCAAGUAGUGUUACAUGCUUUGUAAUUUUUUUCCAACAAUUUAAAUUUUCAAAUGUGGUGGCUGAGAGUGAUUCCUCCUUAGUGGUUGGGUGAGUGUCUAAGGGAGAUAGGAGGUCAUUGAAAUUGGAACAUAUAUUUAAUCAUAUAGAUCAUCUGAUGUCUAUAAUCAAAUGUGUUGGUGUAGUGUAUGUAUUGCGUGAGAGAAACAUUUUGACAUGUAUGUAUUGUGUGGUAGGGAACAACAAAUAUUGAUCUAUUGUGAUCUAAUGUAAUUAUCUAAAUGAAAAGGUUGUUCUCAUUUUGUUGCGUUUUAAUGAAGUUUUCUUUUAAAAAAAUCAAUUAUUAAAUUUGAGUAGUAUUAAUUAUUUAGAUUUAGAGAAAUCUAAUUUUAUUCAAUGAAAUGUCUCACGUCCAUUAUUAUUUAAUUUAUUAUAUUUUAUAAUAAAUAUAUUUUAAUAUUUAUUGAAACUAUAAUAAUCAUAUAUAAUUUUAAAAAUAUUAUAAAUAAACCCGUGCAACGCACGGGUAUUAUUUCUAGUUACCGAAAGCAUACCAAUAAAAGCAAUUAACACCAAUGAAUAUAUGUUGGGAAAAAAAAUCCUCAGAUUUAGCCAAACUCUAAAGAAUGAAGCACGGUACCACAUGUUUGAAUUCUAGAGGAUGAGGUUAAAGCAAAAACAACUACAUUACAAAAUAUAGAAGGUGGUCUGAUAUGGGCUUAUUGAUUAGUUGGGCUUAUCAGCCUAAUGUAAAUAUGGGUCAUGCAACCCAUGGUCCGGGCGGACCGAAACUCAAUCUAUAAAUAUCAGAUACCACCCAAGCGGUGGGGGAUCUAACUUUUCACGUAUUUUCUCAUUUUGUCAGUUUUCUAUCGCUCUCAAACUGGUUAGCCCUUGCUUGAUAGUUCCAUACCGGAACAUUGGCGCCCACCGUGGGGCAAGGUAAAACUUCCCCACCACCACAAAUCCCAUCCGUGACCAGAUCAUCAUAAUCUUUUCUACAACCACCGCUUUCAUCCUUUUCCACCGCCAAUCAACAUCUGGUGGCAUCUUAAGUUUCAAGUUCUUCCUCUUAACAAAAGGAUAGUGAACUUGAUGUCUUUCUUUCCUCUGAUGAAGAUCACGACACUAGUCUCGAAGAAGAAGAUGAUGAAUUCAUCGAUUGCGAUUUCUAUGAAGCGUCUGAAUCAGAUGAUCGUGAUGUUGAUGAUGAUGAGUUUAAAUCGGAUGACAGUGAUAUUGAUGAUCAAUCCCUCUCCGAUAAAGUUCUCUCCCUCUUUCGAGAAGGAAAGGAUAUAGAAGGUUUGAAAUUAAACGAAUGCAAAGCGUAUUUGCAGAAACACGGCCUGAGGAUUGCAGGAAAUCGAGCGGUUACAAGGUGAAAAAGAGAAGGGCAACCAAGAGAAGAAACUGCACAACCGCCACUUAGGAGAUGAACACACCACAUUCGAGUUGAAACUGCCCACUAUCAUUUUGUCUCAACUGCAAGUUCGGAGUUGCAACCGCUCAUGCUGUCUCAACCGCAACCUCUGAAUCGAACUCGUCCAUGCUCGACUGAGUGACAUCAGGCCAAAUUGAUUCAGGACCACUCUAAAAAACGGAUACGCAUCCUCGUUCUUUUGGAAUUUUUCUUAUACCUUCUGUUCAGUUUUGAUUCUAUUAGUUUUGUACUUUGAUUACCAAUAGUUGGAAAUUAAAUUCGUUACUCUCUUCUGUGUUUGAUUCAACAUGAAAAAUUGGAUCAGAUCAAGAAGAAAUUGUGGAGAAUCGGAUUGGCACGCAAACUGUUCGAUGAAAUUGGUGAACGAUUUCUUCACUUCAACUUUACAUAUGAGGCAAUCUCAACACGUUUGCUGCGGCGAUGGAGUUCUGGCGAACACGCUUGCUGUGGCGAUGGAAGUAUAGCGAGUAUGUUCGCUUUGGCGACACAAUCUUGGCGAAUACGUUCGCUUCGGCGGUGAAAUUCUGGCGAGCAAGUUUCGCCGGCGUUGAAAGUUCAACGGCAAACAAGUGUUAACUGACAUCUCUAUCUCUCACCUGUGGUGCUCAACGCCAAGGGCGAGCCAGACCUGAUUCAGGAUUGCUGAAACAUAUCCCAUUUCCUUCAAUUUUUCUUCUAUCUUCUGUUGGUUUUUGUUAAUAUCCUUUGAUUAUCAAAACUCUGGAACUAAUUUUGUCAUUCUCUUUUCUGUGUCCGAUGUGCGGAACAGAGGGGAACAUGCCAGAUGAAGAUGAAGGGAACAUGCCAGAUGUGCGGAACAGGGGAACAUUCUCAUGUUUGAGCCUGUCAUUCGUUUGAUGCAAUGACUGACUGAAUUUCCUUUGAUUCAUUCAUGUCUAAUUUUCACAUCCAUCCUUUGAUAAUUCUGAUAUAAUUUUCAUGUUGUUUAAGCGUUUGAUGAAUUGGUUAAUUAAAGUUUGUUCUUCAAUACCAUGUGGUUCUCCUGACUUUAACUUUUGAGUCUCCAAUUCCUUGGAAAUGUAAAUUUGCUUGGGCUCUAUGACGAUUGUUUAAAGUUUGGGGUUCAGAUAAUUCCUUAUCUCGCCUACAAUCCGGUUUAUCGAUUCCUCUACAUUCCACAUUCAUUCUACUAGCUGCGGUUUCCACUUACUUGCACUCAUUAAACUUAAAACUGGUUACUUUAGUGGCAUGUAGUGCUUGCUAAUUGUCGAGAAAUUUGAAUGCAUCUCUUUUAGUCUCUAGAGGUUACAUGUCCUGGGGGCUAUCCUAUGGGUAAGGUGCAGGGAUCUACCUCGCUUAGUCAUACAGAGAANNNNNNNNNNNNNNNNNNNNNNNNNNNNNNNNNNNNNNNNNNNNNNNNNNNNNNNNNNNNNNNNNNNNNNNNNNNNNNNNNNNNNNNNNNNNNNNNNNNNCUGAGCGUCGAAGCCAUUGGAGACAGCUUCGAGGCUAAGGAGUUUAGUUGGUCGGCGGAAUUGGAUCCGAGGAAGGAGAGAAGCUCGUCAAGUGUGGCGCCAUCUGAACCAGCGGCGACCAUGCUGAGCACAACCUGAAGCGACAAUGGCGAAAACACGAUGUUCUUAUCCUUAGAAUCUUUCAAGAACAAAGAUUUCGCAAUGCUAAAAGUAACGUCUGUUUCGCUGGUCGAUUCUGGUAAGCGUUUUAAUUUUUUCACAACCAAUUUUGUUGUCAUGUCCUCCCUCGUUGCUUUCUUCUCUCUUCUUAUAUUAUCAAAGGGAAAGGGAGGUGGAGGAUUAAAACGAGAAGAAAAGUUGAACAUUUUCUCAUGACGACCUUCAAAAUCAAAUGGACCAAGCUGAUGAUCAAUAUUCUGGAGAGCUGGAGUUACAUGGUGAGUUGGUCCAGAGUCAGUGCUUCCAGAAUCUGCCUGAGGAGAAGAAGGACGAAAAUCGAUCUGCUGAAACUGAAAUUGAGGAUGCAAGUUGAACUGCUGUGGAUAUGGUGAAUUAGCCAUAGAGAACUGAGACUGGUUCUGCCGCAGAUUUUGGGGAUAAGAUUGAUUGGAAGGCUGAGAAUUAGACUGAUUUGGUGCAAAAUUCUGAUCAAAGCGGUGGUCGCAGACAGCAGCAGUAUGACCAUACUUGAAGCAAAUUUGGCACUCAACAGAAGCAGAAGACGACAUUGUGUGGCUAGCUGGGUGGAGGUGAUGCUUGGGGUUGGGGAGUUUGUGUUUUCCAAGUGAGCCCUAGAAGACUAAUAGAGCUGGUGAUCCAAUAUAUAAGUAUAUCUUAACCUAUUAAUGAUUAAAUCAAAUCUCCCUUAAUAUCAGCUCAAUUUUCCCUUGAUUUUGGAGAUAAUAUAUUUCCUAUAUAAGAAAGAGAUAAUAAAAAAAUAGAUGAGAGAUUCAAAAGGAAAUACAUUUACCUUUCUCUUGUAACCAAAAAAAACGAAAGGAAAUACAUUUGAAUAUUUAAUCUCAAACCAACGAAAUUAUCCAUGAUUUGUUAGAAAAAAAAAUUUAACAAAAAAGAUAGAUGUAUUUAUGAUGGAUCCAAUUUAAUAAAAAUAGAUAAAACAACGAAAUCCAAUCAGGCCAAAAAUUAAAAGAAACUUCAUCUCAAACAAAAAUUUGAAGGAACUGAAAAUCGAAAAAAUUGGAUUUUUUAUUGUAUUAUAUUGGAUUUGAAUUUAAUUUUCAAAACCAAACUAACCCAAUUUAAAUUUAAUAUUUACAUAUAUAUCUAUUUUUUAAAAUAACAAAUAUACCUAAUUUUAUUCCUACGUAUAGUAUAUCAUCUUACAUUUUUAAAUCCGUAUACAUUUAACUAGAUACUUAAUUAUUAUAUACUUAUUCUAUAGCACGUACUUAAUUAUUUAUAAAAAUAUAUCUAAGUAAAUAUAAUUCAAAUAAAUGUGCACCAAAGUGAACACAUACUUAUAACUUUUGAAAAUAUUAUUUUUCAAAAAAAAAUAUUUAUAAUAAAUAAUAUUUUAUAAUUUAUCAAUGAUAUAAAUUAUAGAGUUUAAUGGAUAUGUACUGUCAUUGUAAAAAAGUUUUACACUGACAACAAAUCAUAAUAUACCACAUAGGAGAAAUAAUAAUUUUCAUUUUAAUUUUUAAUUAAAACAAAAAUACGUUUUAUAAUGUGUCGGAAUUUAAUUGGAUAACUAUGUAAAAUCUGUUUACACCGACUGUGUAUAUCUCUUUAAUUCUAAAUUAUAUAACAUUGGAGAGAAUCAACUAUAUAUUGAUAACUUAAUAUGCAAAUAGUGUGAUAAAGGAAAAUAACAAUAUUUCAAAUCAUAGUCCACUUUUUGAAUACGUUAAAAUUCAAACACUAAAUUAAUUUUUUUUUACAUCGGAAGAAAUUAAUAUCUUAUCUAAUAUAAUAUUUAAAAAUUUAUGAGAUCUUAUGAAAUUUAAAACACAUAAUUGAUUGUACCAAAAAAAACACAUAAUUGAUACGCCGCUAUAUCAAUCAUAAAAUAUAAACUAUUAUUAAAAAUUUUAAUUUUUUUUAAUAUUAUUAAUGAAAAAUCUACAUGAGAGCUUUUUUUAAAAGCGAAAAACUAACGCAACGCUAGCCUAUCCUUCAGAAGAAGAUGUCUAACUCCUGAGGAGGGGCAGCCAGCUCACAAAGACCCUAACCAUUCACCCUGCAAAUCUCUUCAUUUCUCUUAGCUCACCCUUCCCCCUGUCGUCACUCUAAGUUGUGAUUCCUUCUUUUUUAAUGAAAUUUACGCUGCUCUUUGUUAGUGACCGAAAAGAACCUGUCACAAUCCUAGACUAUAAUAUAAAAAGAAUUAGUGACAGAUUGUGGAGAGAAGUUUCCCCUCGCAAAGUGUUUAGCGACCAAAUAUUCCUUGUGACAAAAUUCUAUCCGUCACAAAAUCCUUGUGAAUAAUGGAAAAUAAAUUAAUGGCAAAACCUUAAGAAGAAAUAUUUUCGUCGCAAAAUGUUUAGCGACGGACUAUUGUUUGUGACAGAAAACUUCUCUCUCAACUUUGCGUCACUAAUUCCUUUUAUAUUGUAUACUAGAACUUUGUGACGGAUUUGCUUCCGUUACUAACAGUGUAAAAAAAAGGAAAUGGAGAUUUAAUCACCCCUUAUAGUGGAUAUUUAUACUAUUUCUGUAAUUAAAGAAAAAGUUGCACUAACUUAGUAAAAUUUUGUAAAAACUACCAUAUUCAUGUAAAAAAGUCCCUAAUUAAUAUUUUUUCAAAUUGCAAAACAUAAAUUGUUCAUCCAUCCGUAUCUAAAUAUCCAUAUAGGAUGUAUCUUUUUAGAAUGACCUUUGGUCUGAUAUGUGCUUAUUGAUUAGUUGGGCUUAUCAGCCUAAUGUAAAUAUGGGUCAUGCAACCCAUGGUCCGGGCGGACCGAAACUCAAUCUAUAAAUAUCAGAUACUACCCAAGCGGUGGGGGAUCUAAUUUUUCAGGCAUUUUUCUAGUUUCGUUCAUUCUCUAUCACUCUCAAACUGGUUAGCACUUGCUCGAUAGUUCCAUACCGGAACAUUGGCGCCCACCGUGGGGCCCGUAAAAAACAAAUCCCCACUACCACGAACAAGAGGCUAUGUAAUUUCUACUUCUGAGAGAGGAGGGCGAACGAAAUUGAAGGGGAAGCCAUGCAAUCAAUUUAUGUCAAAAUGUCAGUUUCAAAAGAUGGUUGCAUAGAACAUCAGAAACAGAUUGAGGAAACGUGAAGAAGCAGAGAAGAGAAAACGGCGACAAGGGAGAAAAGUUUCGGAUCGAUGCCAGGACGUGAACGGAGGUCAUGGAACUCCAUGGUGCUCGGGGCGAUGCGUUUUGUGGGCGGUGGAAGGGUUGAACGCAGUGGCUCGCCUUUGUCAUCGUCCAUGCUCUUUUUCUUUCAAUCCUUUUUCAAUGUUGCAGUUCCCAAACUUCACAAAGGACAGAGGUCAAGUGGAUUGAAGGUUGGAGGAUCACAAUUAGGGCUUGAAAAUCAAGAUGGAGAACGCCCCUGUUUCCGGACCUGAUUCAAACCCGUCAACAAAUCCCAAUUCAUACAAUUUUGGAAAUGCACAACCGCCACGUAGAAGAUUGAAGCCAUCAUUUUGAGUUGCAACCGUCCAUUCAAUUUCAACUGUCACGCCCAGAAUUUAAAUGCUCAUUUUGUCUCAACUGCAAGGGGAGUUGCAACUGCUCAUGCUGUCUCAACCGCCACUGCUGAAUCGAAUUCGUCUAUGUUCGCCCAUGAGUUUCAGGCCAAAUGGAUUCAGGACCACUCUAAAAACGGAUACGCAUCCUCGUUCUUUUGAAAUUUUUCUUAUACCUUCUGUUCAGUUUUGAUUCUAUGAGUUUUGUACUUUGAUUACCAAUAGUUGGAAAUUAAAUUCGUUACUCUUUUCUGUGUUUGAUUCAACAUGGAAAAAUUGGAUCAGAUCAAGAAGAAAUUGUGGAGAAUUGGAUUGGCACGCAAACUGUUCGAUGAAAUUGGUGAACGAUUUCUGCACUUCAACUUUGCAUAUGAGGCAAUCUCAACACGUUUGCUGCGGCGAUGGAGUUCUGGCGAACACGCUUGCUGUGGCGAUGGAAGUAUGGCGAGCAUGUUCGCUUUGGCGACACAAUUUUGGCGAAUACGUUCGCUUCGGCGAUGGAAGUCUGGCGAGCAAGUUUCGCCGGCUUUGAAAGUUCAACGGCGAACAAGUGUUAACUGACAUCUCUAUCUCUCGCCUGUGGUGCUCAACGCCAAGGGCGAGCCAGACCUGAUUCAGGAUUGCAUAUCCCAUUUCCUUCAACUUUUCAUCUAUCUUCUGUUGGUUUUUGUUAAUAUAUCUUCUUUUUAGUUCUCUAGUAGUUUACAUGUCUUGGGUGCUUAUCUUAUGGUUAAAGUGUGCAAGGAUACAUACCUGCAUAGUUUCAUACAAGAGAAACCAUGAUUUAACCUUUAUCAAGUGUAUUGGCAUUUUGUCAUGAGUUCUGAGAGCCAGUGGCUGGUUUCUUUUCACAAAUAGCAAGGAUGACUUUGAAAUGCCUUUUGCUUUGGGAGCUUUGCUCUCUGUUCACAGGUUUUAGUUAUUUGCACAUCUAAAUUCUUAUCAUUCACAUAAAUAUGAUGUGACUUGCGAGUUGAGAUUGAAAUCAUGAUGAGGAUUAUAAUGUUUUUACUUCCCUUAUUGUUUAACACCUUAUUGUUUAGCACUGAAUGCUUUGAAAGUGGAAGAAUAAAUGCUAGUAUGAUUGUUUCACAGUAAAAGAGGAUUGUUAUGUUGCAAGUUGGUUAUUGUCAAUUGUUUCCUGCUCAUAAUUGUUGCCUUCUAUCUCGUUAAAACUUAGCUUUUUGGAGUUUCUUGUGCGUAUCUUUUUAUGACAGGCCAUUGGUUCAAUCAUGCUUAAAUUGGAGUUGAAAUAAUGAUUUCAAUAUUAGUAUGCUAGCUUAACUCCAUCUGACUUACAUAAUACUGCUACUUUAAGAAUUGUCAACUGCAGAUUCUGUUUUCGCUUUUAUUAGGAUUUCUUGUGUAUGGCCAUAUUAUUACACAGUGGCAUCCAUUUCUAAUUGUUACUUGUUUCAUGUGUUAUCCAUAAUGAAAUGCAACUACAAUUGAAAUGCUUGAAGGAAAAGCAGAAUAGGAAGAAGCCUCGUCAAAUCACCCUGACAAGCUUGAAUAAAAAUAUGAGAGCCAGAAUCAGCUCUUUGAAGAGUGCAUAAAAUCUGGAACUGAGACAAAGUCCUGGUUUGACAAAUCUUUCUUUUAAGCCAAAGUUGAUUCUGAAGUUAAUGCUUUCCAUCUCAUUUGAACGUUUCACAUUGGCUUUCAUUUUCUUUCAUGAUUCUGUUUUGGUUUUAUUACCUGCUAUAUGCUUGACAAAAUGUUUGAAUAGAAAUUCAUUGGUGCAUACCUGUUUGAUGAUAUGAUUUUCACUGCCUGUGUUUUAUGCGAGAAAUCAUGAUUUUGUGGAAUAUUUGUACCACUAGGUUGCUUCCACCUUGAUUUUAGAUCUGAUUGCUUUUUGAGAUAUGUUGGGAAUAAUGAAUCCCAGUUUGAAGUGUGCUCAAAAUGUGCCUACCAUAUAUUUGAUAAGUUCUCUAUGUGAGUUCAAAAGAAGUUCAAGAAGGUAUAAUGUUGCUGUUUGGAAAAAAGUUACCUUGAGUCCUUGACUUUGUGUUGGUUAUCAAAUGUCUCUGAUGCUAUGCCUUAUAUUAUUUGGCUAGCUUUCAUGUUAAACUGCCAUUUCACUUAGAAAACUUUAGGUUUGGGUGUUGUGUGUUUGAGUUUGAUCAUAAGAAGUUUUCCAUUGUGUUUUUGCUACUUAGUUUAGUAAUUGAGAAGACUCAUUCAUAAUACUGAGAAAACUAAUUUCUUUAAGGUUUUGGAUUUUGAAUAUUGUUCCUGUACAAUUUGCAUGUUUGUCCGUUUCUUACAUGUUUUGAUAUUGUCAAUGUUAUAUUAUAUUUUAUCUCAUGCUAACAAGGUGAUGAGUUGACAGGUGAUGAGUUGACUAAAAACAGUCAAAGCAUACAACAUUAUGUACAGAAAAAGAAAAGAAUAACAGGUAUGCACUCUUUUCUCUACCCCAGGCGGGAGAGUUUUUAACGAGGCAUAACCUUUUUAAAAAUGUUCAAGGGCGUAACAUUUCAUAUGCACUCUUUUCUCUACCCCAGGCGGGAGAGUUUUUAACGAGGCAUAACCUUUUUAAAAAUGUUCAAGGGCCGUAGCAUUUCAUUUAUUCCCAUAGCGGAAACUUAUCAACAUAAGAGGUCUAUCAAUUUGGGCGAACGUCAGACAAAUUGUAGAAAAAGAAGUAAAGUCCUUCUCUAAAAAAACANNNNNNNNNNNNNNNNNNNNNNNNNNNNNNNNNNNNNNNNNNNNNNNNNNNNNNNNNNNNNNNNNNNNNNNNNNNNNNNNNNNNNNNNNNNNNNNNNNNNUCAAUUGGGCGACGUCAGACAAUUGAGAAAAGAGUAAGUCUCUUAAAACAAGAGCAUUUGACCACGAAUUCAUAAGCACAGCCUUAAAUUGGAUUUAAGCUUGUCCAAAAUAAGCACAAGUCUCCACGCGAGCAUAUUAAUGAAAUCAAAUAUCGUGACUUUGAUUUCCAUGAAUAACUAUGUCAAAAAUGAAAAUUUUGACUAAGUUAUAUACACAAAGGCCUUAUGAUUCCAAAGUAGUUGAUUAAGUUUAAACUUUACAAAAUUUUUGAGAUUUACUCAAGAGUAUUUUACUAUAUACAGUAAAGAAAGGCGGGAUGAUUCUGAUGAAAAGUCGUAUUCGAACUUGAUAGAAAAAUGAUAAGAUUAUUGGGCGAUAUUAAACAAUAUCGUCCUUUGGGUGAUAUUAAACAAUAUCGUUUUUAUGAUAAAGUUCAUCUUACAAAGGAUGCAUUACACUGAGCAUAGAUGAAUGUGCAAGCGAUGUGAAGUAAGUGUGUUCCAUAUUAUUGAUUUACAUUUAAGUCUUUAACUUUUAUUUUGUCUAAGUUUCAAAUUAUUGUGCAUUAUUACUUGUGGUAUUAUGAGAGCAGGUUGUGAUCAUGGUUUAGGGGAAGAGAAAAUUAAUCAUGAUAAUGACAGUGAGGUUGUGAUUGAUGUGAAGAGACGAUUUGGGUCAACUUGCACGCGCUACACAAAGAUCAAGAAGUAACAGCAAAAGUUGAAUUGUCAAAGGAAUGACUACUUAGCUUUUAUGCCUUUUAAAUUUUGAUUUCGGAGCAUGUGUGCCCAUUAUUUCCUUUGCACAUUUUGGGCGUGUCAAUUACUUGUUAGUUUUUGUGUAGUGUUGGGUGAGUUGAUUACUUGUGGGCUCAAAAAAAGACACACUUCGUCUUAAAGCUUUUAAGACUCGGUGUCUUGUGGGCUUGUGGUCUGAUAUGGGCUUAUUGAUUAGUUGGGCUUAUCAGCCUAAUGUAAAUAUGGGUCAUGCAACCCAUGGUCCGGGCGGACCGAAACUCAAUCUAUAAAUAUCAGAUACCACCCAAGCGGUGGGGGAUCUAACUUUUCACGUAUUUUCUCAUUUUGUCAGUUUUCUAUCGCUCUCAAACUGGUUAGCCCUUGCUUGAUAGUUCCAUACCGGAACAGAAGGAUACACAAAAAAACAAAAUAUAACGUGAAGAAGGAAAAAAACGAUCGAAAGAAAUAACGUAAAAAGGAAAAAGAAAAAAAAAUGUAAAUAAGGACAAUACAAAAUGAUAACGUAAAGAGACAGAAGCAUAUAUUGGAUGUAGAAUUGUAGAUCCAAAUGAGUAUUAAAAAAAAAAUUGCAAAAAUCACAUGAAAUGCAAACAAGUGAAAUAACGAGGGAGAAGAUUAUAUGAAAAGAAAAAAGAUAUGGAUGAAGAACAAAUGAUAUUCCCUUGCUUGAUCCUUGAAGAGAUAAAGAGCACACUCGUGCUGAUAACGUAUUAAGAAUAAGUGAAAUAACGAGGGAGAAGAUUAUAUGAAAAGAAAAAAGAUAUUAAUGAAGAACAAAUGAUAUUCCCUUGCUUGAUCCUUGAAGAGAUAAAGAGCACACUCGUGCUGAUAACGUAUUAAGAAUAAGUGUGAGCAUAACAAGUAUAUAGAAGAGAAGAGGUAGAGAGNNNNNNNNNNNNNNNNNNNNNNNNNNNNNNNNNNNNNNNNNNNNNNNNNNNNNNNNNNNNNNNNNNNNNNNNNNNNNNNNNNNNNNNNNNNNNNNNNNNNCAUUCGUUGGCAAUAAAAAAACAUCCAUCGUUGGAAGAAAAAAAAUUAUUUUAUGUAAGCAUGCUUGAUAGAGAUAAUUAUGGUUGGUCAUAGUUGAAUGAUUGUUGGUUGUGGCAGGCCCAUCCAGUGAGUGUGUUCGUCCACCCUCGAUAAUUAGUAUGUGUGUGGGCGAUCGGCUUUAAGCAUUCGUUCGCCAACUAAGUUAGUUAAAUUUAUUUUCGUUCGCUUGAUAAUAUUUUAAGCUAUUUAAGUUAUCACUUAUCAUAAUUCUAAAAUUUUAAAUUAAUUUAUUCUUCUUGACCUUGACAAGUCCCAACAAAUGACUUUCUUGGUAAAAAGUUGGAUUGGGCGAGCCCCCACACCCUAGAGGAACUUGCCCAGGGACGAACAAGACCUAAACGAGAGGAACUCGCUAGGGGUGAGAGAAAGGACUUAGGAGAUUAGGGACCCCUUAGGGCAAGCGCCAGGGGCGGUUGAUGUAUGUAAGGGAGUUGGGCCGAGUGAGGUACGACCCAACAAGCCCCAUUAGUGGCAAAGUUAGGGUUUCAUGUAACCUCUAUAAAAGGGGACUUUAUGAUCAUUGCAAAGGAUCAUUCGGCAUUUAUUGUAACACCCCAUUUUUUUUUUUCUGUUAUUAGGUUAUUUAGUAUUUUAUUUUAAUUAUUAUUAUGUUAUAUGGUAAUUUGAUAGUUUAUGUGAUUUAAUUAGAUGAUUAUGUGAUUUAAUUAGAUGAUAAGGUGAUAAAGUGAUUUUAUUAGAUAAUUAAGUUAUUAUGUGAUAUAUGGAGUGAGUAAUUUAUUUAAUUUGUAUUUGAGUGAGAUAAGAUUAAAUUAUAUAAGGUUGUUGGGUUUGUGUGAUAUAUAGAGUGGAUCCCACUAGUAAUACUAGUUUAAGGUUAGGAGUGAAAUAAAUAGAAAAAAGAAAGAAAGAGAAAUCAGAAUUAGAAGAGCAGAACAGAGAAGGAGAAAGCGUGAAAACAGAGAAGAAGGAGACGAGAAAAGAGCAGAAAACUUAGAACUGAUCUACAAGAGGUAAGAGUUUGAAUUCAUGUUUUAUGGAUUGGUAUGAUAGUGGAUAAUGAUAGAAAGCAUGAUUUAGGAACCCUAGGUUGCAAAAAUUCCCAAAUUGAAAUAGUUAGGGUUUGGUUUUUAGAUGAUUUUGGGGGUAGAUGAUAGGCUUGCAUGAUGCGCAGAAAUUUACGUUCUCUUGUACCCUUUUUCGUGCUAUGUUAGUGGCCGAAUUUGAAGAAGUAGUCUUCAUAAAAGUUGUAGGUUUUUCUGUUACGAAACUUUUGCCACUGGUUUCACGUCAUUCCGACGUCUGUAGCUCGAGUUAUGUGUAUUUUAGUGAGUAUAGGUUAAGCUGUCCAGUUUCUUACGAACUGCGGUUAGUGUACGAUUUUUCCUGAUUUUUGUACUUCGAAUUGUGACUUGAAAAUUUAUAGAGGUUUACAAAACGUGUAUACAGAACCAUGAUAAAAAUAUUAGAUUUUUCUGAGUAUAUUUGAUAAUUUACAUCUGUUUAAUAGUUCAUUAGAUGUGUGGUGCGCGCACAUGGCGAGUUGCGCAGGAAGAUGUCGCAAGAUGUCGCGACAUGGCGAGUUGCGUAGGGAGAUGUCGUGAGAUGUCGCGACAUGGCGAGUUAUUCAGCGACAUAGCGAGUUGCGUAGGGAGAUGUCGUGAGAUGUCGCGACAUGGCGAGUUGUGCAGUGAGAUGUCGCGAGAUGGCGAGCAUGAGCAUGUGGCGAGUUUUUGGGAAAAUUUAGAGAGAAAUCCAGUCUUUAGGAAAUAGUUGCAGAACCUGUUAUAUAUGAAUUAUAUUUAAUUUACAUCUAUUUUUAAUAAUCAUUAUAUGAUGUUGUUUCUGAAUUGAUGUUAUGUUUGAGAUGCUAAGUUGUUGUGAUUGCAAGUUGUAUAAUUGAUAACAUGUAAUAUGUGUUUUGUGCAACUGGUGAUGAAUAUGCUAAAAUAAUUAGGACUUGGAGAUGGUCUGAAUAUGCAUAUGUUAGUUGAGUUUUGCACAGUACACUGCAUAGUUGUCAAGAGGCAAUGUUUGCUAGUUCUCGUGGAGGCUAGUGACUUGUCCCAAAACUGGAGUGGUUUUGAAGCCUAGAGCGAGGGCUUUAUUGGUGGUUAUCUGUCUAGAGUGGACACGGUGAUACCGCUAAGGAUAACAACUUUGGUACCAAAGGCAUUUGCACGGGUCUCACUUGAGUCAUAUGUGUUAUGGUGAUAUUUUUGGAGAUAUUUGAUGUGGUGGUAAUUAGAGACUAUUAUAUAUGUUCUAAUUGAGCUAUAAUUUAAGGAGUAUUUGCCAUAACUGUGAACUUGAUUAAUUAUGUUAAAAUUACAUAAUUUAUUAUUUGUUAGUGAAUGUGAGUAAUUUAUGUGGAGCAUAGAUAAGCUUUUACAUUAUUUAUUAUUAUGCUUAUCCAUAUGAUUUGAGUUCUCACCCUUCUGUUGGAAUGAUGUUCUAUGCGACAUCGCUCAGGUACCGAAGAUAGUGGAGCUUCUCGCGAGGGUUAGUUGGAGGAGCUAGUCUUUCAUUUACGGUUUAGUUAGGGGAGUCAUGCUCUGUUAUGUAACACCGGGAAACGUUUAGUUUUGUACCUUGAUGUUAAGAGUUACCUAUGAACUCUCUUUAUGUUAAAUUUUGGAGUUGAAAUAAAUCCGCUGUGCUAUGCAUAUGAUGUUGCGACAUUAAAGUUGGAAAAUUUAUAUAUUUAUUAUGAGCAUGACAGGUGUUUUGAUUUAUGUUUCUGGAGAAUAAGUGUGACACCCUCUGUGUUAUGCAUUUUACUCUGAUUUAUGAUAUAUUAUUAUGCGGGGUUUAGAGGGUGUUACAUUUAUUCUACAGGAUUAGGCUAUAACUAGACUCAUGCUUUACUAGGGUUUGAGGCUUAUACCAUUCUUGAGUGUUCAUUUCCAGAACAAAAGUAUAAAAAAUGAUAUUAAAAUUUAUUUCAUGACACUAGCACUUAACAUUUUUUUACGUAAUUUAAAUAUUUCAAAUUAACUUAAUAAUUUUUCAUAAUUUUUUUUAUUUCUAAAAAUCAUUUCUAUGCUAAUAAUUAAAUAUCAAUAAUAAAAUUUGAGUAAUAUUAAUUAUUUAUACAAAAAAUAUAAUAAUAUUUAUUGAAAUGUCAUAACACAGUUUAUUUACAAUUAUAAUUAAAAAAUAUUUAUUUAUUUAUUUAAACUAUAAUAAUUUAUAUAUAAUGUUAAAAAAUAUUGUAAGUAAACUCGUGCAACGCACGGGUAUAAUAUCUAGUAUAUGUAAAGCACACUUGAGUUUUGCAUUAAAUACAUAAGCAAAACACAAGUGUUACAUUGUAUUAAAAGCAUAGUAUUAAAUAAUAAAAUUUUCUUUAUAAUAAAUAUAUUAAACAAUAAAAUAAAAAACUGAAAAAAAUCAUAUUAUCAAAAACUAUUCAACUACUUACAUUAAAUAAUAACAUUCAAAAACUUCAAAUUUACUUGAGUUUUACAUUUCUAAAAUAUUAAAAACUAAAUUAUAAUAUAAAAUUCUUUCAACAAAAAAGUCAAUGAUAAAAUAAUAUUUAUUAAAAAAUAAUAAAGCUAAAAUAGUUUUAAAAUUAAAAUAUUUCUAUUUAUAUGUAAAUGAGACUUCAGUAUACAUUAAAUCCAUUAGAUCAUAAAACUCUCAUACAUUUAUAUUAAAAUACAAUAAGAAACAAUAAUUUUUCUAUGUAAAAAAUAUAUUAAAAACUGAAAAAAAAUUAUUGUCAAAAACUAUUCAACUUCUUACAUUAAUAACAACAUUCAUCAACUUAAAAUUGACUUUAAAAAAAUGAAAUUGUCUUAAGUUUUGCAUUUGACAAAUAUUAAAAGUUAAAAUUAUUUAUAAUCAAAUAAUAUAUUUAAAUAAAUAAUUUUAGAUAAAAAUUUUAAAACUUAAAAAAUGCCGCUAAAAGGUAUUUAAUAUUAACUAAAACAUAUAUGUGAAUUAUCGAAAAAAAUAUUAAAAUAUAUCAUGAGUAAAAAUUACUCUACUCGAGGAAGCAUAAUAGAGAAAAAUAAUAAUGUCCAAAGUUGUAUAAAUUUUUGUUGUGGAAGAGCUAUCCACUUAACGGAUCNNNNNNNNNNNNNNNNNNNNNNNNNNNNNNNNNNNNNNNNNNNNNNNNNNNNNNNNNNNNNNNNNNNNNNNNNNNNNNNNNNNNNNNNNNNNNNNNNNNNNNNNNNNNNNNNNNNNNNNNNNNNNNNNNNNNNNNNNNNNNNNNNNNNNNNNNNNNNNNNNNNNNNNNNNNNNNNNNNNNNNNNNNNNNNNNNNNNNNNNNNNNNNNNNNNNNNNNNNNNNNNNNNNNNNNNNNNNNNNNNNNNNNNNNNNNNNNNNNNNNNNNNNNNNNNNNNNNNNNNNNNNNNNNNNNNNNNNNNNNNNNNNNNNNNNNNNNNNNNNNNNNNNNNNNNNNNNNNNNNNNNNNNNNNNNNNNNNNNNNNNNNNNNNNNNNNNNNNNNNNNNNNNNNNNNNNNNNNNNNNNNNNNNNNNNNNNNNNNNNNNNNNNNNNNNNNNNNNNNNNNNNNNNNNNNNNNNNNNNNNNNNNNNNNNNNNNNNNNNNNNNNNNNNNNNNNNNNNNNNNNNNNNNNNNNNNNNNNNNNNNNNNNNNNNNNNNNNNNNNNNNNNNNNNNNNNNNNNNNNNNNNNNNNNNNNNNNNNNNNNNNNNNNNNNNNNNNNNNNNNNNNNNNNNNNNNNNNNNNNNNNNNNNNNNNNNNNNNNNNNNNNNNNNNNNNNNNNNNNNNNNNNNNNNNNNNNNNNNNNNNNNNNNNNNNNNNNNNNNNNNNNNNNNNNNNNNNNNNNNNNNNNNNNNNNNNNNNNNNNNNNNNNNNNNNNNNNNNNNNNNNNNNNNNNNNNNNNNNNNNNNNNNNNNNNNNNNNNNNNNNNNNNNNNNNNNNNNNNNNNNNNNNNNNNNNNNNNNNNNNNNNNNNNNNNNNNNNNNNNNNNNNNNNNNNNNNNNNNNNNNNNNNNNNNNNNNNNNNNNNNNNNNNNNNNNNNNNNNNNNNNNNNNNNNNNNNNNNNNNNNNNNNNNNNNNNNNNNNNNNNNNNNNNNNNNNNNNNNNNNNNNNNNNNNNNNNNNNNNNGAUCAAAGACAAUGCCUUUGAUUCUUUGACUUUCUUGUUUCCUUCAUGAGACAUCUUCAGAGAUUCAAAAAUGCCUUUAGCAAACUCACGAUCUGUAAUCUUCUGGUACUCUUCAUAGGAAAUAGCACUUAGAAGAAUUGCUCUUACUUUGUGAUGUUGUGAGUACAGCUUCUUUUGAUCUGCAGUCAUCUCUGACCUUGGGAUCUUCUUGCCAUCUGCAUCAACUGGACGCUCGUAGCCAUCCACAAUAAUAUCCCAGAGAUCUGCAUCGAAACCCAGAAAGAAACUUUCCAGUCUAUCUUUCCAAUAUUCGAACCUUUGACCGUCGAACAUAGGAGGCUUUGCAUUGUAACCAUCUCUUUGAGUUUCAUUGGUGGUGGCAGCCAUUGUUUUUCACACCGGCCCGAAUCACUGAACACUGUUUGGUGUGGUAAUCAGAACUUGCGCUCUGAUACCAAUUGAAGGUAUGAAAAACGGUAGAAAGGGGGGGGGGGGGUUUGAAUAACGUUUUCAGUACAAAACUACCACCUUAAAGAUUUUGACAAAUCUUUCGAGAACUUAAGUGCUAGAGAUAAGAGAUAGAAAAGCACACAAGGAUUUUAUCCUGGUUCACUUGAUAAAUCACUCAAGCUACUCCAGUCCACCCGUUAAGGUGAUUUCUUCCUUCUUAGAAUGAAGGCAAUCCACUAAUCAGGUAAGAGUUACAACUGCACUUGAAACCUACAAGUGACUAACAAUUACACUGACUUAGCUCACACUAAGAUUCACUCUCUUAGUCUUCUCUAGGAUCCGAUCAGCCUUGAUCUCCUAAAGGAACUAAACAAACUGUUUAUCAAAGAAUUGUUUACAAGAGAUUUGCUUCUAAAAAGCUAAUAGUAAACUCAAUGAAUUUCAGAUGAAAGAAAGCUUAGAAUAAUUUGAAUAUGUCUUGCGCGUAUGUAUUGCUUCUAGCCGCUUCUUUCAAUCUUCAGUCUCUAUAUAUACUCCAAGGAUUAGGGUUGAGCGAUGCAUGGGAAAUGCUACCGUUGGAGGGCAGUUCUGGAAAAUCCAGCUUCUGCUGUGGCUGAGAGCGUUAGGUAGGUCGUCAGGGAGGUACAGUUGCUUUUGUACUUGGAUAGCGACUUGACCUUUAAACCUAGGAGACUUCUGAUCAGGGGAAUGCUUCAUAUUGGAACUUGUGAAGCCGGUUGAUCAGAGUCAGAGGGAAAGCACAGAUCCUCUGACCAUUGUAUCUUCUGAUUCUGAACUCAGAGGGAAGAACAUGGCCUUCAGAGUUUCUUGCUUCUAGACUUCAGAGUUUCCACUAUUCAGCUUCUGCAACUUCAGAGUCUUCUACACCAUCAGAACAUCUGAACCUUCAGUGUUUCUUGGUUAUCAGAACUUCUGGAUCUUCAGAGCUUCUAGUGACUGAGUCCUCAUCAGAGUUUGUAUAACUUCAGAACUUCUGAAGCUUUUCCACUGUUCAUACUGAACAUGGUGAAUGCGAAAGCGUUGCUUGGGUCACUCUUUAUACACAGUGCUUCUGAUUUGUGUGAGAUUGAGUUGAGGUCAGAGCCUGUAAAUAGCACACUCAGAAAAACACGUUAGAGUACCACAAUUGUUCAUAUCAAAAGGUUAACUUGUAAUCAUCAAAACAUAGAGUUGUACUACUAGAUCAAAACUUGAUCUUACACAUAGUUCCCAAUCUUGUAACAAACGCAGGAAUGUUCAUUCCCAACCUUCAUAUUCCCGAGAAUCUCUUUUCAAAUCUUGAAACAAACGCCUCCUAAAAGAGUUCCCUUAAAUUUUAUUUUCGAUCUCUAAAAUAGUAAAUUAUUGAUUUUAAUCUUUUUAUUCCUUUUUUUAACAUUUUAUGACGUUUUAAACUAUAGUAAAACCGUCACAAAAUAUGUUAGUAUUGGUUUAAACCGUCACAAAAUAUUACUCACAAAAAUGAAGAAAUUAAAAUUAACAAUCCCUAUUUUAGAGCGACCAAAAACAUAUUUAACCCUAUUAAGAAUCUCUUCCUAUGCUCUGAACUUGUGAUCAUAAAGUUCCAUGGUAUAACCGUUGCGCCUGGUCCUCAAAAUCUCCAAAAUAUACAAACAAAAAAUGAACUGUUUCUUUCUCUUUAUUCUCCCAGAAAUUUUCUAAUGACAAAUUUUGCUGGCAGUGGCACUCUCUUCCAGAAGAUGGUUUCAACAAUUGAUUCAAAUCAAUUUUCUAUUUUUGGGUUACAAUCAUAUGAUGCAAUGAUUGAUAAAGUAAACUUUCGGAUGAAUAAAUAACUACACACGUAAAUUGUAAACUUCCUCAAGCAUAUAAACAUACAUACAGACAAAAAGGCAAUGUUACUCAAUUAUUUUAUCAUUUAUGUCAAAAACACAGAUUAGCAAAGGUUGGUUGGGUCAUUAACAUUAAUUUUUCUACCAUCCUCACAUAUUCUCACACCACUAAUAUUCGGUGUACUCAUAUUGCUGGAACGAAUUACACAUCGUACUUAUAAAUGUGGAAUGCAAAUAAUACAUUUUACAAAUUAAAAGUGUAAAAGAGAUUGCUAUCAAAUAUCUAAAAGGUGUGGUGAGAAAAUUAAUGCUCCAAAAAAUUAAUUCAAUGGAGCAAAACAAUUGACAGAAUCUCGUAUUUAACAUGUUGCAAAUUCGAACCCUCAUUUCUUACCGUAAGUCAUCUAUAACCGCUAUUGGAGAUUGCUAGUUAUCCUUACCUUAGGGCACCACCCCCACCCUAAUUCUUUUAAAUAAUUCAAUUACCCAAGCACAUAGUUUCAUUUCACCUCAAAAUACUUUGUGAAGACAGUGAAAACAAGGUAAGAAGUAAACCAUGAAAGAGAAAAAGAAAUAUUAUUAUUCUUGUGACGGUUACAUGUUACAGGGAGUGGUGGUAGAAGAGUCAUUGUGGCAGUUCCUAUUAAUCUAUCUAUCUAUUCCAUUCAUUGAAAGCUUGUCCCACUUCAUCUUUCUUUCUUUCUUCCCACAAAUCUCUCUUCUUCUCUUCUCUUGCAUAUAUGCACCCAAAACUUCAGUGUCACCAACUCCAUCAUCUUUCAGUUUCAACUAUCUCACUGACACACACUUCAAAUUCCAUUUCUUCUAAUCCAAAACAAACAAAACAACCAUCGAUCAUCAAAAUCUAUUAGCACAAUUCAGUGUCUGAAUUUGUAAUCCUGUUCGUAAAUCGAGUCAACACUGAUCAGAAACCAAGUUCUAGAGGUAUUCAAAGUGUGUGUUUCAUAUGCAUAUGAUCCAGAGUAUAUAGAAGACAUGAAUUCCCACAUUUGUGUUUGUUUUCCAGAUUGAAUUCUAUGUUUCUGUUGUUUUGAUUUGGAUUCUGCUUAGCUUGUUUUAUUGGACUAUGGUUUUUUUCUUAUAUAUAAAUCAAGCUCAUUUUUAUCUGGGUUUGUGUUGAUUUUGUGAGGAGUUUGUUGCAGGGGAUGAAGAUCCAAUGUCAUUCCAAGAUUUUUUGUUUUUUUGUUAAUUUUUUGUUCUUACUGAGAGAAUUGGUAUUGGAAUCUGAGGAUAAUGAUGGAAUUUUAAGUAGUUUCAUUUCAAUUUGGAGAGAUAAAGGAAGGGUUGAUCAGUGGUGAUGAAUGUGAGUCUAGAUUUGUGUCAAAUGUUGCACAGAAUUAAAGUUGUACUAGAUUCUGUUAUUAGAAAAUGUAUAUUCAAGUUGGGGAUUUGAAAAAAUUCAAGGGGCUGUGGAAAAUUUUGCAGAGAAUGCACAUUAAGAUGGAUCAGAAGACACUGUUUACUCUUGAUGUUUUACAUAUGUCCUUAAAUAUGAUUUGAUUUUCAGAGAACUGCUUCCUUCAGUAGGAUCUGGAAUUUUAAGUGAAAAUUAUAAUCUAAGGGUGUGUGUGCUUUUGCUGAAUUGCAAUGGCAUAUACAUGUUAUAUAUUAUGGUCUGGAGUACUAGUUAGUAGUUACCACUGCUUGCAUAAUUAGGCAAAACAUUUUGAGAGAUUUAGCCAUCCUUUGUUGAUUUAUCUGUAUCAUUCACAAUCCAAAGAAGCUAGAAGCCUUGAGAGGUUAAAGCUUUGAAGAAAUGUGCAUAUUUAAUUGGAUUUUCUAUUCCAUGUUCUGCGUAUUUAGUUAUGUGAUUCAGGAACCGAAAAAAUAGAAGUGUUUUUCUUUUAUAACUGAUCAUACUGGACUUUAUUUUUUGUGACUAUUUAUAGCACAAUGGAAUCUGAAAAUGGAGUUGCAAUGGAGGACGAGAAACAUGUUAUUGGGGAAACAACCAAGGAGAGCCCAAAUAAAGAAGCUGAAAACAACCCUAAUGCAGAAAUGCAGGCCAAGAAUGAAGUAUCUGAACCGACAAUAGAACCUGAAAGCCACAACUCAACAGCAAGUAAAAUCCCAAAACGUUCCAAGGUACCAUAUACAGUGUAUCAGAAUCGUUUAUCGUCAAUGAAACAGUUACCGCACAUAGUACAUGAUGGACCACUUUAACUAAUUCAUUUUAACAUGGUUAGGAGCCUGGUAGCAAGAAUGGUGUUGCUGGAAAGAACAAUAAACCUGCAACCAAAGAUAAACACAAUGUGAAGACCUCAACUUCAUCAUCUCAAACACAGAGGCCAAACAUUUCCAAGAGCCUUUCUUUCCCAGCCAAAUCAGCUCGCGGAGAUGGUAUGAAGAAAAGCACUGAUGGAAUUCUUGUGAAGACAGAAAGUAAGCUUGCUAAUCAAGGUAAUGGGGUUAGAUCUGCGACUUCCGUUCGACUUUCGAGCAGGUUGACAAACUCUGAAGUAAACUCUAAGGAGGCAAAGACAAAUCCUGGAAAUUCUAACCAAAGGACUUCUUUGGCAUCAAUGAAUAGCUUUAAACGCUCUGUGGUAGAUUUUCUUUUCUUUUCUUCUCAGUGUCUUUCUUUUUGUAGCUGAUAGCUUCUUUUAACUGGUCUCCAUGUUCAUGACUUCUGUUUUUUCUACCAGUUUGGAAGGUCUACUUCAGUUAAGGCAGUUGCCAAGAGUCUUACAUCUGAGGCAUCCAUGUAAAUUUCUUAACUUCCAAGAUUUACUGAAUCCUUAUUUACAGUUUAUCUCAGUUUAUAAUAUUCUCUGCCAAUGUAUUUCAAUCUUAGGUAGACUCAAUUGUAUUGAAAACUAUACAUAUCUUUUAGAGAGUGCUCUGCAUUUUUCGGCUGAGUGGUUUAUGAAUUUGUGACAUUAUUGCAGACCUGUUGAUCAGAUUUCAAACCCAGCAAAAACUGAAAGAUCAAAUAAAGAGGAUGAUGAUUCUCAUUCCACUACUUCGUAAGAUUAUACACUUAAACUCUGAGAUCAUCAUGUCAUUCUAGCUUGUCCAUCCAUCUUAUUAGGAUUUGAAUACUUGUUAUUGGCUUUUCUGAAUUUCUUCUUUUUCUUUAGCUAACAUAUGCAUGAAAUUUUGUGUAUAUGCUAUCAGAAGUGCUACGCGGAGGAACAGUGGUUCUGGAUUUUCCUCCAGAUUGCAAGAACGAGCUGAAAAGCGGAAGGAGGUUGUUGUUGAAACCUUACAGCCUAUUUAUAUUAAUAUUGCAUCUGCGAGUUAUUAACUUUAUUUUCUCCUUUUUCAUCAGUUCUUCUCGAAGAUAGAAGAGAAAAUUCAGGAAAAGGAGGCAGAGAAAACUAACCUGCAAGAGAAAUCAAAGGUACCAAUGUGAAAAACUAAGAUGAGGUUAAGAGAUUCUGUUCCUAGUGGUUUGAGUUUUCACUGGAAGCUUAUCUGCUGCUUUUGGCUUAUUCUCUCCUUUUUUUCUUCUGAUUUUUGGCAGGAAAACCAGGAGGUGGAGAUCAAACAAAUGAGGAAGAAGAUGACAUUCAAAGCAGCUCCAAUGCCAAAUUUCUAUAAGGAACCUCCUCCAAAAGUUGAACUGAAGAAGGUAACUCAUCUAGCCACAUGUUCUCCCAAAUUAUACUGUCUUCUAAUAAUAAGUUCUGAGUUACUUUGUCCACUCUCAGAAUUACAGUUUUUUCUUCCUCAAAUUUUCAUGUCAAUGAAGUUUGCCAUGGUUCUACAAAUGCUAGUUCAUUAUGUGUUAUUUAGCUGAAGAACCUACUCUUUCUUCUUCAGUAUUUAUUUCAUGGGAUAUACUCUUUCAUAUUCUUUCUGAUGGACUUUAUUUACUGAGUAGAUACCUACAACACGCCCAAAAUCCCCAAAACUUGGAAGGAACAAAGGAUCUGCUGUGAACACCAAUUCAGAGGAUAAAUCUUGUUCUAGCCCUCGUGUGAAGCAACAGCUGAAUGAUUCAACCAAGGCAAAGAUAAAGGGAUAUAAAGAUGUGAUUUCAAAGAAACAAAACAAAAAAUCUCAAGCCAAGCUGCAGCCUCAGGAAACUGCAACCAACAAAACCGAAAGAGAUUCUACAAGUAAGGUCUCAGAAACCGACCAAGGUGCAAAAGCUGGUGUAGGAAGCAAUGAAGAAUGUCAAGAUCUACCAGUUAGCAAUGCUGAAUUCCAAAAUGGCAUGGUCCUAGAAUCCCAAAAUGACCUUGCUGAGAAUGGUGAUCUGGCCUUGAAUUCAUCCACAACUGAGAUUGUUUCAUAUGAGGUUACUGUUGGAGUAUAGAUUCCUGUACCUGAAAAGCAUUUAUUUAUGUAUACAUAGGACUCCCAUAUUACCAGUUAUUUCAUUAUUAUUAUUAUUGUGAAUAUAGAGGUUUGCUUCAUAUUCACCAUAAACAUGUAUUGCAUUGAAGAUAGUUGCUUCUUAUAUUGAAUUGUUACUGUUUGUAAUUGUAAGAGAGGCUUGUGAAUUCAUGAUUUUGCAAUCGGUUAAUGUGUUAAUGUGAUUUUGGUUAGAUUUUCAUGUAGUUGUGUUGAAGAAUAUUUGUCCUUUAAUCCCCUGACCUGACAUUGUUUCUAUAAGAAGUAAAACUAGGAGACAGCCUCUGAGCCUCACAACAUUCGAUAAACUGUCAUUUAAUUCGAACACAACUUCAGAAUAUUGUCAAUUUGAAUACCAAUUUUGCAUUCAUCACUCCCACUAUCUUAGCAUUAAAGCAUGUCCUAGCACUUCAAUGCUGGAAAGGUAAUUUUUCCAAAGGAAAAAAAAUAUUGCACUCAAUCAUUAAAGAAACAUAGGUGUUUCAUGAAGUCCCGGUGUUUGGCCAUUAAGAUUGAAAUUUUGUGUUGUCACGCUCCCCUUUGAGAAGAGAAAUGAGGUGCUUUGCCAAGUGGAAUAAUGAGAUCCUUCAAAACCUCAUACUCUUCCAUACCUAAUUGGGAACCAUUCAGAACCUGUUUCAUCAAAACGAACACCAGAACAAUGGUAAGCAAAUUUGAGAGUAGAGUGAAAAUUAUUACAAGACGCGGCAUAAGAUAAACUAUAAAACUUCAAAUUAGUAAGGAUACAUUAAGCUCUAUUUUCCAGCUUAGCCUUAUAGGAAUUUUUGCAAGCCAUCAUAGAUGAGUUUAUAUGUUGAAUUAAAAAGUUAACUGUGUCGCACAUCCCCUUGGAAACACCCACACAGACCAAGGAAAUCAUAGUAAAAGGAAAACUUCCAAGUUGGGCAUUCUUUUUCAAGUAACAUGUACGUUCAAUAAACAAGAUGUAGUGCCCAAAGUUUGAAACAAGAAUUUCAAGUCUGCAUGGGAGAAUAACCAUAUGAGAUGAACUUAAUAAUAGGAUCAUAAAAUAUGGCUAUCAAGCGUAAGCUGUAGAAGGAAAACAAAAUUAAGGACAAGGCAGUCAAGUAAUUUGAGAUUUAUAUAGUUAAGUUCACAACAGAAUGAAUAUAAAGAGUUAAGGGAAAUCCAGAUGAAAAGUAACAAACGCUAGCAAAUGAAAUUAUCGAGAAUUGAAUAUAUAUUAGACGUCAACUGAACUACCUAAGCCAAAAGAUCAUUGUCAUAAUAAGGGUUUAAGCUUACUAGGUCAUGUUAUCUAUGCAAUCCAACAUCAUUAUGUAAUGCUUCAUGUGUAUCAAUCAGAUGCCUGAUAUAGUCAUGUACAUAAAAUAAUAAAUCAGUACAAUAAAAACAAAGGGUCUCUCACCUUGUGAAACAAGUCCCUCCGAUCCAUCAUGUAUGAGAUAAGAGCAGGUAUUCUACAAACGGACAAUGCAUCAAUGAACAAAAGAACAACAACUUGCCAUUGUUUCAUUCUGAAUGCUGGAAGUGCAUCCACAAAUGACAUUGUAUCCAGCAAGCAUACCUAAGAAAAAGUUGUGAGAACUUCCAUAUAAUCCAUCCGUAUAAACAAGUAAUUGGAUAUAUUUAAUAUAUUUCCUCAACACAGAUAUGAAGAUUAUAUCUUAGGACUAUGCGCAACCCAUAAACUCUCGUGAAUUGCUAAACUUUGAAAUAGAAGGCAGCCUAGUGCUGUAUAGAUCCCACCACGUGUUGGGUCCACUUAAGGGUCAAAAGACCCAAAACCUAACCUUGCAAGAGGCAGAUUUCACAUUCAAUAACAUUGCAUCAAGACUCCCCUUCAUUCACAAAUUUCUAAAGUGAUGCUUAAAAUAAUGAUUCAUCUUUUCAUAUGAAGAGAAUUUUCCAUUUGCAUGUCAAAAUGGUUGACAUCCUUAUUUUACGUGCACAUGUGACUCUGAAGUAUGAACAUUUCUUUUUCUUGAUGGUGGUGGUGAGAGGGAGGGGGGGGGGGGGGGGGCGGGGGGUAAUGGGGUUGACAAACAUAUUAGACACAUCUAAAUCAAUAGUGUUACAUCAAUUAGGCCAUGCCUACCAGAGUGUAUUAAAUCUGUUCUAAACUUAAUUUAGAACUAUAAUACAACAUAAAUGAAAAUAAACAGAUAACUUCAGAAUCAUCCUUAUUUUACGUGCACAUGUGACUCUGAAGUAUGAACAUUUCUUUUUCUUGGUGGUGGUGGUGAGGGGGGGGGGGGGGGGUAAUGGGGUUGACAAACAUAUUAGACACAUCUAAAUCAAUAGUGUUACAUCAAUUAGGCCAUGCCUACCAGAGUGUAAUAAAUCUGUUCUAAACUUAAUUUAGAACUAUAAUACAACAUAAAUGAAAAUAAACAGAUAACUUCAGAAUCAUACCACCCCUUGCUCUAAGGUAGAUACUGGAAUUGGCAGCCUGAGCUCAGCGACAACUGCAGGUAAAGCUCGAGCAAGACAACUGGCUAAAGCUUGCUUUAUUUCAGAUGACCGACCAUCUGUCAAGAUAAUUUUGCAAGGAUAUUCUCUCCCGUUAACUGAUAGAAAGUCUUCAUGAAAACUUACAUCCCUCCCAUAUAUAUAUGCCAAAGAAGAUGAUGUUGUCCACGAAAAGAGGGCAUUCCACAUAGAUGCAAAAGGUGACAACUGAAAUAAAGUUUUAUGAAAAAAUGAGGAACGUCAGAACCAUGAAAACUUGUACAGUUUGAAUAUUUGUAAAAAUGCUUACUAGACACUUACAGUCAAACUGAAACCCUCUGGUGGAGGGUCAUACCAUGAGUCUUCAGAGUCAAACAAGUCAAAAUCAGAAAUUCCAGGCUUUCUAGGCCAUUUCAGAGUAACUGCAUCUGUUUCUGGAAUAUCAACAUCCUCCAUAGUACCUUCCUCAACAACAUCAUGGGAAGAUGGCAAUAUAAUGAUUCCAGCUUCAGAAACUGCAACAAGAUUCAUUGACAGAAGAAAUUAUUUAAGGAAUCAUUUAAUAUUUGAAUAGAAAGCCUUUUUAAAGAAAUGGUAAUUACCAGCAUCAGUGAUAUCUGAGUCUCCAGAUGCAACUGCUUCUGAUGCUUGGCUCAAUGCAAUUGCACAUGCUUCUGCUGAUGCACGACGUACUAUAUCUUCAUCAUCAUCAGUAACAUCUAUAUUACCCUCUAAAUCAGAUUCUUUUUUAAUAUCUCCAUCCCCAAAUUCUCUAACUGAACAAAGAUCUUUACUCCCAGAGCUGUUGGUUUUCUCAUCAGCCCAAGUAACAGAGCGACUAAGUUUAUUUUUACCAGUGGACUUAAGAGAAGAUUUGGGUCUAGUCUUGUAUGAUCCAGUUUCUUUUUCUAUUUGAAAUUCCCCUUCAACAUUGACAGGAUCUAAACUGGAGGUGAAGGCAUUCUGAUUAGCAGCAACUCUACUUGUUUCCCCUUGGAGUUGUAUUGAUUUCCUUUCAGAAAUAUUCUGUUCUACAUCAAGUAUUUCUGACAUGGUGGAAGAAUGAACAGCUAUCUUUUCAACAGAAGGAUUCAGAGAGGAUUUGAUAACAGGUUCAUCUGAUUUAUCUAUUUCCUUCUCUUUUUCUGAGGUACUUAAAUUUAGACUACUCUUGAAAGAUGAAGACAGAUCUUGUACACUAUCAUCAUCUUUACUAGCCACUUUAUCAGCCUUUUUUGGCACCUCCACUUUGGCCACUGGCUUAAUUUGAUGAUCAGCAGUUGUGUCUGUUUGACCUGAUGAUACUUUAGAAACACUAUACUCAUCUUGCGUAAUUAUAGUACUCAUGAAGUCCAUCUCACUGUAAAUUAAUUUUUUGUCAUCAUUCAACCUGCCACGACUAGCUUUGGACCCUGCAAUUCAUAAUCAAAUCUCACUUUGUUGGAAAGUGAAAAAGAAUAAGAACUUAUCACUUCACUAUUCCAUUUCACAGAAAUUUGGUCCUCAGAAAUCAGAAUCACCCAUAGAUCAAACAUUGAAUAUGAGACAAUAAACAAAGACAAUCUCAAGCAAGAAAUUGCAUAAGGCUAUCUGACUACCUAGGGUCUUAAUUAUCAAGAAUUCCAUAAAAUUCUCACCUUUUUUAAUAUUUUUCUGAGAACUCUUAGAAUCACUCUUUCUUUGCUUUGGUACAUAACCCUCAAUUGCAUUUGAAGGUCCAAGCCACUGCUCCAAGGACACCUCCCCUGUGCUGGACUCAGUUUUCUCCUGGAUUCUCAAGCCAGACAAACCUAAAUCUCCACCCUUCCCCAAAUCCUCCACAGGUUCUGCAUUCAAAUUCUCAAACAACCUGAGAACAUCGUUGAGUUUCUCUGGGUCCACAGUCGGGCACCUCUCACCUUGCAAGGUCCCAGCAAAAGCUUUGCUGUUAACAACACAAGUGGAAGAACAAAACAUGUACGUCUCGUGCUGAUCAUAAACUUUGUGCUCCUUCAGCGAAAUCCGAUAUCUACCCUUCCGGGGGCGAUCAGAGGGUAAACCAUUGCGGCAGAGUGGAUAACCGCAUACAUUUGUAAUGGACCUCUCAGUCACAACAUCUUCAUAGUCACUCCUCGAUAUCAAAGACCCAGCUGCAAACAGCUGGUCUUCGCUUCGGAUGCCUUCAAGGAGGGACAUUUGCAAUUUGAAAACAGCAUCUUUGACAAAAACAUGUUGGUUCUUUGCCAUUGAACCAAAGCCUCAGAAGCAACCAAGUAUCUAAAAACUGCCCCAUGUACAAGAAAGUCCCCCAUAAGUUACUAGAUUGAGUACAUUCCAACAAAAUUCAAAACUUAAGGCAUAAAUAGAGCAAUCCAUUCUGCUAUAGCACUCAACCAAUCAUAACCAACAUAUAAGGGGAAAGGGAAAAAAUGAAACAAUUAAUCAUUAAAAGCAAAUAUACAUAAAUAUCAGUGUUAUCAAUGACGGAUGGCGGAAAGCCAAAAUACCGCCAUAUAUUUAUGGCAGUGCCAUGGCGGCCUUAAUAAAAAAAAUUAUAAAUAUAAAUAUAUAUAUAUAUAUAUAUUUAUAUAUAUAUAUAUAUAUAUACAAUUAUACAUACACACAUUAAAAACCUGCAUAAUGCAAUUAUACAAUACAACAAAUAAAAAUUCUGCUAACUAAUAACAACUUAUAACAUCAAAUAUAGGCUCAACAUCAUAGAUACAAUAGCAAAUAUGAUAACAAAGGUUCAAUAGAUAUUAGAUACUAGAUAGAUAUUAAGUCCCAUACUCUCAUUGAGCAUAUUACAUACCAAUUACCAAAACAUCAUGACAAAUUCAAGACUUGAUGUUUUAAUUGACAUGAAAAAUAAAGUCUAAAGAGUAGAAUUUAAUCUAAAUAACUAAUCAUCCAAUCCCAAUGUAGUGUAGUCAAGUUGAGUGCCUAUGCCACUUGCACUAAAAAGGGGAAAGAAAACAGAGAUUUAAGCAAACAGUGACAGAGGAGAAAGGAGAAGGGACAGAAGGUAGUAACUUGUAAGUUGUAACAGAGGAGAGGAAUCAAAAGUAAGUCAGAAACAAGCCUUUGGGAGAUUAGAGAGAGGGAAACUGAGAAACAGAGGUGAGAGGACGCAGAAACAGAGUGGAAAAACGAAAAAAUUGAAGAGAAAAAUUACCUAAGAGAUUGGAUGGAGCAGAGACGCGGUGGCCGGAGACCGGAGUGGUCGCGGGGCCUCAGGUAACCGGGAAUGGGUCGGAGGUGGAUGGGGCAGCAGCUAUUGGAUGGAGAUGGGUGAAAUUAGGGCUUCUAUUCUGAAUUUGGGGGUUUAGAAGCUGAAAUAUGGACUAUGUGUGUGUGCGUAACAAGUUUAGAUUAACUACAGCAAGUUCAGCUAAGAAGAAUUUAAUUCUCAAAGAAAUCUCAAUGAUCACAAACACAAAGAGCAACAAGUUUAGAUUAACUACUUAGUUUGAAUAACAGAAUGCAGAAAAUGAAAGAAAGAUCGUUACUGUGCUAUGUUUGAGUCGAUGAAAGCAAAGGGUUUCGAUGGAAACGAAAGAUUGAAGAAUUGCUUUUUCUCUAACGUGAGUGGGUUAGAUAUUUCAAUUGAAUUGAAGGGAAGGAGUAGUUGAAUUUUAAAGUGGAAGAAGCAGAGGGGUUACUAGCACGCUGGUAUGAGUAUCUGAGACGAGGGGAAGGAGGAGAUUGGAUUAGGGAUUGAAGAAGGAAAGACUUCUCCAGCAAACGCCACACUACACUUGUUUAUUACCGGUUUGCUACUUUAAAAUUUAAGUGGAAUUUAUCAAUUUUACAAUAAAACUUAAAUUUCAAAAUUUGAAUUAUAAAAAUAAGCUGAUGAGUAAUGUAUAAUUUUGAAAUUUUACGUUAACAUAGAAAAAUGUUCAAAAUUGGAUAUUUGUUACAAUUUAUUUUAAUAUUUAACUUUUUAAGUAAAAUGAGUUCAUAUUAUUAUGAAAAACUUCGAAACAGUUUUUCGAUGUAGCAAAAAAAGAAAAACUUCGAGACUCAAACAAUAGAUAAGAAGAGGAGGUAACCCAAAUAAAAAGAGGGGCCAAAAACCUUUACAGUAAAAGUUGAUCAAAAUAAUACCCAACACAUGCCCCAAUAAAAAACAACCUAUGAAAAGUGAAAACUACACAAAAAGAAUACUCCUUAAGCACUUAGGAAACAAGCAAAUUCAUUUAAAUAUUUAAAUUUAGGCUUAAUCUUUAAAUUGAUCAUUGUGUUUGUGUCACUGUUUCACAUAGGUCUCUCUCCAAGAAAAAAUUAGCAAAAGGUCCUCAUGUUUGCACAACAUUUGAGUAAGUCACCACCUGACACCGGAGCUCCGACGAGCUUGUUGAAUGGUAGGUGAAUGCUGAUGUGGUCUUAUACACGUCAUUUUUAAUUAAUUUUAAAUGACACAUAUUUAAUUAUUAAUUUAAUUAAUUAAAAUUAUUUUUUAAAAAUACUAAUUUCUAAUUUCAGAAAUAUUAAUCUCUAAAUAAACACAUACAAAAAUUCAUGAGUAUCAUCAUUGUUCUUCCCUUCAUGAUCUCCAACUAGAAAAAAAAAACUGCCUCAACCAAACUUGAACCCACAAACAUAAAUCAUAUUCCUCAACCCCCAACAUAACCAAGAACAUCGAUUUCCAGAACAAAACUACAACAAGAGAACAACACAACCCAACAACAUCACCCAAUUUCUAGAGCACAACAUCAACCUAGAACAUCAAAUUCUAAUCCCCAAUUUACAAACAACCCAAACCUCUGCAAUGUAAAUGGGUUGAAGAGAAAAAAUUGAAAAUGAACAUUCUUUUCUUGCGGUUUCCGAAAUAGAUCAGACAUAACAGAAAUCGAACCAUUUUGCAGAAAAAAAAUCAUCCAAAUCAUGUGAACCAAAGGCAACAGAAGAAUUCAUAAACAAAGGAUGAUCAUCGUUUCUCACUUCUAGGUCCUCAUGAUAGCACAGACCACUGCUAGAUGAAACUUUAACAGUGUAUUGAAGAAAUGAGGAAGAUAGUUCUGCAAUGCAAACAGGUUGUUUGUCGUUCCCUCUAGUUCCUCAUCCUCUUCUUCCUCUUGGGUCUUCUCUCAUCCUCUUCUUCCUCAACUUUUUAUUGGAACCAAAUCCACCGUUUCCGCCAUAGAAUACUGUGUCGUUGUUACCACCGUCCUAUCUCAAGAACAUAUUGAAGCCCUCUCCUCAAGCUUUCUCGUCGCCGUCAACAAAGUCUUUAUCAUCACCACCACCGUGCUUCCAUCAGUUAAGAAGAAGAAGAAGAAGAAGAAAGAAUGGAACAAAACCAUAAGAACCCAGAGCCACUAACGAGCAAAGAAAACCCUAUAUAAACCUCUUAAAGCCAUGUUGAUGUGCCAAACUACAAGUGUACAGUUUCGCCCGGGGUUUUAAUUUAUCGAACCUCAAGGAUUGUGAUAGUUUACUUCCUAAUGUUACCAAAUUCUCGCUGUAAGGAUGAAAAGCAAAAUUAAAAGAGGGUUUAGUUGGUUGAUAGAACGAAGUAACAAGAAAACGUGGAAAAGUUAAUUACUGAUUUGAAAUCACUUAGAGAAAAGCGCACCAGGGAAUUGAUUUCGUUUACCCUUGCUAUGUUUCUACCCGCUACAAUUAUAUAUGAAAUUAGUUAAAUCUGUUCAUGGUGCUAAGCCUAUAUGUUUACUUGCUAAUCCCUUAGUCAAGCACCCCUUCUAGUUAAUUAGUGAUAGCUAAUUCCUUAGUACCUAAUCCUAAUUAACUAGAGAUUCAAUUUCAUGUUCAGGAAAACACAAAUAAAUUGCUACCCUUAUCCCUAAGGCGUAGAGACCCUUAUUCAAUUUCUUCCUAGAUCCCUAUCAUCUACCAAUUUCCCAAUUGUGCAAACGAUAGCAUGAAACCCUUUCGCGAUUGGAUUCAAUAAAAUUAAAGAAGAAAUUCAUGAACUAAAAUAACCAUUCAUAUAUAACUGAAACGUAUCAAAACAUAGUUUAGAGAAAACUAUAUCAUAUCCCCAGUACAAGAGAGGAUUAGUUCCUCAUAGUCAUAGGAAACAAUUCAAGAAAAAGGUAGCAAAACAUCAAAAUUACAAUAGAAAAAUGUAAGGGAUCCUAAAGAACUUAGGGCUCUGCCUCCAAAGGCCUCUCCAAAUGUUUCAACGUGAAAAGAUCCACAAAAUAGGUUAAAAACGCACUUAAAUAGAGUCUGGUUGUUAUUUCGCGCAAAUGCGCGAAUUCUGUGAAGGAUCUCGCACAAAACUGGUGCAAAAUAUUUCAGAAGCUAAUUCCUUCGCGUAAAUGCGCGAGAUGCAAGAGAAAAUUGGCGCAAAACCGGCGCAAAGAAAUUCAGAUUGCUCCAGACUUCGAGAUUCUUGGCUCUCACCCUUGAUUUGCUCAUUGAUUCCACAUCUUCUCCUAAAAUAACAAUAAUAAUAAAGGAAAAUAAUUAAAAACCUAUAAUAGAGAUUAACUAGAGGAUAGAGUAAGAUACCGAAUUCAAAUAACUUGAUUAAAUCCUAAUGAAAUCUAUAAAAAUAACAUAAAUAUAGAAAAAUACUAAAACUAAAUGAAAACAUUAAAAUGCAUGAACUAAGCCUAAAGUAUCAUAAAAUGACCUAAAUAUCCUAAAACUAUAUUAAACUACAAGCAAAUAAAUCAGGAAAAUAGCCUUAAAUCCCGGGUCAUCACAUGUCGACAACCAGCAAGCCACAACCACCACCCAAUCCCAAACCGAAGCAAGACCCAAUCGUAUCCGAACUAGAUCAAGCCAGAUCGAGCCAGACGGUUGUCUUGACUUGUAUGCUGAGUAGACAUUACAGGGUGUGCAAUCAAUUGCUUUGUUUUAUGUAUCAAGUAAGCUUUGGAUGAAUAGUUGAUCAGCUUGAGUUCCUUCUUCCCUCUUUCAUGCUAUCGAGCUUUUCUUUUCCAUAGCUUGAUUUUUGUGAAUAGUAACCUUUGUCCUUGUGAGGGCUUGAUUUAACAAUGUAGCAAGUAAUCUUAUCCAUGAACAAGUCGAAUAGAUGUUGAGGUUUUUGAAUAUCUAAAAGACGAUAGAGUGAUUAUAUAUCUGAGCUUGAUCAUUCAUCUAUUUGUGGUCUUCAUGACUUGCGUUGUCAUCGAGCUUCUCCCUUGGUUGUUGCUAGGAUAUUGUAAAUAACGUGAAUAUGCAGUAUCUUGAUCUUUCCUUUGAAGUUGGGCACUUCCGCGCCAUAGAGUUGCACACUUACCAACAAGAAUUUCCUUUAAUGUAGUGAUAAAAGCUUGAUCAAGAAGAUUUUCUUCUUCAUUUGAUGUUUUGACCUUAAGGGAAUUUGAUAGACGAUGAAGCCUGUAUUGAUGGACAUUGGAGCUUAUGCAUUCUCAUGCUUGUAUUGUUUUGAGACGUUGUAUUUGCUUUGUCUUUGAGACAUUGUAUUUGCUUUGAGCUUUCUAUCUUUUCUAUUUCUUGAUCCUGUAGACGUUUACUCAAACGAUAUAACUUAGACAUUAAAACUUGUACAUGCUUUGAUAUUGAGUCAUUCUUUCUUUCUCAUGAUAUGAUCUUUUUGUACAUGUGUCUAAUUAAGACUUUGAAUAACAUAAGAUCAUUAGCUUUUAUAACUUGUCCUCUUGUCAUCAUCAAAACUUAAGAAGGAGAUGAGGCUGCACCGGCCACUCGCUCCCAGCGAGCUUCUCCACCAAAUAGGAAUGAGGAAGACUGGAGGGUGGGUGGAUAGACAAUCCAUCUAAGAGUGUUGUUCCUUUGUUUGAUUGUCUGCAUUUUAGCUAAGUAUGUGUGUGCCAACUUGUCGGACCCGAUGUUGUAACAUCUUGCCUAUGACAUCUGUCCCUGAGUAUCUGUUGUGAGUUGGUUGUUUGGUUAUCUGUGAAGCUUUGUGUUCAAGUCAGGGCCGGCCCAAGGGUCAAGCGACUCAAGCAAGGGCUUUAGGCCUCAAAAAAAAUAUUUUUUUUUCAAAGUAAAAAAGGCCUCAUAUUUUUACAAAUAAGGCAUCAAAUAAAAAAAAUACUAUUACUCACCAUUACCUGCCACUUUAUUAGUUGUUUCUUCCCUAAUUUUUCUCAAAAAAUCUUAAUUGACUAUUACUAGAAAUUAGCAAUCUUCAUUGACAAUUAAUUAAUGUUACCUAUUCUUUUUCCUCACCUUUUAUUCUCUGACCUUCCCUUUCCUCUCAAUUAAAUCCUAAUAACGUUUCUACUCUCCCUGCCACUCUCUCAGUCUCUCCAAGCCUCAAAGGGAAAAAAAUAGAGUCUUUAAUUUGUCUCUCAAACUCUCAUAUCCUUUAUAAAAGAAUCAUCCUCCAUAAUUUAUUUUUUCUUUGAUUAGCCAUUGAGAAGAACUAGAGAAGAUCAAUAGGGAGACAAAACUCCUUUUAUUGUAAGUAGUUACGCUCUAGCCUCUUUGUUGUGAUGGUUUCAUGUUUAUGUUGAGUUUUGAUACAAUAAAAAUUUCUUUUUUCUACAAUAUAAAAGGACCGUAAAGUACUAACUAAUUGGAAUUGGAUGCAAUACAAAUUGAUUAUGAUAAUUUAAUAAAUGAUUUUGCAUCUCAAAAAGUUCGAAAAAUAAAAUUUAAAUUAAAAAAUUAAUAAAGAAAUUUUUUCAGACAAAAAUGCAUCACUUAGGCCUCACUUUAAAGUUCGCUUUAGGCCUCACUUACCGUUGGGUCGGCCCUGGUUCAAGUUAGGUUGUGUCGCCGUCAAGGAAUAUUCCUGUGUAUUCAAACCCGGUUCAAGGGGGUUUGAUUUGGAGCUAUUUAUUGAAGUUGGAAUCUGCUUAAUUAUUGAUUGGUCAAGGAUCCUCUGCAGAUUUGUUACUUAGCUGUUUUCUUUUAGCAACUUCCAGAUUUGUGUAUGGACCGUGUGCUCUUUCAAGCCCAAUGAAGACAAGGCCUGGAAGACUAUAUAUGAAGACUCAAGACCUAGUCUCGUUGAGAGAACAAAAUAUAAUAUUAGGGUUUUCAUCGAGUUCAUACUGGUUUUUGUACUCUUAGCAACUUUAUUCUAUUGUUGUGAGCUAAGGGUGAGUGUUUACUGUGUGAUCUUGAGAUCUGUCUUUGUAACUCAUAUUUGAGUUCAAUCACUGUGGCAGUGAUUGUGAGAGAGUGAGAGGGAGUUCUCAUACUUAGGGGAGACCUAAUUAAUAUUCCACGGGUAGAGAUAGGUAGGAAAGGUAGUUGAGCUGGGGCAGUUCCUGUGAAACCUUUUAUGUACAAUUUCUCUAUAAUAGUGGAUUAUCUCUCUUGGGUGAAAACCCUCCAGACGUAGGUGAUAUUGCACCGAACUGGAUUAACAAUCUUAUGUGUCUAUUUACUGUUUUUCAGUUGUUUAUCAUGUUGUAUCGUUUGCUGAGUUAGUCAUAUUGUUAUACAAGAUGUCUUAGACAUCUGGUAAUACAUCUAGUAAAACAUCAAUGUUACUGUAACAUCCUGACUUGACGACUGGCCUCACGGUAACAACACGAGUCUUUUCAGCGCGCUUUGUCCUCACUCGCGCGCUUCCCGGGAAAACUUCCCAGGAGGUCACCCAUCAUAAUAUUGCUCCAAGGCUAGCACACUUAACCAUGGAGUUCUUAUGAGUUGGGCUCCCGAAAAGAAGUUGCAACUUGUUGUCAUGAGUAGUACCAAUCAAAUCAUAUAUGUCAUCCUCAACUGUAUAGUCCAUCCCUACACAGUCUCGGAAUACCUCUUGUUCGGGUGUGGUGCGUCCCUCCACAUAGAAGGUGAUCAAUCCUCGCCCUCGUCAGCUCAAGGCGUCACAGGCCCCCCAACUUCCGCUUGGUUCGUCCCCGAACCACACCGUACUGGGAGAGGUCGGCUCUGAUACCAAUUGUAACAUCCUGACUUGACGACUGGCCUCACGGUAACAACACGAGUCUUUUCAGCGCGUUUUGUCCUCACUCGCGCGCUUCCCGGGAAAACUUCCCAGGAGGUCACCCAUCAUAAUAUUGCUCCAAGGCUAGCACACUUAACCAUGGAGUUCUUAUGAGUUGGGCUCCCGAAAAGAAGUUGCAACUUGUUGUUAUGAGUAGUACCAAUCAAAUCAUAUAUGUCAUCCUCAACUGUAUAGUCCAUCCCUACACAGUCUCGGAAUACCUCUUGUUCGGGUGUGGUGCGUCCCUCCACAUAGAAGGCGAUCAAUCCUCGCCCUCGUCAGCUCAAGGCGUCACAGGCUAUUGUAAGACCUGGAUUUGCAGAACAAGUUAAUUUCCGACUUACGCGUAGAAUCAGUGUAAGCGUGACAUGAGUUUGCUGUUUGAGAAAGAUUAAUGAAGAAGAAAGUUCAGGAAGUGCUUGAGGAAUGUUGCGUAGUCGCUUUAGGAAUUAGUGCGAGUCGUCUGCACACCUGCCUUAUGGCGAGCGUGUCCAGAAUAGGCUAAUUUCGCUUUUAGAGCAAUGUUUAGGUGAGAUUUCAAAUCCUUGGGAAAUUUAAAGAUUCUCUUUAUUUUUCCUUCGACCAGCGUUUCAUUUCGGAACCCUGGACUAUACGCACGAUAGUGUUCACCGUUCGGAAGUCCGACGACGCUAAUUUCUUUGCUUCGAAACCCUAGAUUCAAGCGCUGGAUGAAGACUUUUUCUAUUCGGGACUUCUAACGAAGUUUCCGUCCGUGUUGCCAGAUUUGUUUCGACAUUUCCAAUCUUUCUUCAGAAGGAAGUUUUGUCGUCUGACCAUCACAGCAAAAAGUAGUUUUUCGGGACAGAUUAACUUACACCUCUUUUGGGAUUUUAGAUAUCGUUUUCCCCAAAAGUUAGAGAUUUGUUUUGAGCUCUGGAAAUCUAUCGCCAGAAUCUCUCUUAAAAUUCAUUGGUGAACGUGCUGCAAAAAUCGGAAUCGCGAAAUUUUCAUUUUCCCGCGAUUUCACCCGCCUAUAAAUAGCUCAAAAAUUCAAAAAUAUCUCCAUUUUCAUCACUCAAGGCCGCGAGUUUCAAGGGGAGAGGAGGAGAAGAAUUUUUCGCCAAAACUCGACCGAUCUUCGUGCAGUUCGUUCCUACUUCAAGGUACCGAGGUAACUAGCUUGAUUCUUACCUCUGAUCACUGUUUCUACUGCGUUUCUUUAGUCGUUUCUGUGCUCAAAGUUUUGAGCUUUUUGUAAAACUGUCUGUUUUUCCUGAUUUCUCUGUUGGGGUUUGUUCUCUACGUGCCCAAGAGCCUAAAACCUCCGUCAGUAUUCGCCGAUUGUGAUCGAGUUGUCAAGGAUCUGAAAAACUGAUCCAAAACCCUUUUUGUCGCACAUUUCGAAACUUUACUGUCGAAAAUUCGUAAUCUAACGUCGUGCCUUUAGGAUUUGUUGUCACGGAUGUCGUUAGGAUCAUUUCUGUCAAAUUUGUUUUCCGAACUGACAACUUUGAGGUUUUGAGCUUUUAUUUUGGACCAAAACACCCCUGAACAGCCGUAUUUUGAACCGAUCGUCCGAAAAUUGUUCCGACAGUUUCUUUGCCUUAGUUUUACCCUAAAACUACCUUGUAAACAGAUUUGAUCGAAGAAAAAGAGCCGGAGCCCUUUUUCCUUUAUGGCCGAGAGCUAUAUCAAAGGGGUGGAGUUUUUCGUUUUCGAAAACUUGUCUUUUCGUACUCGAUUGUUAUAUUCUGAAGCUUUAAUGCUUUUUCUAUCAUUUAUGAGUUGUAUGGCGAUCGAGCUAAUCGAUUUUGUUUGGAUUCUGCUUUGUUUUUCUCCGAGGUUCAGUUGAAGGAACCUUGGGUUUUGUAGAGCAAUCGUGUGAAGGGAACUUUAACCACGAGACUGGAGCAGCUCGAGGUUAGGGCAACUUACUAAUUAGCUAUGACUGCAUGAUAGGCGUCGAUGAAUUCGACUUAUGCUUUACUUUGAUGUUGAUUAUGUUGAUGAACUGAUGUUAUGAUGUUUUACAUAACUUGUGAUGUUGAGAUGUUGAUGAAUUGUGCGUUUUGACGCGACUUCGGAGUGGGGAGUCUUUGAACUGGUGUUAUUUGGUAUUUCGGGUUGGAUGAACAACCCUAGGCAAGUUCGAACGUGGGGGUUUGAGACUUAGCCAUUCGUUGGUAUUCGUUGGAAUACUUAGACUUUCCCCGGGAUGUUUCUUUUGGUGGGUUUUUGGAAAACUUAGAAUGAAUAGAAUUUCGAAAACUAAAGACCUAAGAGAACUUAGUUUUCAAAGAAUUAACCUCAUAACUUGACUAAUUCAACUUAAAACGUUUUCAUUAUUGAAUGAACCAUAGGGAAUCCCAAGGGGGAAAUAAUUGCGAAAGACGGGGAAAAGUCGACUCUUGUUGUGGGUUUUGGAAUUGGGGAAAGCCACUGAGGUGAGCUAUGGUGAUGAUUGAAAGUCACCGAGUACUUUAGUACUCUUGUGAUUCGAGUUGUGUUGUAUUGACCGACACUAACUCUUGGGUUUUGUUGUUCGAGUUGUGUUGUAUUGACCGACACUAACUCUUGGGUUUUGGUUGUUGGAGUUGUGUUGUAUUGACCGACACUAACUCCGAGUUGUGUUGAAUUGACCGACAAUAACUCUUUGGUUUUGAGAUUGGGUUUGAGCUAAACACUUGUGUUGUGAGGUCGAUUCGAUGUUUGACUAACCAUAUUGCAUCAUGCAUCAUUUGGUGAAUAACGGGAAUGGUUCACCAUUGCAUUAUUUGGUGAAUAACGGGAAUGGUUCACCGAUGCAUAUUCGAUGAGAAACGGGAAUGCUUCAUCGAUGGUGAAUAACGGGAAUGGUUCACCAGUGCAUCAUUCGACAAGGAACGAGAAUGCUUUGUCGAGGAUGAAUAACAGGAAUGGUUCAUCCAUAGUGAAGAACGGGAAUGCUUCACUUGUGGCGAACGGGAACGCGUCACAUAUAUCCGGAUCAUAUUUAUUGCAUUUCACGCAUACAUUCACUCUGACUGGAAUUGUGUGCUGUUUGAUUUAUUGAAGCAUUGUUAGAGCCAAUAACAUGCUAGGAUUGCUUAUAUAUAUAUAUAUAUAUCAACAUAUAUAUCUAUACCCCAUAUCACAUGUGAGUGUAUAUCUACUUAUUUCCGUGAGUUGACCCUAGCGCCUUGGCUUUGGUUGCAUGUUUGUGUUUGGGCGGUCGGCCUGCUGCCAAAUGUCGAUGGCCGACUGGUUUUCGAUGGUCUCUCCCUCGGGGGGGAUCAGGUAUGAGCUGGUGGAUCGUGAUGCCCCCACCGCUUGGGUGAUUGAUGUUGCUGGUCACCGAGCGACGUACCGGGGAAGGGUCAUGGAGGACCAGACGGAUGAGCGAGGACGCUUGACGAGAGGAGUGCUACGACGGAUGGAGCUGAGCUUUGACUUGCCACCCUCAGUUCAUUGUGGACCAGGUACUGGUCGAGGACCACCUGCACCACCUCCGACUUCACCUUCUGAUGAUGAGGACCCAGCGGAGAUUGAGCCUGUUGCUGCUGCACCUGUUGCGCCACCUCCUGCUACUGCCAUUGAUCCUACCGACGUGGCGUCGUCCUCUAGGCUUGUGCGGCCAAAGAGGGAGUCUGUCGUCCCAUCUGCCUCACGUCUCUUUUCUUUCUCUUCACCGCACGGCUACCGUGUGGACCCCUUGGUUAGGGUGGUGGAGGAGGAUGUUCUUACAGGAGAGGUGGAUGUUGAGACUGGCUCGACUAGGACGGUGCGCAGGACAGUUAGGAGGGAGGUCGUGGACUUGGACACCGAGAUGAUUACGGUGGAUUCUGACUCUGACUCCGAGAGCAGUGGGGAGAGCUACUCGCCGAGCAGCGACGAGGAGGAGGAGGAGCUAUGAGCUGAGCUGGGAGGGUAGGUUAGGCUAGCGUUAUUUUUUGUGUAGAGCUCUGAUCGUCUUACUUUUGGGGACAGGGUAGGUCCCGAUGUGUGGCUUUUUGUGUGGUUCUUUUGAGGAGGAUCACAGAGAGUCUGUCGGAGUUUAGGGGUCUUUUGUUCAGGCCGUUUUUGGGUGCCGACUUUCUCUUGGAUGACUGUAUAUUUGAUACUUUUGCUUACAGUGCUGGUUUGUAUAUAUUUGCCUGCGGGCACACUACUUUGGAGUCACUGCGAGUGCGCGUGACGGGAGAGUGCAGUUGAGGCUGUACAUGGGUAUAUAUUUGUAUAUUGGUUAGUUAGUGUUGGGUUAUGUCUUUAUUUUCUAUCGCUUUAUUUAAAAGGAAUCAAACGGAAAAAAAAAAAUUACCUGUUUUCCGCGUAAAGUUUAUUUUUGGUUACUAAAGUGACACCCGGAAAUCGGGGUGUUACAGUUACAUUUGCCAGAAUUUCAAUUGGCAUCAGAUCAGGCACCCCCUGUUCUACUUUUGGGUGAGAUCUAGGGAGAUAAUUCUGGUAUUAUGGACAACAACAAAGAAGGAGGAUCUGUUCAUAGGCCACCAAUCUUGGAUGGUACUAACUAUGACUAUUGGAAAGUUCGUAUGAUAGAAUUCUUGAGAUCCAUUGACAGCAAGACAUGAAAAUCCAUUGUCAAAUGGUGGAAACAUCUUGUGAAAGGUGACAAAGAGGGAACUUCAACCAGUGAUUUGAGGCCUGAGGAAGAAUGGACCAAGGAGGAAGAUGAUGAAGCUUUAGCAAACUUAAAAGCACUGAAUGCCAUCUUCAAUGGAGUGGACAAGAAUAUGUUCAGGUUGAUCAAUACCUGCACUGCGGCUAAGGAUGCCUGGGAAAUCCUCAGAGUUGCUCAUGAGGGUACCACAAGAGUAAGAGUGCCAAGACUUCAACUUCUUACCACUCAGUUUGAGAAUCUGAAGAUGAAGGAGGAUGAAACUGUGUCAGAAUUUCACAUGAGGGUGCGAGAUAUGGCUAAUGCAUCAUUUUCCCUUGGAGAACAAAUGUCUGAGGAAAAGCUUGGCAGAAAAAUUCUCAGAUCUUUACCUAAGAAAUUCGAUGUGAAGGCGAUAGCAAUCGAGGAAGCUCAGGAUAUUGAAGCAUAAUUGUAGAUGAAUUGAUUGGUUCAUUACAGACCUUCGAGAUGUCUGUGAAUGAAAGGUCAGACAAGAAGAGCAAAAGUAUAGCUUUUGUGUCAAAUACUGAAGAUGAUGAUGCAAGUGAGAAAGAGUCUGAUGAAAAUUUGUCUGAAGCAAUAGCUAUGCUUGGGAGAAAAUUCAACAAAGUGAUGAGGAGGUUUGAAAGAAGACCUCGACCAAAUGUGCCAGACUAGCGGUCUGACAUUGGAAAACACUCUGGUUUUGCUCGCAUAAACAAGGAAGAAGACAAGUACAACAAAAGAAAAGGUGUCUAGUGUCAUGAAUGCGAAGGAUAUGGGCAUAUAAAGGCAGAAUGUGCAACUUAUCUAAAGAAACUGGGAAAAAGAAUGGUGGCUACUUGGUCUGAUGAUGAUACAGAAGAGGAAGAUGAACCUCAAGUCAUGGGGCUUAGUGUGAAGUACAACUCUGGAUCUGAAUCAAGUGAUGGUGAAAUAUCUGAGGAGGAACUUUUUGAAACCUACAAACUUCUAUUCAACAACUGGAAGGAUGCUUGUGAAAAGGGAAUGAAGCUAGGAGUUGUCAAGAAUCUGGAAGUUGAGAAGUAAAAUUUGUUAAUUUUGAAUGGCAGCCUUCAAGAAGAAGUCACAGUGCUAAAAUCAAAAAUUGAAGGUAUGAUAAAAUCUGUUCGUAUGUUGAAUAAAGGAACUGAUGUGUUUGACUUGAUUUUAGAAACAGGAAAAGUUGCAAAGGAUAGGACAGAUUUAGGCUAUACUGAAGACCCCACAACUGAAGAAAAUAGAAAGAUCAGUAACCUGUUCAUUCCUGCAGAGAAGAAGACUGAGUUCAAGAUGUCAAGCCGAAUGUCUCAACAUGUUGCUCAACAAGGAUACCGGCAGAUUCCUUAUUCUUAUCCUCCAACCCAGAUAAUGAGAAGCACAACCUAGAAAUGUCAUCACUGUGGUAAGCAUAGACAUAUAAGACCCUAUUGUUACAGGCUGUGCGGAACACCUCAACACUGGAGAACUACUCAGAUGCCCACCUCUGCUAAUCCAAAGAGAAGAGAGUGGAAACCUAAGAACAUUGUAACUGCUGUUGUUGCCUACACCUCUCUAAGAGCAUCUUCUAAGGAGGAUUAGUACUUUGAUAGUGGAUGUUCCAGGCACAUGACUGGUGUGAAGAUGUACCUAGAUAAUAUCAAACUUCACUCAACCAGCUUUGUCACCUUUGGUGAUGGCGCUAAAGGAAGGAUCGAGGGAUCCGGAAAGAUUGUUAGUGGUGGCUCUCCAAAUCUGAGUAAUGUUUUGUUGGUAGAAGGCUUAACUGCUAACUUGAUUAGCAUAAGUCAAUUAUGUGACUUGGAUCUGAAUGUCUCAUUUAACAAAGCUGGUUGCACUGUUACUAAUGAAAAUGAGGAAGUUGUCAUGACUGGAGUGAGAUCCAAAGACAACUGUUACAUGUGGUCUCCACAGAACAAGGCUAUGUCUUCAAUGUGUCUAGUAUCAAAGGAAGAUGAAGCAAAGUUGUGGCAUAAAAAAUUAGGGCACUUAAAUCCCACAAGCAUGAAGAAGGUCAUAUCUAAAGAAGACAUCAGAGGUAUUCCCAGAUUGAAGAUAAAAGAAGACAAAGUGUGUGGAGAAUGCCAAAUUGAAAAGCAGACCAAAACUUCUCAUAAGAAACCAACUCAUAUUGGUACAACAAGAUCCUUGCAACUGCUACACAUGGACUUGAUGGGACCAAUGCAAAAAGAAAGCUUUGGUGGAAAAAGGUAUGUGUUUGUAUGUGUUGAUGAUUUUUCAAGAUUCACUUGGGUGAGCUUUCUUGUAGAAAAGUCAGAAAUUGAAGUAUUCAGAGAACUAAGUCAGCAACUCCAGAGAGAAAAGGGGUAUGGGAUUGUGAAAAUCAGAAGUGAUCAUGGAAAGGAAUUUGAGAAUGGAAAAUUUUCAGAAUAUUGUGGAAAUGAAGGAAUCAAGCAUGAGUUCUCUGCUCCUAUUACUCCACAACAAAAUGGUGUGGUUGAAAGAAAGAACAGAACACUGCAAGAGUCUGCUAGAGUAAUGCUUCAUGCUAAGAAAGUUCCUAAUCACUUCUGGGUUGAGGCUAUAAACAUUGCUUGCUAUAUUCACAACAGGGUAACUAUACGUUCAGGAACUGAUUCUACUCUAUAUGAGCUGUGGAAAGGGAAGAAACCUAUUGUUAAGUACUUUCAUGUCUUUGAAAGUAGAUGCUACAUCUUAACUGAUAGAGAACAAAGGAAGAAGCUUGAUCCCAAGAGUGAUGAAGGAUUAUUUCUGGGUUACUCAAUAAAUAGCAAGGCUUACAGGGUGUUCAAUUCUCGCACAAAAACUAUGAUGGAAUCCAUAAAUGUGGUUGUGGAUGACAGGGUAAGUAGCCUGAAUGAAAUCAAUACAGAUGGAGAUGACAAUGUGCCUCAGAUAGUUGAUGAGAGACCAAAUGACUGUGACAUCCGGUCUGACACAGAACCUGAAGAAGAAAAAGAACAUGAGUCAUCUAAGGAGAUUGUUCCCUCAAUCAGAAUUCAGAAGAUGCAUCCCAAAGAAAAUAUAAUUGGGAAUCGAAAUGAAGGAGUUGUUACUAGAUCUAGAGACAUCAUUGCAAAUGCUUGUUUUAUCUCUAAAAUUGAGCCAAAGAACAUCAAGGAGACCUUAACUGAUGAGUACUGGAUCAAUGCCAUGCAAGAAGAAUUGAGUCAAUUUAAGAGGAAUGAAGUAUGGGAUCUUGUUCCCAGACCAGAGGGUGUGAAUGUGAUUGGUACCAAGUGGAUUUUCAGAAACAAGUCAGAUGAAAAUGGUACUGUGACAAGAAACAAGGCCAGAUUAGUUGCUCAAGGGUAUACUCAGAUUGAAGGAAUUGAUUUUGAUAAGACCUUUGCUCCCGUUGCUCGAUUGGAAUCAAUCAGAUUGUUGUUAGGACUAGCAUGCAUUCUGAAAUUCAAGCUGUUCCAAAUGGAUGUGAAGAGUGCUUUCUUGAAUGGAUACCUGAAUGAGGAGGUAUAUGUAGAACAACCAAAGGGUUUUGUAGAUCCAACCUUUCCAGAACAUGUUUACAAGUUGAGAAAGGCGUUAUAUGGAUUAAAGCAAGCACCAAGGGCUUGGUAUGAAAGGUUAACAGAGUUUCUGAUAAGUAAAGGGUACAUCAAGGGAGGAAUAGACAAGACUCUAUUUGUGAAAAGUGAUGGUGGAAAAGCCAUGAUAGCUCAGAUAUAUGUAGAUGACAUUGUCUUUGGAGGCAUGUCAGACCACAUGGUAGAACAUUUUGUUAGACACAUGAAAUCUGAGUUUGAAAUGAGUCUGGUUGGUGAAUUAAAUUAUUUCCUGGGGUUGCAAGUAAAACAGAUGCAAGACUCCAUGUUCAUCUCACAGAGCAAGUAUGCCAAAGAACUAGUUAAGAAGUUUGGUCUUGAAGGCUCAACUCAUAAGAGAACUCCUGCAGCUACUCAUAUCAAGCUAACUAAAGAUGAAAGUGGAACUGAUGUUGAUCAAAGCUUAUACAGAAGUAUGAUUGGUAGUCUUCUUUACCUCACGGCUAGCAGACAAGAUAUUUCUUUCUAUGUUGGUGUUUGUGCCAGAUAUCAAGCAACACCUAAAGAGAGUCAUCUGGUUCAAGUCAAGAGAAUAAUAAAGUACAUUAAUGGAAUUGCUGACUAUGGAAUUUUUUAUGCUCACAACUCUAAUUCCAAUUUGAUAGGCUACUGUGAUGCUGAUUGGGCAUGAAAUACAAAUAACAGAAAAAAUACUUCAGGAGGAUGCUUCUUUCUUGGUAAUAAUUUUUCAGCAAAAAGCAUAAUUGUGUCUCACUAUCUACUGCUGAGGCUGAGUAUAUAGCUGCUGGAAGUGGGUGUACUCAACUAUUAUGGAUGAAGCAGAUGCUGAAGGAAUAUAAUGUCAAGCAAGAUGUCAUGACAUUGUACUGUGACAACCUGAGUGCCAUCAACAUUUCAAAAAAUCCAAUCCAACAUAGCAGGACAAAACAUAUUGACAUUCGUCACCACUUUAUCAGAGAUUUAGUUGAAGAAAAGGUUAUCACUCUUGAGCAUGUAGAAACAAAUCUGCAGUUAGCAGAUAUUUUCACAAAAGCAUUGGAUGCGGCUAAGUUUGAGGAGUUAAGAGGCAAAUUGGGGAUUUGUGUAAUAACUGAUUUAUAGCAGUUAUUGACAUAUGUCAAGGGCAACGACUAUAAUUUCUUCUAUUUAACCGCCCUUGAUGCAGUUGAGGAAGACACAUAACUGAUUUGUCUUGGUUUCACAAACUUGAAUUAUUCUCUCUCUUUGUGCUCUUUGCUCUCUAACGGUUAUUAUUGUAAUUGUGUCAAGUUGCUCUCAAUCAUGACUCAAGAUUCAGGAAAGAAGAUCGUUGCCGGUCCCAAACCUAUCAAGAACUCUCAUGGAGUCAAAUUUCUUGGUUUGAAGACUUCAUCUUCUACUUCAUCUAGGGUUACUCGUUCCUCUGCAAAAAUUGUCUCUCCAGAAUCGUCUGGACCUGCCAAGAGGACAAGGAGUAUGCGGAUCAAUCAUGUUGUCAAGCGUGGCACAGGGAAAGCAUCAAGUGUUCAUGACAUCUCAGAGGAUUCCAUUCCUGAUCCUCAGGUUGAUGAUAAUCAAGAAAGUGAUGCCCCCGAUGCUGAUGCAGAUCAAGUUAUCCACGAUGUCUUGGAGACUCUUGCAGAUGUUGCCACUGCAGAGGAUGUCAUGCCAAAUGUUGAAUCACAGGAUGAUCGUGAUUUUGAACCAAACUCUGCAGAAAAUCCUUGUGAGCCUGAUGCUGAGAAGGAAGAUGAUACUGAUGUUGCUAGUCAUGAAUCUUCAAGUGAGAAGACUCUCUCUGUUGAAAUUCCCCAUGAGAAGACUCCUGAACCUGUGUCUAGGAAGGGUCAGAAAAAAGUGUCUACUGCCUCUGAAGAAGAAAACUCGGAUGAUCAAGAAGUACACAAGAAAGUCAUUGCCUCUGCCUGUAAGGAGGCCACAGUCUCUACAAGUAAGAAUGUUACAGGUCUGAAAGAAAAGAAAAAGAAGGUUUCUGGUACGCAGACUCCCAAAACUCCAAAAACAUCUCAGGUCUCAGUUCCUGAGAAGAAGAAAAAGAAGGAAAAGAAAGAUGAGAAGGUUGCCGCAUCUACUGGAAGGAAGAGGAAACAUGUUGCUGAAACUGACUCUGAACCAGAUGUCGAGCCCGAUGUCCCUGACAUCUCCACCUCUGCCAAGAAAAGAAUUAAGGGGAAGAGAAUUCCUUUGAAUGUUCCAGAGGCACCCAUUGACAAUGUAUCUUUCCACUUUGCUAGUUCUGCACAAAGUUGGAAGUUUGUUGUUCGGAGAAGGUUAGCCAUAGAAAGGGAACUCCAUGAAGAUGCUUUGGAACUUAAAGAGAUCAUGGAUAUGUUGGCUGAUGCAGGUUUGAUGAAGACUGUCAAGAACAUUGGCAGAUGCUUCUCUCAAUUAGUUAGGGAAUUCAUUGUGAAUAUCCCUACUGACUGUGAUGAUGAGAGUAACUCUGAGUUCAGGAAGGUCUAUGUCAGAGGAAAGUGUGUAAAUUUCUCUCCUGAAGUUGUUAAUCAUUUUUUGGGAAGAAGCCCGGUUGCUGGAACUGAUGAAGAACCUGAGUUGAAUAGGGUUGCUAAGACCCUGAUUGGCAAGAUGGUCAAGAAGUGGCCAAAGAAAGGAUUGCUUCCCUCUGGGAAGUUAACUACCAAGUAUGCUGUCCUUUUCAAGAUUGGCUGUGCAAAUUGGAUGGCCACCAAUCACUUAUCUGGUGUAACUCCUCCCCUUGCCCGAAUGCUCUAUCUGAUUGGUACUGAUGGUGAGUUUGAUUUUGGCAAACUUGUUUUUUACCAGACUCUGAAGCAUGCAGGUUCUUAUGCUGUGAGACUGCCAAUUCUGUUUCCAUGCCUCUUGUCUGAACUAAUUGUCAAACAACAUCCUCAUGUUGUGAGGGCUGAUGAACCACAAGGUAAGAGACCUUUGCCUCCCAAGUUUGAUUAUCGCUUGUUUGCUGUGACACAUGUUCCAGACAUUGUGUUAUCUGCAGCAAAGGGUUCUGCUAGUACCAGUGGUACUCAGAGAGUUGGUUCAAGCAAAGAUGAUAUUUUGGCUGAAUUGAGGGCUGUCUCCAAGUCCUUGGAUGACACUAUUCAGGCUUGCAAGAUUAGGAAGCUGAAUGUGGACAAGCUCAUCAAGGCCAUGACAUAGGUUCCUGCUGCUGUUGCUGAGGAAGGUAUUAUUGAAGAGGAUACUGAGCAUGUUGAGAAUGACACUGCUGCAGUUGAGGAAGAGGAAGCUCAGUAUGAGACUGCUGGAGAAGAUGAUAGUGAGUCUGAAAAGGAAAAUGAGGAGUCUGAUGAAGAAGAACAAGAGGAUGUCAGUGGCUCCACAAGUUCUGCCACUCGUAGCACAUCUCUUUAAUUUGUUCUCUUUUCCUGUUGGGGAUGUAUUUGAUGAAGCCGUGUGUGGCCCUAUAACUACUACAUUUGCUCCUGGUCUGAUUGUGGAUUUGUGCACUUGGAUUCUCCGUUCUGGCUGUUCUAUAGUAGUAUGACUUCUCUUCAUUGAGCCUUUGCCAAAUUGUGCUAAUAAGGGGGAGUAAUAGUUAAUGGUUACUUUGCUGGCAUGUAUGCAGUAAGUAUAGCAGUAGUUCUUGAUGUGUGCUUAGUAUACUAUGUAGUGAUGGUUGAUGUGAUGUGAUUUUCUGCUGUGCUGUACUCUAUUCUUAGUUUUGUUACUGCACUUGUGGGUUCAUAGCUGCUGAUUAUAGCUAUGUUAUUGGAAGAUGUUUUUAAGCUACCUUGAUAUGGUCUGGUUCACUCUUCUCUGGUAUUUCAAGCUGCAAGUGUUUUGAAGAGUCUUUAUGGCAGUAUAGUAUAUUAUCUAAAAUUUGACAAAGGGGGAGAUUGUUGUUCCUUUGUUUGGUUGUCAGCAUUUUAGCUAUAUAUGUGUGUGUCAACUUGUCGGACCCGAUGUUGUAACAUCUUGCCUAUGACAUCUGUCCCUGAGUAUCUGCUGUGAGUUGGUUGUUUGGUUAUCUGUGAAGCCUUGUGUUCAAGUUAGGUUGUGAUGGAAGCUUCUGUGCGCCGUCAAGGAAUAUUCCUGUGUAAUCAAACCCGGUUCAAGGGUGUUUGAUUUGGAGCUAUUUAUGGAAGUUCCUUAAUUAUUGAUUGGUCAAGGAUCCUCUGCAGAUUUGUUACUUAGCUGUUUUCUUUUAGCAACUUCCUGAUUUGUGUAUGGACCGUGUGCUCUUUCAAGCCCAAUGAAGACAAGGCCUGGAAGACUAUAUAUGAAGACUCAAGACCUAGUCUCCUUGAGAGAACAAAAUAUAAUAUUAGGGUUUUCAUCGAGUUCAUACUGGUUUUUGUACUCUUAGCAACUUUAUGCCAUUGUUGUGAGCUGAGGGUGAGUGUUUACUGUGUGAUCUUGAGAUCUGUCUUUGUAACUCAUAUUUGAGUUCAAUCACUAUGGUAGUGAUUGUGAGAGAGUGAGAGGGAGUUCUCAUACUUAGGGGGAGACCUAAGUAAUAUUCCACGGGUAGAGAUAGGUAGGAAAGGUAGUUGAGCUGGGGCAGUUCCUGUGAAACCUUUUAUGUACAAUUUCUCUAUAAUAGUGGAUUAUCUCUCUUGGGUAAAAACCCUCCAGACGUAGGUGAUAUUGCACCGAACUGGGUUAACAAUCUUCUGUGUCUAUUUACUGUUUUUCAGUUGUUUAGCGUGUUGUAUCGUUUUCUGAGUUAGUCAUAUUGUUAUACAAGAUGUCUUAGACAUCUGGUAAAACAUCAGUGUUACACUUGCCAAAAUUUCAAAGAGGACAUACGGGAGUAAUUCAACAUGUAUUUUUUUCAUUAUGCUAUUUAUAUAUCUUUACUUAUUAACUAACUUAUUUAUGUUUUCCUGAUUUCAUGCUCAAUAUCUUUAGAAGGUGAAGGAGCUUCAUGCUGAUCAACUCAAUGAGGGAUUAAGCGUCAUCCCCUCCAGUAAAGCUUCACCAAUGGAAGGAGGUUGUCGGGGGCAAGAUUCGUGGCUAUUCAUACAUCACAUGAGACUUGUCAGCCAACGCCAGACAAUGGCGGGACCUCACUUAAGAGUGAGUCUCAGGCUUCCCACGAUGCAGCUGCUGGCGGAGUGGAUGAGGAAAGCUUAGCUAGGUGGUACAUUUACGAAGCUGAAUAUGCACACCUAAAGGAGAGGAAAUUAGUUUUGUCACAGCCGACCAAAGGGUUGCAGUAUCCGAUGCCCAAGCAUUUGGCCGCAGAUGUCGUUACUACGGUGCAUAUGUUUCUGUCAUUGGGAGGUUGAGCUAGCAUCUAUGGCAUCCACUAAUACUAGUCAAAUACCACAACAAGUUCAUCAACACUAUGUUGUUAAGCAAGACGAGCAAAUAAUGGGUAAUCAUCCCUGGCUUUUUUGUACUCGUUUUGUGUAUUAUUCAUGAAUAUUGUGACUUUUAUCAACAAUAUUGUGACUUAUAUAUUGUUUUCGUCAAUAUUCAUGAAUAAGAUACAAAACGAGUACAAAAAUAUCAGGGGUGAUUACCCAUUAAAUAAUUUGCAUUCUAUUUUGCUAUACUAAAUUGGUUUUUAUUAGCAUUUAGAAUGUAUGAUGACCUAUGUGGAAGGCCAAUUAUUGGUAUAUAUAUGCUACUUGUCCUGGUCUGGAAAAAAAACAUAAAUGAGCCUUGUAAUAAUUCUGUUGUCAGGGUUGGCUCAUGACCAAUGCUAAAAUGAAAAACAAAGCUUCUUGUCCAAAGUAGCAUCAUCGAUGAGCCGACGCUAUUAGUUUCAACCAAAAGACCAUCUAGAGUCGGCUAUGCCGACACUACAUGAAAAAUAUUAGUCGAUCUAUACAACCAACUUUGAUGCCAGAUUUAGAGUUGGCUAAGCCGAUGCUAAGCGAACACAACAUACAUGCUGCCAUAGCCGAUGCUAAUUUGCAAAUAUUUUCGUCGGUUAGCAUCUGUCAUAUAGACUGACUCUAAUAUUUCCAUGUAAUGUCAGCUUAUCCGAGUCUAAAUCUAGCAUCGGCUGACUUAGGCAAAGCUAUGUGUUAGCUCUGAAUCUUUUAACUUCAACUCCAACACCUAUGCUAAGUUAACGCUAAAACGACUAUAAUGUCGGCUUUUGUCUUGUUAGCGUUGAUUUUUGGGCGCUUUUCUUGUAUUGUACAUACAAUUUAUAUAUCAAAUUUUCUUACAUUUUUUAAAUAAUUUUUUUGGUUAAGAUGUCUUUUUGUACGGGUAAAAUUUAUAACUUUUCAUUUUAGUCACUGUUAAAUUUUUUAAAAAGUUAGUGCUUACAGAACUGAAGUAUAUUUGAUGGAUACACUUGUCUUGGUAGAUGAUCCUGGGCAUAAGAAUACUUCUAUAAUGAUCUAUGCUUCAGUUUUGAAAUACCUAUUGUUGGCUAAAGUUUGCCUCAGUUUGACAGAAUGUCAUGGUAAAUCUCAUGAUAUGUGAUGCUCCCUGCCCCUACCCUAGGGAAGAAAAGAAACCCAAGAAAUUUGCCAUAGUCUAAACAUUGGGAACCACUCACUGGCGAGACCCUCACCAUCAAGCCAGAUGUCUAAUAGCUUAAUUAAUUAAACAAUGAAUUAAUUUCUGAGAACUGCCAAAGAAGAUCAAGUGCCAUUCAUAGACAUGCACCACAAAACUUUUCUUCUUAACUCCCUUUUCAUUUCUUGUGUUGAAUUCUGUUCUGUUUUUUGGAACUCACUGAAAUACUGCUAGUGGUCACCACUAUAACUAUUAAUGUACAGAAUAUGUUGUGGACCACUGUACUGCUUUGUUGCUGCCAUUAUGAAACUGGAUCCAUCAUACAUACAUAUACAUGGACGUGCUUCGCUCUAGAGUCAUAAAUGACAGUACCUUAUGAAUGAUUUUAAAUUAAAAUUAAAGAUAACUUUGUCAAAAUGCAACGGCAAGUUGCAAUCAUGCUUAAUAGGUAAUAGAAACAGUCAAAAGGGGCCACAAUUGCAACUGUUGACUGCAACUUCAAACAACUUUCUCAAGUUGUUUUGCCAUUUACAUGAACUGGUGGUUCUGAUAUAAAUUGAGCUAUAUCAAACAGCUGCUAGCAUAUAUUGUAGAUAGUUAGACUCCUUAAAAUUUAGUUGACGGUUUAAUUUCCGAGUGAUAUGUAUAAAGAAAGGUUUUUCAGAAGAUGUCUAUCCACUUAAUAUAAUUUCAAAGUCUCGAGAAAAUUAGUCUUAUGACUGUCAAUUGAGCUGUGAAAAAGAUUAGUCUUAUGACUGUCAAUUGAGCUGUGAAAAUAUUAUAAUGCACACAAAAAUAGCACCAAGGCUUGUAAAUGAAGAUAUUACACACAGCCCAAACACCAUAUAUUAGAUUUUGGGUAUUAGAAGUUGUUUUUAUUAAUUAACACUAGAUCAAAAUAUAGCAUUUAUGCUUGUAAAUAUCAUUAUAAUGUUUGAUUUUAAGUUAAACUCAUAGAACACCAAUGGAGCUUGUAGAUUUCUUUCAUAUUUCACGUGUUACGAGACCUCAUAACUUGUUUUAAGAACUUUAAUACAUUAAAUGUGAUUUUCAAGUGAAAACCAUACCUAAGUAAGCCAUUCAACAUUGAGAGGACCACCAUAAGAAAGACAAAAUAAUGGUACAAGUGGCAACAUGUUAUGAGGUACUCCAUGUCGCAAGACAAGUUGAAAGGUCUUAUUCUUACACGCCCUGCUCACCCAAAAUUUCUGUUGAGAGAGAACUGACUCAUCUGAAACACUUGGACCAUGUUGCUACUACUAACUAAAUGGUAGCUUGGAUUAGCAAGCAUCUCAGUACAGUACUAGUACUGUACAAUGUCUCAGUUCAAUCAUAAAGGCAGCAUUCAAAUUAUGUGAAAAACAAAUUUAAAGAAUUAUACGAAAGGCCAUUGUCAGAAAAAUGAGAUAAAGUUAUCCUGAUUUCUCACCAAAAUUGUUGUCCAUUUCCUUAUCAGAAGCUAUGCGACAGCUUGUUCAAAAGGUAGAGACUUAAAAGUGUUUCUUUCAAAUUUUAAUACCACAAUGUCUUUUGCUGAUUUAUCAUGUGCUCCAUGCAGUGCUCCAAACAUUGCAGGCUACACUAAGGUUAAUUAGGAACUUGUGACAGAGCAUUGUAUGAUUCUUUUUUCUCUUUCAAAAUAUCACAACUCUCUAGGAUAUUCAAGGCAUGAAUGACUUAAUCAAUUAAGAAAUUUCAUCUUUUCUUCCUGAAUGCUUAUUCCAAAGGGAAAGAAAUGGCAGACCUGAGAUCCUUGUUAAUUCCCAUAGCUCAUGCAUUGCUAGUUCAAUGCCUGAUUCAUACUAUAGAGAAUUAUUUAGGUCAAAACCAAAACACCAUCAAAGAUAUUCAUUCUGAAACCCAAACAUUGCUCACAUUCUAUAGACACUCAAUUGAUCUCUCUAGAUAUCUGUUGGGUGUAUUGAAUAUGCAAAUGUUUACUAAUUAAUUUCCUAAGUGAAAUGUUAUCAAAUCACCUUUUUCCUUUAACUUUCAUAUAUACCCUUUUGUCAUAACUAAAUAGAUGAAAAGAGACUUGGUGCAUAUGUAAUGCCACAACCGAAUCCACACUAACCAACAUAAAAUUUAAUCAAUGCAUUGCCAUAUUUGAUUUCUUCCUAAUACCUCAGGCAAUGUAGCAUAGUCCAACUAUGAUUAAGAUUAAUUAAGAGCAUGUUUAAAUUUGUGAUGACACACAACCCAAAACUAGGUAACUAUAGAAGCUACACUCUGUAACUUCUACACAUAAGUGAUUAUCUAGCUUUCCACAACACAACCAAAACAAUGCAAGUGUACCUUUGAUUUCACAUUGGGAACCUUAUAAUCAAGUAUCAUGGAGUACAGUCACUUUGGAUGGGUAUAGAUGUUUGGUAAUCAUCUUAGAAAGUUGAAAUUUCACAACUGAAUUCACAUAAUUACUCAACUGAAAUUACUUUGAAGUACUUUUACCAGAAUUCAAAAUCAAUUCUAUAAUGAAUGCUAAUCAAUGCUUAUCUAAACAUGCACUAUAGGACAAAUUUCCUUCUAUUCAAUUUCAAAUCAUUUAGGAAACACAUUACAAACAUGGAAACUGUAAGCAAAAAGGCACUAGACCCAACAUCCAAGAAAAUGCACAAUCCGAAAAUGCCAAUAACCCAAUCAUGAGUCAUACCAAACACAUUCCCAAUCAUAAAGGUAAAAUUAAUCAAGAGUUAGAUAUUAUUAAAUAAUUUCAACAACAAAAAAAAUCAUUAUUUAAUUAAUGAUUUUUGGUUCAAGUUGGGGGUGCUUGUAGGAAGCAGUCAUUCAAGAAUUUCUCCAAAAAAAAAUGCAGAGAAAUUAAAAGCUCAUGUUGAAAUUAACUAAUGCAACCUUGUUAAAACUUCCUCAAACUGAUACAUUACAUUAAACAAGAAAGUGUUAUGUUUAUACAGCAAGAACCUGAAGAUUGGAAACAGAAGAAACUUGUGAUUGUGUUGUUGAUGAUAAGAAAGAGUCAUCUCUUUGUGAAGGGCUUCUCCAAAAUCCAGUGCUAUAAAACCGGUCCCACAUCUCCUUCUCCAACUCCAUAAGCUCCUUAUUGUCUUCUUUCUCCUCCAAACCACUGCCCAUCAUGCCUGCCACAUCAUCAAGCGAUCCGCACGCUGGGUAGACACGGGCGCUAAAGUCAUCGCAGCAAGCGCACGUGCAGCGCCGCGUCUGAGGAAACACCACCUCCUCCCCUGCGGUGGGAAGGUGGUGCCGUCGGCGGCGCUGCUUCGUCUUCUUCAGCGCCCGCUGACACAGGCUGGCUGGUACCUUGUAGAUCGCCAGGUACAUGAGGUUGGCGAGGCCGAAGGGGCAGCAGCAGCAUACAGCGGCUGCUCCUCCCACCGCCUCCCCCAGCUGCGUCACCGCCCUGCCGGAACUCUUGCUUUGCCGUAGGAGCGGUUGCCGCCGGUGAGUUGAUGAUACCGUCGGCCGGAGAACAACUUUCUUCGACAUGAUCGGUUACAGUUACGACGGAAAACGGUUUUUUACUAAAACUGGUAAAAAUAAAUAUUAAUAUAAUAUUUAUAUCACAGUUCCGUUGUAACCGUAAUUGCAGUGUCGAUUCUGUUAUGAAAAAAGAAGAGAGGAACAAAGGAGAGAGAGAAAGUGUGCAGGUUCUGUAACAGAACGUUCCUUGUAACAAAAAGGAAUCAGAAGAUGGAAAGUUUGUUAUUUGGCAAAGCGGAAAAGACCAAACCAAACGUUGUGUUGUGUUGGUUUUUUCCGAUGCCAAAUUUCACAGAUGACCCGAUUUAUGGGGCACAAGAUAAAGUGAUGAAGAUCGCUUUAUCUUAACUCUUUGAGAUUUGGAAAGGAAGAGCUGGUGCUGGUGAUGUUGCUCCCAACAAAUUAGGAAAAGUGGUUUAUUUUGGGUUUAGGUGUGAUUGGAAUUUGGGGAGGGGAGAGUGUAAAUAGGUGUUGAUCUAGAAUUAGGAAUUUGGAAUGGCUGGGAAGGCUAAAAUUAAAUAGGGAAGCUCAAAAGGUUCUGUUAUGGCUUUUGGAGAGUCAAACUGACUCAGAUAUAGAGAGCUGGCAGUGGAAGAGGGUGCAUAUAUACUUGGCUCGGACUCUUGUAUGUAGCGUGUACAGUAUAUGUCGCAUUUAAUAUGACUACAUCCCGUGAUAUUUUCUGUAAGCCACAAAAUAUAAAGCCCACACUCACGUUAAGACUUGCCAUAAAAAUAGAGUGUGUAAAAGUGAUUUGCACUUUUUCAAUGUUUGCGAAUAUAUAUAUAUAUAUAUAUUUUAAGAUUAGAACUUGUUACAACUGGGGCUAGCCCCUCAUUUGUAACAAAAAAAAAAAAAAAACUUGUUACAACUUAUAAAUAAGACGAUUGCUUUGUAUAUAAAAAAUGAGAGAAUUUAUAUGAUUUAUUUAAGGUAAAUGAUCUGAUUAAUCAAACAAAUCUGAACUAAUACCUUAGUUUGGUUUGGACCAUUGAGUUUAUCGGGUUAAUUCAAACUGAUGAACACUCUUAGAUUUAAUACCCUUCAAUAUAUUAUUUAGACUAUAAAGAACUUUGAUAUCUUUACACCCUUAUAUUACAUAUCAUUAAUUUGUACUAGUAACUAGCAUUCUUUUCUUUUUUUCUUUUUGUGAGCAAUAAUUAGCAUUCUUAAACACAUUUUUAACACAAACUUUAUAGUCGUUUAUUUUUCCAAAUUUCAACAUACAUAGCUCAUACUUAGCCUAAAAUUUCAACAUAUUAACAUUUUCAUAAUUAAAAUAGAGUGAUGACCGUAAAAAAAAUCAAAACAUAGCUUUAAUAGAGUGCGAUGUAGAAGGUGCGACCAAUGAUGACGACAGUCUCGUUUAACGGUGAAAGACCCUCAAACCGGUAGUGACCCAGGGAACCCUGACGUCAAAUCAUAUCGGAGAAAGAAGGAUGGUCCUUGGGUCAAGGAAGAAGCAGGAAGCGUGGACGACAAUCCAAGAAGAAGGAAGGAGAUAGACUCUUCUCCUAGCUUUAUCUUUGCCCUCUUUGUCUAUGGUAUCUAAGAUUGCACCGGCUAUCAACAAGUUUGUGGGUUUUUUGUACAAUAUAAUUUGGGAGGUUUUUUUACCUUUUCGUUCAAAAGCGGAGGUACGUUAGAAGGAUGUACAAGUCUGGGUUGUUUAAUAGGUUUUCUUCUCUGGAGGUGGCAUCUCAGGUGAUCAACCCUCUCAACGGGUUUCGCAUGGGUGAUGUGUCCCUCUCGGUUGGCUUUGGCGAGAUUCCCAUAACCUAAAGUUGUUAAAUAUAUAGAUGGGAGAUCGGUGGUGGGUGAGGGAGUUGUUGCCACUGCUGGAGUAGAUGAGGAUUGGCCCGCACUAGACUUCUCCGUAGAUGAAACUUGAUGCUCACGGAUCUUGAUAGAAGCUGCUCGGCGGUUUCUGACUUUCCUCCUCUGUUAGAAGUUUACUGAAAUUUUUGGUUGGAGUUUUUCUGCUUCCCCUGCUUAUUUUGAACCAUCUAUUGUCUCCCCCCCGGGGAUUGUUCCUGCUCAUGAGUUUGUGGAGGUGCUCGAUAUACCUGUUCAUUAGGAUGAUGUGAAAAUUCCUAAGCCUAGGAGUAUACCUAAGAAGGCAGUGUAGCGGGAAACAAGAAGCAGGGCCACCCCAAGAGCUACCCUGUUUUUGAGACAGCGGACGCUGGUGUGACGGAGGCACAUGGAGAGAGCUUAUGGUGUUGCCGGAGGAGCUUUCUAAGACCUUUAGCGUCAUGACUUGGCAUGGAGUGCUAUGUUGGUGGGAAAACGCCUAAGCAUACAAUACUACCGCUCAGACGGUUACGCCCAAUAUGAGAUUGCAGCUCAAAAAUUGCGCAUAGGGCUUUUUAGCUGUGGUAGAGGGUGUCGUUGGGCCAUGUUUGGAGCUUGCGGUCUUUGGGGUCUUUGUGGGACUUUUGGGUGUUCUUUGGGCAGUUGUAUAUAGGCUUUUGAGUCCUUGGUUCUCGUUGUUUAUCUCGGCUUUUUGUAUUCAUCUUUGUGAUUGUUUUCCCGAGUUGUUACUUUUUGUUCCCCUUUGAGGAAAGUAUAUAUCCUGACUAUUUUCUCAAUCUUAUAUCAAUAUAGUUUUUGCUUUCGAAAAGAUGUAUUAGUUGUAAUAGUAAAAAUAUGGGUCCUAAAGGUGAAUCAUUUUUAACAUAGUCUCCAAUAAAAUCACCCCUUAAUAAUAUUUUGCUAUGAACCAGGCUAAAUUAACUUAAAAUAUCCUUUCAAAAGAAAAAUUAAAAUAUGGAUUUUAAGAAAAAAACUUAAAAUACGACCGACCUCGAAAAAAAAAACCUAAAAUCUAUUAUAAAAUAUAUAGCAGCCCUUAACUCCAUCAACAAUCUAGAAACAAUUAAAAAAAUCAAUUCAAUGAAGGCCCAAACAAAAUGAUCAACUCUGCAAAUUGUGUUGUCCUUUUUUGAGAUCAAACUGUGUUAUCACUUUACACGUAUGUGUGUCAAUUUAAUUAUCACCAGUCACCACGUUAAAAUAAGUUUAUCUAAAUGAUUGAUAAAAGAUUUGGUUAUUUUACUUCAAGAAAUUUAGAUUAAAUCAUCAUAUUCUAGAGAAACCAAUUAUAUUCUGUAAUCUGUUCAAAAAAAAAAUUAUAUUCUGUAACAAAAAAAACCAAUUAUAUUCAAAAUAAGUGAGUAAAAUAUUUCACUUAUGUUAAUAUUAAUUAGUCCACUAAACCUAUAGUGAUUUAACAUAAUUUUCUUUCUUAAAUCAUUUAGACAAGGCCGGCUAAAUGAUAAAAUUACAAUUUUAAAUGUCCGCAUCAUAUCAUAUCAAUUCCGUGUAUAGAGAAAAGACCAUCAUUCAACAUUUCAACUUGUCAUCGAUUUAUAUAUAUGUUCUAAUGAAGUCAAUUAGCAACCAAUAAUUAUUUAUUCACACCUCAAAAUGAGGUGGAAUGGGGUGGAGGAAGAGAGAGGAGUAAUGUUACUCACCCACCUCUCUUUUGAGGUGUGUGAGGUGGAAUGAUGAGAGAGAUAGAAAGAAAAGAAAAAGUAAGAGAAAGUAUGAGAUGUGAUAAAUGAUAAGAGGAGAGAGAUAGAAACAAGAAGAGGUGGAAAUGAAGUGUUUUAAAAAUGAGGUGUGUAUAUAUCAUUACUCGAAGAGAGAGAUAGGAAGAAAAGAAAAAGUAAGAGUGAAAAAGUAUAAGAUGUGAUAGAUGAUAAGAGGAGAGAGAUAGAAAUAAAAAUAGGUGGAAAUGAAGUGUAGAAAAAAAGAGGUGUGUAUAUAUCAUUACCCAUUAGCAACCUCACAUCUUUUAAAGAUGUUCAAAACUAGAGCUUUUGAAAAAAUGCGUAAACAAAUUGUAACUGGCAAGUUCUAUGGAAUUGCAAGGUUAGAGGCUUCAUCAAACGAGCGUCUAGCGUGAGAUUUUUUUAUUUUUUCUAUUUUUGAAGGUAUUCUCACAGUUGACAAACAUGAUAUUAAUUCAUCGAAACUUUGAGAUCAUAUUAAAUGAAUAAGUCUUUAUAGACAUUUUGAAAGUGAAUUAUCAAUGCUUCAAUGAUGUCUUAAAAGUUAAAAGUUGAGUAUGACAAUUUAAUAUGAAACACUACAGAUUAAACAAUAUAUAUUUAAAUGUCAAGUUAUAAGAUUACCCUCAUCUUCCUUUUUCUCCCCUUCGCCGCAAACUACCUGAAUUAUCAAUGAUGUCUUAAAAGUUGAGUAUGACAAUUUAAUAUGAAACACUACAGAUUAAACAAUAUAUAUUUAAAUGUCAAGUUAUAAGAUUACCCUCAUCUUCCUUUUUCUCCCCUUCGCCGCAAACUACCUUGUCCCUUUGUUGCCUCCCUCUCCACGACCUCCCAUUGCUACAUCUCCUCUCCCUCUCUUCCGACGCAACCUUCCCUCUGUUGCGGUGGCCCCUCCACCUCCAUAAACCUCAUCGACAUCGUCUUCAAUGUCAAUAAUCUUUCAGUGUCAAUAAUCUUCUUCUUCUAGGGUUCCUAUGAAUAAACAAUUAAUGUGUGUGAAGGUGUAAUGUUUUUGUUUCCAACAUCUACAUUGAGUCGAAGUUCGAUAUUGGCCCCCCACCCAAAUCGUUAUUGUUCUAGUUGUUUUUUUCUCUUGUUAGCUUGCUGAUCGAGUUCAAGACAAGGAUAGCACUACAUCAUUCGAAGGCUUGUUUGCGACUAAUGGAACCCUGCCUGUCCCGAUGAUGUUGUUUCGUGGUCUUGCUCCAAGAAGGGAAUCCUUUGUGACGAGCUCACUGUCGACAACGUCACCAUCGAUGACUACUUGGUGCUAAUCAUGGAUCGGAUGUCAGCCAGUCAAACAUACUAUAUCACGAUUCACAAGAAACAAGUUCAACGAAGCCAUAGACCACCGUUUCUCUCUUUCAUCAAAUUCUUCAUCAACUUCCUUAAUGGGCUAUGUCAUUGGAGCAAAUGUCAUGAAGGUUGUUGAAGUGGGAGAAAAGGAGGGCAAGGGAAGGGGUUUAAGGUUGGGGAUAUCAGAGGGGGGGAUGAUUUAAAACUUGGGAUAUCUUCGAAUUUUCACAGUAUUAUUUUUUUGUGAACCACCGUGAUUCACUUUAUUUUAACUUAUAUAUUUAUAAAUGAGAUUAUCACCUAAGAUGAUGCUAUUACAGUCAUUUGAUAAUUUUAUUUUUAUUUAUAUUUUAGGUAAACCCAAUCUCAUGUUAUUUAAACUUAGCAUAUUUAACCCAUACAUCAUCCAAUUUCUUUAAAUCUAAGAACUUAUUUGCAUAUGAAAAAUUGCCCCAAUAAAUAUGUUUGAAUUUCAUUUCACCUUUUUAACUAUUUGAAUACAGGUUUGAAAAAUAGAAUAAGUUUUGUAAAAUCACAAGAUGGAUGGUUUAUCUCUACGAUUUCGUAUAACUUAUUUUAGUUUAAAGGCUACUCUUUGCAACUUUUAAAAAAUAGAAUCGAUUAUGAAAGAAUGAAAUAAAAUUCAAACGCGCGUAUUGAGUGUUUUCUUUAUGCUAAAAUUGAUUCUAUUAUAAAAUCAUAAACAUAAGUUAUCCUUCUUGAUAUUUUACAAAAUCGAUUCUUUUUCCAAACAUGGACACAAAAAAUUCAAGUUGAUUUAGGGUCAAGUAAAAUCAAUGAUACAAACACUAAUGGUAAACUUGCUAGUCUAUAUUAGUUACUUAAAGUAUAGUAGGACAAAUAUAAUUAGUUAAAUGAGGAAUUAGUACAACUUUUACAUAGUUACACUAUCCUAUUAUGUGGCAAACACACCCUUAGUUUUUCCUUAUGCUGCAUUUCCCUUUGGCAAUCUCCAUGUUCUAUUGAUAAAAUAAAUACAGAAAAUCAAGCACUGAAUUGAACCAGAUAGAAUCGAUCAUAAUUAGCACAAAAAAUGUUUCAUUUCGAACAUUAAGCCACAGUUGAACACUUGAUAGAUAAUUUCAUUUUUCACAUCGUUCAUAUUACAAAAAAUGAAUAUAAAUUUAAUACACUACCUGUUGGACCAAAGAAAGGGCCAAACAAAGAAGAUGGUUUAAAAUUGGCAUGGGGGAUUAAACUCCACAUUGGGCUUUGAGCAAACCAUAAGUGGAUCAGACACAUCUUUCACUCAAAACCUUAAGGCAAUGAGUGUAUGAGUCCUCACACUUAUAAACCACUCAAACUUAUCUUUAGCUUCCAAUGUGGGACUUACUCACACUUGAAAAUUCCCAACAUUCUCCCCCUCAAUUGUGAGUCCAUCUCAAACGAAAGUUGGGCUUGUACCUAGAACCUCAGAGGCCGUCAUUCUGGGCUUGUGCUCCUGAGUCUCAGAGGCCCAGGCCCAUGAUCAAACAACCAUCGGCUCUAAUACCACUGUUGGGCUAAAGAAAUGGCCAAACAAAGGAGAUGGUUUAAAAUUGGGGGAUAAAACUCCACAUUAGGCUUUGAGCAAACCAUAAGUGGACCAGACACCACAUCUUUCACCCAAAACCUUAAGCCAAUGAGUGUAUGGAUCCUCACACUUAUAAACCACUCAAACUUAUCUUUAGCUUCCAAUGUGGGACUUACUCACACUUGAAAAUUUCCAACACUACCAACCCAUGAGGUGAGGAUCGAUGAGGAGUUAGGAUUCAGGAGGUGAAGAAGAAGACAUGACAAAGUAUGAGAUCGAGCAACAUGAUGCAGGCACACGACACAGAUAGGAACGACAAUCCGUAAAAGAUCUGAAACCCCAUGAUUAUAUGGCUUCAGCUAGCUACUGCUCCACUUCUGAAGAAGAAGAAGAAGGAUCGGAUUUUUGAAAAGAGUCAUACGAUGACUGUAUCGAUAAGGUUGUUUUCCAACAAUAACGGCUCCUCACACGUAUCAAUUUGUUGCAAUGUAUGCACUACACGUGGGGAAGUUUGACUAGACAUUAUUUAGACUAAUAUGAAUCGAAAAAUGGUUACAACACUCAUUUUUAGGUUGACUUUUCAAUAGUCUCUCAUUUAUUAGUUGAAAUUUAUGUGAGAUUUAUUUAACAAAUGAAUUCAUUUCUAAUUUAAUUAAAUACACGUAAAUCCAACUACUCCCUCCGUUCCUUUUUAACUGUCCAGGAAGAGAAGAAACACACAUAUUAAUGAGUGCAAUUAAUUUUGUUACUUUUCAUAAAAGUAUUAUUUGAUUUCCUAUUUCACCUUUUAAAAUGUAUAUUAUCUUUCCUCAUUUAUUGUUCCUGCAAGGGUAUUUCUUGGAAAAACUUCAUUUAAUGCUCUUUUGAAACUCUAAGUGGACAGAUAUAUAGGAACACAUUUUUUUCUUCAAGGUGGACAGUUAAUAAGGAACGGAAGGAGUAAUAAAUAAGAGAAUGUUGGAAUUAGAAUAUUAGGGUGAGUAUUAUAUUUAAGCCGAAUAUUAUGUGAGAAUAAUUUAUAUAAGGUAAUUAUAUUUAAGCUGAAUAGAUUCAUUCUAUUAUCUGAUAAUUUAAGUCCUCACCGGAAAUUGGUACACCCAAAUUUAACACUUUCCUUCAUAUGGCGCCACGUAAUCAUUUUUUUUUUAAUAUUGAUUGUCUCUCUCUAAUUUAUUUUCCCGUGUUUGUCACACGUCAUCUUCUGUGUGGUUUUCUUAAUUUUUCCACUAUUCUCAAUUGAAUAAUGUUUUGUUCUCAUUUCUUAUUCACCUCUCCACCUUAGAUAAAUAUGAAGAUAAAAGAGAGAAAUAAGUGGUAUGAUAUUUAAUGCGAUAAGAAAUGCAGAGAGAUAGAAAAAAAUGUGUGAAAAUGAGAUAAGAGAGUAAGUAAUGUGUGAAUGAAUCAUUACUCAAUCUCAAUCAUGCUACUCCUUUCUUCAUUCUAUCAUUUGCCUCAUUUCUCAUUUUUUUUUCAUGAUGUUUUAUUUCUCUCAUUAUUUUCAUGGUUUAUUGCUUUAAACGCUUACACAUUUUAAAAUCCCUAAAAUUUCCAAACUUUCUCCCAAAUCCCUAAUUUUCGACGGUAAUUUCACGACUUAUGUUUCUGUUGUUUCAACUUAAUCUAUUCAACCUCCCUUCAUCUCUUCAACAAACCAUUCCUUUCUCAUAAUCUAUCAUAUUUUCCAAUCUUAUCUUAUCUUAUCUUAUACUUUAAACUAUUUUUGAAAUCAAGAAAUAGUAGUAACUCCUAUAAGUGGCACUCUAUCAUAUUUUUCCUUCUAUGACUUUUUUCCUCUCUCAUACUAUUCUUAGUAAGUGGAUGAUGUCUUCUUAUACUUUUUCUGAAUUUUUUGGAAUUUCGAAAUUAAAUUUUUUCCUCAUAAAUGAUUUGGAUUUUCCAUACAUUAUUAACUCUCAUUUAAUAAUGAAAUUCGAAAUUAUUUUUCUCAAAUCAUAGUACAAAAUGUUUUAUUUUUGGAAACAAAAAUAUGAUAUAAUAUAAAUAAAGUGUUGAGAUAGCUCAAGUGGUAAGAGGUAGGGACAUAAGGGUUGAGUGAGAUGAAUUAAGGGUGAAGGGUUCCAGAUUCGAAUCCGGAGGAGAGAUUAAUUUACUAACAUUUGUCUAUAAAAUAAACCUAACCAACAAAUCUGGCAAAAGCUCAAUCACUACAACAAUAACCUUCCAAAAACCAAAAGCACAACACGAGUGUGCAAUAACCUCCCAAGUGACUACCCCACUCGAAAGGUUCCGAAUAAAGUCAAAAAAAUAGCGACGAAUCAGGGAUCCUAUCAAGUCGCUCAACACUUGCAAACAGAAACCCAAACCAGCCGAGCAAAUUUAAACCCCGACAACAAAAACCUACCAAGCGCCAUAGGACUGAGAACAACCUAAGAAAAACAAUACACAUAAAAAAUAAAAAUAAAACAUAAACCAGACAUCAACCAACAACUGGCAGCCAUGCCACCAAAAGUUCCACACCAACUCCACGUCCGCAGCCGCGACGCACAGAGAUACCCAGGAAGGAACCAACCAACACAAUCAUAACUCUCUCCAUAACUUAGCGUCACAAAGAGCAGGCUGAUCGAGACGCUUUCAGAUUUUUAAAUGCUACACACCGUGGUUGGUUAAUCGACUAAACUCAAAGCUUUACCUAUUUGUCCAUGGAUCCAGUGGCAAGAAGAUUGGGUGCAGAAAGAAAAUUCAACACCUUAAGUCACACUCUUUUGCUCUUCAGAUAAGAAAGCUUGAGUUCCACCAGAUAAAACAACACCGUAAGCACGAUACACAAACCUCCUUUUCAUGGGUAACCUUGAUCUCUUGAAAUCACCUAUAGCCAGAAAGUGCUGACAUCAUUCCAUCAUUAAAGGCAAAAACCCCUAUGAAACUCCAAAGCCACCGUUCACAGAGCAAAACCACAGUUUAGAGAGAAACACAGUUCACAGAGCAAAGCACAGUGACUGCGACGCGAGCUCAGAGAGAAGGAGGUAAAACCAACACCAACAAGAGUUGGAAGAGUUCGAGGAUACCAGAUCCGCCGCCGAGAACCCGGAUCCGCAAAGCCACAGUCUAGAACCACACCAACAACCUCUGCCAGGACACCAAAGCUCAGAACCCGAGCAUCAGACUUGAUACAGUGCCAUCCAAACCCUGCGAGCCAGAAGCGACUGACUUAAAUAUCUCCCGCUCGGUGUAACAUAUCAUCAAGUCAUUGAACCACUCAUUCUUGAUCUUGUUGUGCAAUUUAGACUUGAUAAUCUUCAUUGCUGAAAAAUUUCUUUCAAAAGAUGUCAUCGACACCGGCAAUAUCAAAGUCAACUCAAUAUCAAACUGUCUUGAAUCUCCGGAGCAUACUCAUCAAUUUGUUUCCCAUGACCUGGAUCACGCACAAUCUCUUUUAGAUUAAACUCAUUGACAACAUUAGGCGGCGGCUCUACUUCGGGUUCCAGUUGCACAACAUUCACAUUCUCAAUAGUUGCUCUAUCAACCAAAAAUCUCCUCAUCUAUGAAAUUUAAUGAUCUAAAGUUAAUAAUGAGAGAAUUGAAAUUGAAACAGAAAGAAGCUACACCCACACAUAAAACACAAGACAAUGUAUAAUAAUAGACUAACAUAACUAAUAACUGCACAAGAGAAAAGAAAUCAUUCAUUUCGUAUAAUUGAGAAGAUUUCCUCCAAGAGAUACAAGUGUUACACAUUUAAGUGCGAAAUAAAUUAGGUGCUCAGACAUUGUUGGAAAGAGAUUGUUGCUAUGAUUUCUCGAAUCAUAUGUACACUCACAUACUACAUAAAUAACAAGCAUAGAGAAAGCAUCCACUCAAGAAUUUUGAUUCCUCAGAGGCCUCAACAAAACAAAUCGAAUUCAAAGGCAAUAAAGUCAGCUGGAAAGCAUAGGCAUAUAAAACUAAACCUCAAAGGAUCAUCCCUAAGAAUAUGAUGGUUAUAUGCAUUGAAAAAGGUAAAAACCAAUUAACAUGCAAAUCUGCUCUUCCAGCUUGAUCUUGUGUGUCUGCCUUUCCAAACACGUUUAACACAAAUCCCUCAACAUAUAAAUUAUCUUCAGGGCUCAACUUGGUUGCCUUUCUAUCUUGCAAGGAUAAAGGGAAAAAGAAAACGUUCUAAGUAAGUUGUGGAUUGAAUAUUUACAACAAGCAACUAUAUCAAUUUAGAAAGAAAAACAACUUCUAAACCACAGCCCACAAGCAAUUGAUGAAUUCAGAGACAAAGUGAUGUAAGCUGCAUUUCGACUUUUUGCAUGGGGCGAUUGCUUUUCCAGCCAUGCAAGUAAGGUGGUGACACAGAUGCAUACUAUUUGUCUACAUUUCAAACACUUAAUCUACAAUUUUAACCACUCCAAACCCUAGUAUACAAAAAUUUCCCUCUACAAAUUUUCUCAUACUCCAUAGCACGCUCGAUCGCCACAUUAGAGAAACAAAAUCAUAAGGUGAAUGAAAUGUUAAAAGCACAUACAUUCAGACACCAUUUUCUCAAGUAAACCAAAUAGCGCCCAACUGUGAAACAAUCACCAAUAUUGAAAAGCCUAACCCAAAUGAGGUACAAGUGUUACACAUGUUAAUAUGCUGAGUUUGGUUAACUUCACUAGUUUGUUGGAUUGAUUCAUUUAAAGAAGUUAGCAAUGUGGUAGUGUUACUGUACAUAAGCUCAUGAUAUUAUGCGUAACAUACUUUAAUCUUCAAAUCAAUUUCAGUUUCCCCUCCACUGCUAUAUCAAUCAAUUCACAUACUGGCCAUAUAAAUCAGUUUCCCCUCCACUACUAUCUUCAAAUAAAUCUCACUGUUUAACAAUUAAAUUAGCUCAAAAUUCACAUGCUCAACAAUUGCCACUAUUGCAAUAGGAACAUAGUAUAUUGAAAUUGGAUAGAUCAACAAAUCAAAAAAUCAAAAAACAAAACCAACUUCACAAUGAAACACAAAAAAUGAAGAUACCCAAUUAAGAAAACAUGAUGAAAAUUUCCUUAAAGUCAUAUACAACAAGUGAAAUAGAAGUAAGCAUCAUUUAGAGUCGGUUUCCCCAUUAUCUUCUUAUCUAAAUCAGAUGAAGGCAAUCAGCAGAAUCAACAUACCUGAUACAAAGUUUCAGUAGAGAGAGAGAUAGAUAGAGAGAGAAGUAGGGGCUGUGCUCGGAGUCAGAGGGAGGGAAUCAGGGAAAGAGAACGAGAGAGAGACGAAGAAGACGAUAUCGAUGUGCGUGAAAGGAAAAAAAAACGCGUGUGCUUCACUCACUGUCACUGGUCUUUAUUUUCUUUUUGCGCAUUUGAUAUUUCUCAAAAAAGAGCCUGCAUCGCAAGCAAACAUAUUUUUUUGGCAAGGACCUGGGCAUGUUCCCUGCCUCCGCCCCUGCUGGGUGGCGAGUUUCGUUGAGCAGCGAAUGGCGGUACAAGUAUGGAUAGCUUCCGCGGAGAGGGUCAUGAUAAUAUGGUGGUGACUCACACUUGAGGGAAGAAGACGAUAUCGAUGUGCGUGAGAGGAAAAAGACAAACGUGUGUGCUUCACUCAGUGUCACUGAUCUUUAUUUUUUUUCCCCAUUUGAUACUUUUUUCUCAAAAAAGGGCCUGCGUCGCAAGCAAUUUUUUUUUGGCAAGGACCUGGGCAUAUUCCCUGCCUCCGCCCCUGUUGGGUGGCAGGUUUCGCUGAGCAGCAAAUGGCGGUACAAGUGUGGGUAGCUUCCGCGGAGAGGGUCACGAUAAUGUGGUGGUGACUCACACUUGAGGGGGAGAUUGUUCUUUUUUUUUUUUUGAAAUCGGGGAGAUUGUUGAGAAUUAAGUGUGAGUUGGAGUCCCACAUUGGUUAAAUAUGGGUGAGGAGAAGACUUUAUAAGAGAUGUGACUCAUAAACUUAAUGCCUUAAGGUUUUGAGUUAACAUGUGAUGUUGAUAUCUCUUGGUGUCUUGCUCCUCGACCCAUGGGGUCCCUUAUCUCUCCAAUAAAGAGAAAGAAUAAGGGCAAGAAGUACCAGAGGAAAAACUGAUAAUGUAAAGCAUCAUUGAUUUUUGUUGGAGAAUUUGUAUAUUCCCUUGAUGAAGAAGAACCCUGAUUGAAUGCUUGAAUUCAAUGCUAGGGGUGAAACAUUCAGUGUGCAGAAAGAGAAAGAAGAAGAACAGUAAUGAUGCUAAACGGAAGUAACUAAUGAGAGAGAGAAAAAUGAUUAUCCGGAAUUAACCAACGAGAGAGAGAAAAAUGAUUAUCAUUGAUUGUUCACACACUCUCACAGUGUGUGUCUUAUUUAAGUCAAUUGCAAAAGGACCAAAAUGAUUAAUGAGUAGAAUCUCUAGGGACUAACAUUCAAUCAUACACAAACUAAGAGGACUUAAUUCUGAAUUAUUUUAUUCCAACACUCUCUCCUAAUUCAAAACCUCAGAUGCAGACAUGAUGCUCAAUUUCUUGCAUAGUACACUAAACCUCUCAGCUCUCAAUGGUAUAGUGAAUAAGUCUGCUAAUUGCUCUUCUGUAGGAUAAUGAACCAACUCAAGCUUUCCCUUUGUCACCUGAUCUCUAAGGAAAUGAAAACGAGUCUCAGUGUGCUUACUUUUCCCAUGUGCCACAGGAUGUUUAGCAAGAUCAAUGGCUGAUCUGUUAUCAAUAUGUAACUUCAUCACUUCUGGAAGUUGCAAACCUUUUUCUUCCAGAACCAUACCAAUCCACAAGGCCUGACAAGGACUAAAUGAAGCUGCUACAUACUCAGCUUCACAUGAGGACAAAGCCAUUAUAGGCUUAUUUUUUGAGCACCAAGAAACAGGUGCAUCUCCACACAAGAACACAUAGCCUGUUGUGCUUUUCGUGUCAUCUUUAUCUCCACUCCAAUCCGAGUCCACAUAGCCAGUAAUUUCAUUUCUCACAUUGUAAGCUUUACUAGGAAACAAUAUUCCAUGAUCAAGGGUUCCUCUAAUGUACCUUAGUAUCCUUUUUACUGCCAGGAAAUGUCACUAUUUAGGAUUCUCCAUAAACUUGCUUAUCAACCCCACUCUAUAGCUAAUUUCUGGCCUACUACUACAUAGGUACCUUAGUGAACCUACUAUCUGCUUGAACAAUGUUGAAUCCACUCACUUUCCUGUAUCUGACUUGGUUAAAAUAGAACCACACUCUACUGGAGUGGUCACUGCAUUGCACUCAGCCAAAUUGAACCUCUUCAAAACAUCAGUAGCAUGUUUCCUUUGACACAUAAAGAUUUCUCUCUCUAUCCCUAGAAAGUAUGUUAGUUCUCCCAUAUCACUCAUUUCAAACUCUGAUUGCAUCUUCUCCUUGAACCUGCUUAUCUUAGUCUCAUUACUUCCAAUAACUAGCAAAUCAUCUACAUAGAGACACACAAUAAGCAUGCCAGUUAUCUUGAUCUUAAGCACAUACACUCCAUGUUCAGAAGUGCACUUUGAGAACCCUAACUGACUCAAGAAUGAGUCAAUUCUCUUGUUCCAAGCUCGAGGAGCUUGCUUGAGCUCAUAUAGAUCCUUGUGCAAUUUGUAGACCUUAUUCUCAUCUCCCUGAACUUCAAACCCAGGAGGUUGUUGGACAUAAACCUCAUCAUCAAGGGGACCAUUUAGGAAUGUUGAUUUGACAUCCAAUUGAUGCAAUCUCGAAUUCUUCAAGCUAGCAGUAGCAACCACCAUUCUCACUCUCUCCAUCCUUGCUACUGGAGCAAAAACAUAUGUAUAGUCCAACACUUCUCUUUGUUGAAAACCUCUUGCCACUAACCUUGCCUUAUAUCUGGCAAAUGACCCAUCUGGCUUCAACUUAGUUUUGUAAACCCAUUUUACUGAGUUUGGCUUCUUACCCUUAGGUAACUCUACCAAGCUCCAGGUCUUAUUUUUCUCAUUUGAACUCAGCUCUUCCUUCAUAGCUGUUCUCCAAUUCUCAUGUUUAAAAGCUUGCUCCAAACUCACUGGUUCAGCUUCAAUGAAUAGUGACAAAUGAAUCAAGUCACCUUCAUGAGUAACUUCAUUGUCAGGGAAUGUAACACCCCGAUUUCGGUGGCGUCACUUUAGUAACCAAAAGAAAACUUAAGCGGAAAAACGUGAAUUAUUUUUUUUUUGAUAAUAUAAUUAAAGACAGAAACAUUAAACAUCUCAACGAAAGAUAAAAAGAAACUAAUAUACAUCUAUAUAUAUACAUGCCCCGCUAAAACUAACCACGUCGCGAGUGACCUCCAGCAACGGGUGACAGAAAGAAAGUAACGCCCGAAGGCAAUAUGUACAAACCAAGGUAAAACCUGUGUCCGCAACACCAUACCUCAAAAACUGAGAACAAAUUGGCCCAGCGGCCUAAGAAAAAACCUCCUAAGUCCAACCAGCUCUCUGUGAUCUCCAUAAGAAAACCACACAAAAAGCUACCGGCAGGAAACUACCCUGUCCCAAAAUCGAAAAGCAUGACGGUCAGAGCAACGACACUACUCCUACACUAAUCCCAACUCGAGGAGCCCACACUAGCACUCGAUCCUACACGCUAGCGCGGUCUUCGUCCGAGUCUGCAUCCAGGACAACUAAGUCGACAUACACAACCCUACCCUCUCUAUCCACCCGGAUGCGCUCCUGCACUGGUCUCUCGGGCUCGGGGCCCGGACCAGGAUCCUCGAUGACAGCAGCAGUAAACGAACUGGACUCCGUCGAAGUCCCACCCACUGGCACCUCCUCAGAGGGGUCCUCAUCAUCCGAAGAUAAUGGUGGUGGUGGUGGUGGUCCUCCCAGGCUGGGUCCACAAUGCACGCCGGGCGGCAAGUUGAAGCUCACUAUAUGCCUCCUCAUCACCCCCUCCGUCAAGCGUCCGAAUCGGUCAACACGGUCCUCCAUGAUCCGACCGGUGUAGGUCGCACGGUGGCAUAUGGGGUCGACCACCCAUGCACCUGGGUCGUCUUGGUCAAGCAUCUCGAAUCUGGUCCCCCCCGAGGGGCUGACCAUCGUAAACCAAUCCGCCAUACUCAUCUGACAAUGGCGUAGUCCGCCCAAACACACACAGAAGACGCGAGGGUCAACUUCAAAGAAUUAUAUAAAUAUUAAAGCCAGAUAUAUAUAUAUAUAUAUAUAUAUAUAUAUAUGUGUGUGAUAAUAAUUAUUAGCCUCUCAGGCUUAUAAGUUCAGAGAUAACAUCCUAGGGUUGCAUGUAUCACAACGAAUAUAAAAGAUCAUAAUAACAAUUAGCAUGCCUCAAAUAGGAUAAACAAGUACCAAUCACACUCAGCAACUAAGUCAGAAUGUAUGUUGCAUGCAAUGCAAUGCUGGUUAACAAGAUGCAUUCCGGAAGAAGGAUGGACAUCAACGAGGCGGCCCUAACACCAGCCACGGUGGGUACCUUCCUGCUCGCGUGUCUCUUACACCACACAAAAGUAGUCAGAUCAGCAGUGAACCCGUAGGUCUGCCAUUCCGUCUGCUACUAAGGACCACCGUAGUGUCCUAAAUAUGGAAAUCCGGGUCUUAUGACCAUUUUGGAAUCCACCGAGGUCCGGUAUCACGCCGUGUAUUAACCUCAAAAUGAGUGCAUGAAUGCAAGUGAUUAGCCAAACAACGUCUCCGACCUCACUCGACACGUCGCCACGUGUUCUAAAUAACUUAAAGUCUCUAAAAGAAUACCCUAAGGUAAAUGUCGAUUCUGCGACAAAAUGAAUUAAUCAAAAGAAGAAAGAAUGUACUUUGGAACUCAUGGUUCCCGGCUAAACUUUAGAUAGCCAACCAAUAAACUGCUCAUCGAGCGAAAGGUACCGAAGUACUUGGAAACUCAUAGUUUCCGGCUAAACUUUAGAUAGCCAAACAAUAAACUGCUCAUCGAGCGAAAGAGUACGAUUGUACUUGGAAACUCAUAGUUUCCGGCUAAACUUUAGAUAGCCAAACAAUAAACUGCUCAUCGAGCGAAAGAGUACGAUUGUACUUGGAAACUCAUAGUUUCCGGCUAAACUUUAGAUAGCCAAACAUUAGCCUGCUCAUCGAGCAAAAGAGUAUCAACAUACUCGAAAACUUGUAAGUUCCUCAAAACUUGGACUCGACGACACUUCUCAUAUCUUCAAGACUAAUAUUCAGGCUCUAAGCUCUUAUCUAAAGUUGUUAUCAUUGUUCAAGGGGUUUAGAGAUUGAUUAAUGUCUUAUGAAUUUUCUUUGAAAAAAUAGAUUUCGUUUAGUCUUAUGAUACUUCCUAUGAGUUUCAGGGAUCCCAUAAUCCCAAUUAAUUUCUGAGAAGGUCUCGAUCCAUUAAAAUAUAACAAGGUCCGAACUUCGUUCGUCCUUUUAAACUCUCUCAAAAUCUCAUAAAAAUUCGGCAUGACUUGCCCGUAAUCCUCACUCUCCAGAAACAUAGGCACGAGUGGAAUAGCAUAAAUAAAACAGCUCAAUCAAUAAGCAUAAACAUCAUAUUCCAACACAUCCUAAAUUAACCAUGUAGCACAUAGCAUGUGAAUCAUUUAGCACACAAUAUCAUGGCAUCAAGUACUCAACAAGAUCGGUCGAAGCCUCAGAAAUCAUUUCAGACAUUUAGCAAUUAAGUGCAUAACACAUAAAUCAAGUCGAAUUCGUCGACACCUAAAGCAUUAUCUAGUAAUUCAGAGAGUAGCCCUCACCGGUGGGUCCUCCAGCUUCCUCCUCACGAGUUCCUUCACGCUCCUCUCCUUGAUUUCCAGGAAACUCCUCAAAUGAACCUUAAGAAAAAUCAGAGAAAUCAACACAUUGAGUCAGAAACUCAGCAAGCAAUAAGUCCUAGGGUCACACGGUACAUUACAAACUCUAUGGUACGACAAUCUAACGCGUUAAGACAAGUUUUCGAAAAAGUCGGAUUUUCCUCCCCCCUUGAUAUAGCUCUCGGCCACUUUCCUUAAUUGGGAGGGUCGAUUUUUCUUCGAUCAAACUUGGUUCCUAGGUUAACAUAAGCCGUAACUAAGACGGUUCUAAGCUCGGAAAAAUUUUCGGAUCGAAAACUGAUAUAGGGGUAGUUUGGUCAUUAUUUUCAGCUCAGAAAUUCAAAAUUGGAUUUUUGAAAAACAAAUUGGAUGGGGAUUUCAACAACGACGUUUAUGACGAUUAAUCCUACUAGCACUAAGCCAAGUCGAUAGUUUUCAGCUUAAAGGUUGCGACUUUGCCCAAAAAUGGGUAUUUGAUGCAAAAAUUGAUCCCGGCGGCAUUUCGUCGACAUCUGACAAAAUCUAAUCCGCAGAACACGCUCAGAAGCAUGCAGGGAAUAAGUUUAGACACUGAAAUCAGCUUAUUUGAACAGUUUUUCAAAAAGCUCAAAACUUUUAGCACAGAAAGACAUAGAAGAAGUCGACAGAAACGACGAUCGGAAGGGAGAUAUAGUUUACCUACCUCAAGGUCUUCGAUUAGCAACGAUCGGUGAAGCAAACGGGCAAAGAUUCGCGAAAAUCACUUCCUCCUCUUCUCCUCUAGCUGGCCGGGGGUUUGGGGAAAGAAAAUGGGGUGGGUUUUGAAAAUAUCUCAUUUUCUAGCUAUUUAUAGGUUUUGGAAAAUGCGGAAAAAUGAUUUUUUUGCGAUUUCGAUUUUUCCUGCGCGUUCCUCUGUGAAUUCUAAGAUAGGUUAUGGCGACAGAAUUCCAGAACUCAAAACGGAAUUCUUGGAGUUAAACCAAAUGAUCCAAAGUCGGCAUGAGUCGGUGUAAGUCGGUUUAUCCCGAAAAACUACUUUUUGCAGUGAUCGUCGGAAGAGAAAACUUCCUUCUGAAGAAAGAUUAGGAAUAACGAGAGAAAUAGGAGAACGCGGGUGGAAUCUUCAUUUGAAGCUCCGAAUAGAAAAAGUCUUCAUCGUCUGUCGAUCUUAGGUUUCUCGAACUAUCAGGGAUUCCGUUUCGGCAACCUUCCGAGAAUUGGAAUUUGACGUUCGUACUUUCCAGGGUUUCGCAUCGAAAUAAUUGUUUAUAGACGAAAAAGAGAAGUUCUAACAUUUCUCUGAAGAUUUUAGGAACUAGUUUCCAUCGUGUCUUAAUGUGUAAAUUAACGUUUCACUAAAACCUUUGACCUAGGAUUAGGCGUAUGUUAGUCGUGCUAUAACUCUUAUCGGUUUUUCGAUAAAAUUCUUGGACUUUUCCUGAACCUUUUCCUUCACAAAUUUAUUUUAAUCAAAUAAACCCUUAUAUUUUAUUCACUUAUCCAAAGCUUAAAACUUGGGCCUUACAGGGAACAACACAUAGUCACUCAAUCUGGAAGGUGGUUGUCUCACCCUUUGAUUCCUUUGAAUUACAUUCUCAGUAUGCAAAUCAUUUGCUGCUUGUCCAGUGACUCCAUCCUGACCUUCACCUCUCACAUUUUCAGAUUCAGAAGUAGACAUCAUCUCAGGGAACUCAUAAAGAGUCCUAACAUUAGAAGAUUCUGGCUUAUCAACAUCAUCAUCAUGCCAUUUCCAUUCAGCUGUCUCAUCUACUACCACAUCCCUACUAAUGACAAUUACAUUGGUAGUAGGGUUUAGUAGUCUACAUGCUCCAGUAGAAUGAUAGCCAACUAGUAAUAACUUCUCACUUUUAUUAUCCAAUUUCUUUCUUCUCUGGUCUGGAAGAUGUCUGUAAUAAACUGAUCCAAAAAUUAUAAAGUGCUUCACAAUUGGCUUGAUACCUGUCCAAAAAAAGUGGGUGAAUUUUGCCGAAAAAAAACCAUUUUAAAACAUAGCUUGACAAUUGAAGGAGUAAAUGGACUGAAUAAUUCCAUUAUAUUAAUUAAAUAUUGAUUACAAAUAUUUCCUUCAAUUUGAAAAAGAUAAGGGUAAACUAAUGCUCAACCGCUCCUGAGCAAACGCAAAAAGAAGGUCUCCAGGUUAGGUUCGAACUCUACAAGAAAACUCGGCUCACCUCCAAGUACUAACCCAAACCAUAAUACCACUAAACACAUACAUAGUUCUACGCCUGACAUCCGCCCGUCCCUUGAACACGUCCUCAGUCAUAUAGUACUUUUUCCCUGUGCGGUCUAUCAUUCUCUGGCGUUAGGCGCCCAUGCAGCACACAGUCAAAUAAGCAAGGGUCAACUUCCAAACAACACUUACACAUGUAACAAGACUGACAUAACAUCAUAGUAAUAUGGUCAUCUAACCUAAUACUUCAUUUGAAAUUUCAGGCUCAUGUUAUACAGUUUUACAACUAGCAUAUAUAGUAAUAAACCCAAAAGCAUAAACAAGUCCACCUAGAGUCCAGUUAGACUACAUGCUCAUGCAUAUGCAAAUUUUAAUGCCAGCAACGACAUCUCUGAAGGCGAGACAAAAUACGACUCCACAAUUGGGGUUAGUCUACACUAACACACCGUCGUCGAAUUCCUCGCACGACUCCACAAUUGGGGUUAAUCUUAAUAACGCACUGUCGUUUUCAUUUUGCCACUUCUUCGGAUAUGCCGUUAUGCCUUGACAGAAUUUUAUAUCAUGGUUCAACCUAACCGGUUCUGAACCACAUCAAAACAUGCAGAAUGUCAUGAUGUUAGUCAAGACAACAUCGGAAUCGUCGUCCUCACAAUCCGAAUUUAUCAAAAAUAACUCCUUAUUGAGUAUCAAGUUGCCCACUGGCAAAUGCAUCUCUUGCCAACGCUCGCAUUUCAAAUUUAUCAUAAAUCACAAUAUUCAAUUCAUAUGCCAAAGCAUAAUAACAUGAUUUCAAGUUUAAUACACAUAUUUCAAUACUUGCAUCAUGAAGUUUAAACAAACAACAUCAUAUAAACAAGCAUUAUAUAGCACAAUCACAUGCAGACAAGUCUAGACCGAGUGCCCUUACCUUACCACUUUCUUUUCUAAGUUGCGACUUCGAUCCAAUCAAGUCAUCGCUCCUCGUACCGUCUAGCUUUACUUCCAUUCUUUAGCUCCGACACGAACGCAAUAUCGCACUUCGUAUCCUUAGAAAAUUAAUCGCUUUCGAAAAAGGUAAGCUUAAUGAUCCUAGCUCCCGCUCCCAAAAACUCAAGAAUCUCAUCAAAUUCAAGACAACCACUCAAGAAUUUUCACUAGAGAAUAAGACACUCACAACUAGUAGUAAGUGUGUUUCAAUGCUUUCUGUUUCUGUUUGUUGCCCUCCUCCUUGAAAUCACGUUGCCCUCGUUUUAUAGUGAAUGUCUUGCAUCUGAAAUGUUAGCACGUCAUGUUCCUAGCCUACAUAGGUUUGCCAGCAAAUUGUUUCCUUGCCUACACGUCAAAUAACUCAAUCCUUGUCAUGUUUCCUCAAGUUUUCGACAGCCACCUCCUUCUAUAGCCUUUGUAGCUUGUCCAACACAUACCUUCUUCCAUUUACACGUAGCUUUUGUUUUACACCUCAAAUGCUUCAAUUUAUUAAAUUUUCACUUGUUUCGUUUCUGUUUCUGGUACGUUAAAUCCUUUUGAAACUUAAUGUAUGUACAUAUAUAUAUAUAUAUAUAGGUUAAGUAUAGAUUGAUUUUGGUAGUGUAGAAUUUAACUCAUAGAGUUAAGAGAAAAAUAUUAGGAAGAUAAAUUAUUAUCCUAAAAAUUAUUAGGAACUCUAUGAUAUAAUUUAAGAUCACUUUGGAAAAGUUUAAGUGAUCGAGUGUAGUAGUGUUAACAAAGUGUUAUUAUCCCCUUACAUGUAUAUUAGUUUUAAAUUACACACUUUAUAUAUUUUCUUUAUGUUAGUCACGUAACUUACAUGACUCUCUUUUUUCUUUUAGGGGAGAAAAUAAUAAUUUUAAUAAUACACUCGUUUAUAUAACACACAAGUACAGAAAACACACCAACUUAAGCUUAAUAGCGCUUAUCGCUCUUAAGCCGAUAUGUAACUUAUUUAAUUAAACGCUUAAUCUAUUUGGGUCUUACAUUACUAUCCCCUAAAAGGGAUUUUCGCCCUCAAAACUCGAAGUCAGAGAAAGCUCAGGGGUACCUCACAUUAUCUUCCAACUUACUAUAGGGUCAGCACGUAUCCCAAAGCCUAGGAAACAUCAUAACAAAUUCAUCUUAAAGGUGACGUACAAGACAACAACAAUACUUAGAUAUCUAGCAAACAUCUUCAAAUAAACCUAAAUAUCACGCUCAUGCUAGUGCUCUAGGCACCGUGAUCCAAAUCUUAACUCAAACGCCUACAUGAUCGACCUCAUAGGUGUCGUCAUACUCUCAUAUCAAAAACUCAACCAUGAAACAUAUGUUCAUAUACCAUAAUGCUAAUAUCAUUCAAAUUCCAUCACAUGACUUCUUCUGCCAACAAUCUGACCUCCAACCUCAAUCUAUCAACAACUCAUAAGAAAAUUAUCAUCUUGUAAUAUUCUAAUCCUUUAACGUCAUUUUCUUUUUCGAAACUAUCCUCAUUCUAACCAUAAAUCAAUCCUCCGCUUAGUCACAAAUCAAAUCAUAAACUUAUCUCAAGUCCUAACACACUGCACAACUCAAAAUUCAUUCACUUCAAGAUCACUCUUACACUAUACCUCAAAGAACUUUACUUUACAUUUCAUCCUCAUAUCUUCAGUCCUAAAUGAUUCAAAUCUUAUCGUCACAACUAAAGCCAUGAAAUCUCUUAUUCGAACAUGAUUCUCAAUUCACAAGGUCAAUCUUUACCAUAAGAUUUCAAUUUAACUUAGUAAAUCUCACUUUCUAACCUCAGCAUGUUUCCUCCAAAAUCCAUCUCAAGGAUUCAUUCACACUUAGGCUCUUGAUCAAUACCUGACAUACUAUGCAAAACAUAUCCCGAACCCUAGGGAAGCGACAUAGUAACUUACACCUCAUUGUUGUCUUAUAAAAAAAAUAUCACAACUGAACUCGACAGACCUAUUCCCCAACAAGCUCUGGUAUUCGCAACCAAAGUUCUGAUACCACAAUGUAACGCCCUGAUUUCUCGAGGGUCACUUUAGUAACCUUUCCAAAAAAAAGUGGGUGAAUUUUGCCGAAAAAAAAACCAUUUUAAAACAUAGCUUGACAACUGAAGGAGUAAAUGGACUGAAUAAUUCCAUUCUAUUAAUUAAAUCUUGAUUACAAAUAUUUCCUUCAAUUUGAAAAAAUAAGGGUAAACUAAUGCUCAACCGCUCCUGAGCAAACGCAAAAAGAAGGUCUCCAGGUUAGGUUCGAACUCUACAAGAAAACUCGGCUCACCUCCAAGUACUAACCCAAACCAUAAUACCACUAAACACAUACAUAGUUCUACGCCUGACAUCCGCCCGUCCCUUGAACACGUCCUCAGUCAUAUAGUACUUUUUCCCUGUGCGGUCUAUCAUUCUCUGGCGUUAGGCGCCCAUGCAGCACACGGUCAAAUAAGCAAGGGUCAACUCCCAAACAACACUUACACAUGUAACAAGACUGACAUAACAUCAUAGUAAUAUGGUCAUCUAACCUAAUACUUCAUUUGAAAUUUCAGGCUCAUGUUAUACAGUUUUACAACUAGCAUAUAUAGUAAUAAACCCAAAAGCAUAAACAAGUCCACCUAGAGUCCAGUUAGACUACAUGCUCAUGCAUAUGCAAAUUUUAAUGCCAGCAACGACAUCUCUGAAGGCGAGACAAAAUACGACUCCACAAUUGGGGUUAGUCUACACUAACGCACCGUCGUCAAAUCCCUCGCACGACUCCACAAUUGGGGUUAAUCUUAAUAACGCACUGUCGUUUUCAUUUUCCACUUCUUCGGAUAUGCCGUUAUGCCCUGACAGAAUUUUAUAUCAUGGUUCAACCUAACCGGUUCCGAACCACAUCAAAACAUGCAGAAUGUCAUGAUGUUAGUCAACACAACAUCGAAAUCGUCGUCCUCACAAUCCGAAUUUAUCAAAAAUAACUCCUUAUUGAGUAUCAAGUUGCCCACUGGCAAAUGCAUCUCUUGCCAACGCUCGCAUUUCAAAUUUAUCAUAAAUCACAAUAUUCAAUUCAUAUGCCAAAGCAUAAUAACAUGAUUUCAAGUUUAAUACACAUAUUUCAAUACUUGCAUCAUGAAGUUUAAACAAACAACAUCAUAUAAACAAGCAUUAUAUAGCACAAUCACAUGCAGACAAGUCUAGACCGAGUGCCCUUACCUUAACCACUUUCUUUUCUAAGUUGCGACUUCGAUCCAAUCAAGUCAUCGCUCCUCGUACCGUCUAGCUUUACUUCCAUUCUUUAGCUCCGACACGAACGCAUUAUCACACUUCGUAUCCUUAGAAAAUUAAUCGCUUUCGAAAA